GUGGCAAACAAUGCUAUUCCAAAAAUAUGGAAGGCUGGAGUUGCUUAUGAGUCAGCAAUUCAGCUUGCAUAAAUUUGAGAUAUCCCAAGCUUUAUUAUUACCGGUUCCGGGUUAUCAGCUUCUUAAUGUCAUUUAGAUAUUCUAGUAGGUUGUUGCCCGGCACCAGUAAGUGCUGUUACUUUAUCUUUCUUUCUUUUUUUCAGUUUGUUGCUUAGGGUGUAUUGUGGACUCCUGUCACCUCAACACUUAACUAGUUGCUAAAUAAAUAGUGGGAUUGUGUACUUUAAGAUCUUUUGAUCUAAAGAGAAAAUUAAUAAAAUUCCGCUCUCGUUAAGAUAAAACCGGUCAUCCGCCUUGUUAGUGGUGUCCAUGUGUGUGUGUCUUGUUGAAUUUCUUGUGAUUGUUUAAAUAACUCCAUUAUAUUUCCUCUACUAAUAGUAAUCAGUAAAAUUGAUGUAUUAUCAAACAAUAUACAUCGUCGAUAAUGUUUCUUGGUGAUUGCAAUAUGUUAAAAAUAUAUUUCAAAUGUAAAAAUUGUAAAAUAAACUGUGGAGCCAUUCCAUUUCAGAAUUUGAGAUUACCCAAAUCUUUUGUCAAUUGUUUAUAAAAAUAUGAUAAAUAUCUACCAACCUACCAGCCACUCUUUGUUUUGCACUUUAUAAAAAAUAUACUAACAUAAAAUUUUUUUUUCUUUUGUGGCUAUCCACGUAAAGUUUACAAAAUGUAUCACUUUUUAAUUUUUCAUUAACAUAAUUAAAGAUUUAAUAGAAUAUUAAUUAAACGACCACUAAAUAGUUAAAAUAUUAUUUAAUCCUAACUAGUAGCUAAAUGAUGAAAAAAAAAAUCCAAUUUGUAGCUGUUGGAACCAAUAGCAGCUAUAAAUUUAGUUAGAUAAAUUCAUCAAACCUACUAAUUUAACAAUAUAAAAUCACCAAAAUAACCACCAUAACUAAUUUGUAAUUCAUUUACAACAUAAAUUCAGAACCUCUGCUCAUAUAAUCCAUCCUAAAUAAUCUUUGAAAACAAUAACAAGUCUUGAAAAGCAAUAAAUCACCAAUAAAAACAAUCAUAGUUAUCCAAAAUACAUUUAAAGGAAACAAAAAAAUAGUUAUAAAAAACUUUAAACAUUAUAUCUUGCUUCCAUCGAUCAAAAAAGAACAAUGUAAAACCAAUUAUGAUGAACAUAGAGUUUGGGGUUUGUUUCCAUCAAUUCAAAAUUAAACAUAUUCUAAAAUUAUGUAAAACAAUAACUAAUAAAUAAUCUAUUUACAUUUAGGAAUAAAAUAGUUUUUUUAUCAACAUCCUAUUAAAUCAUCUAAUGCUAUUAAUGGAAAAGUAGAAAAAUAUUAAAAAACUGCAAAAGAAAAGUUUUUGGCGUAUUUUUAAUAAAGCAUCGAAUGAAUAUUUUCCCAUAAAGCUACAUAUAAUAAAUUCUUCAACUAACGUACUACAUUAAUUUCAUCUUCAGCUCUUACGGUAAGCACUGGCUAACGAAUGAUUUUAGGUACACCAUAAAAGGAAAUUCAUUUGUCCUCUUUCGGAAGUGUUGUAAUCUUACAGGCAACGACCAGGACAGAACACCCCUUGGAAGCAUCAGAAUACUUGCACAUAUUAAAGCAGCGUUGACCAGCGUUGACCGUUGACCGUUGACCGAAAGUUGACUCAAGUCCUUCCCAAGGUUUUUCGACGUGCCGGAUCCAUCUGUGCAUUCAAAAUCCCCAAAUUCUCACUCAAUUUGUGAGUUAUGAUAAACGGUGGUAUGAUGUCAUUUCAAGUUCCACAAUUAAAGGGAAGUAAGUUUGACAAUUGGAGUAUUAAAAUGAAGGCUCUAUUGGGCGCACAUGACGUAUGGGAUGUCGUGGAGAAAGUCUUUAUUGUGCCAAAAAAUGAAGCCACUUUAACUGCAGCGCAGAAGGAGAAUUUAAAAGACUUGAAGAAGAAAGAGAAUAAAGCAAAGUAUCUCAUCUUUCAAUCAUUAGAUGAAGAUGCUUUUGAAAAGAUUGCUGGUACAACCUCCUCAAAAGAAGCAUGGGAGAAACUAGAGACCUCUUACAAAGGAGCGGAGCAAGUUAAGAAGGUUCGUCUCCAAACAUUACGAGGAGAAUUUGAGUCCUUACACAUGAAGGCGUCGGAGUCAAUUUCUGACUACUUUACUCGAGUUGUGACCGUUUCCAAUGAAUUAAAAAGAAAUGGCGAGGAGUUAAAAGAGGUAAGGAUCAUUGAAAAGAUACUUCGAUCAGUAGAUUCGAAGUUUGAUCAUAUUGUUGUGACAAUUGAAGAAACAAGAGAUCUGGAGGAUAUGACGAUCGAGCAACUUCAAGGAAGGUUGCAAGCCUAUGAAGAAAAACAAAAAAAGAAGCAAGGAAUUGAAGAACAACUUCUCAAGAUGGAAGUCAAUCCAAAGAAAAGAGAAGAAAGCUCCGACAACGAGAGAAGGCACUAUGUCCGAGGUAGAGGUCGAGGACGAGGUAGAGGUCGUGGUCAUGGACGAGGUUGGAAUUUCAACAACAACAACUCCAAUUAUGCCAAAGGAGAAAGCUCAACCAGAGGACGAGGCAGAGGCAAUUCAAGAUCGAGGUAUGACAAAUCCCAAGUACAGUGCUAUAAUUGUCAAAAGUUUGGGCAUUAUGCUUCAGAAUGCAGAGCUUCAAGCACCAGAAUUGAAGAGAGAGUAAACUAUGCUGAAGAGAAAAAUGGUGAAGAUGGCACACUUUUACUAGCACGCAAUGACACAAGUGGAGGUCAAGAAAAUACAUGGUAUCUUGACACAGGUGCUAGCAAUCAUAUGAGUGGAAACAGAAGCAUGUUCGUGCAACUAAGUGAAUUUGUGAAUGGUAGUGUUACUUUUGGAGAUGAUUCAAAAGUACCAGUGAAGGGUAGAGGUAACAUUCUUUUUCGUGCAAAAGAUGGUAGCCACCAAAUAAUUUCGAAUGUUUACUAUGUGCCCAAUAUGAAAAGCAACAUUUUUAGUUUAGGUCAACUUUUAGAAAAGGGAUAUGAUAUUCACUUAAAAGAUUAUAGUCUUUUUCUAAGAGAUGACAAAGGAAAUCUAAUUACAAAAGUGAGAAUGUCAAAGAAUAGAAUGUUUCCUUUAAAUAUUCAAAAUGAUGUUGCAAAAUGUCUCAAAGCCUGUCACAAAGAUCAAUCCUGGACUUGGCAUCUUCGAUAUGGGCAUCUCAACUUUGGAGGACUGGAGCUACUAUCUAAGAAGAACAUGGUGAAAGGCUUACCAUACAUCAAUCACCCUGAUCAACUUUGUGAAGGAUGUUUACUUGGCAAGCAGUUCAGAAAGAGCUUUCCAAAGGAGUCAAACUCAAGAGCUCAGAAGCCACUCGAGCUCAUUCAUACUGAUGUGUGCGGUCCAUUCAAGCCAAACUCCCUUGGUAAAAGUAACUACUUCCUUCUUUUUAUAGAUGAUUUUUCAAGAAAAACUUGGGUGUAUUUUUUGAAGCAAAAAUCAGAAGUCUUUGAAGCUUUCAAGAAGUUUAAAGCUGCAGUUGAAAAAGAAAGUGGAUACCAGAUUAAAGCCAUGAGAUCUGAUCGAGGUGGAGAGUUCACUUCCAAAGAAUUUUUAGAGUUUUGUGAAGCAAAUGGAAUUCGACGCCCUUUGACAGUUCCAAGAUCCCCCCAACAAAAUGUUGUUGCAGAAAGGAAGAACAGAACCAUCUUCGACAUGGCAAGAAGCAUGCUUAAGAGUAAGAGGCUACCUAAAGAAUUUUGGGCUGAAGUAGUUGCAUGUGCAAUCUACUUAUCCAAUCGAUCUCCAACAAAAAGCGUGUGGGGCAAGACGCCACAAGAAGCUUGGAGUGGAAGAAAACCUGGCAUCACCCAUCUAAGAGUUUUCGGAAGCAUUGCCCAUGUACAUGUACCAGACGAAAAUAGAGCCAAGCUGGAUGACAAAAGUGAGCAGUUCAUCUUCAUCGGCUACGACAACAACUCCAAAAGAUACAAGCUUUACAAUCCAAACAACGGAAAAAUCGUGAUCAGUCGAGAUGUAAUUUUUGAUGAAGAAUGAGAAUGGGAUUUUGGCUCUGGUGUGGAUGACUUCAACUUCUUUCCCAUUGAAGAAGAUGAUCAUACACAGAUAAAAUAAGUAGACGAACAACAAGAGCCUGCCACUCCACCUAUCUCACCAGCACCAACCACAUGCGGGAAUUCAUCGCCGUCUUUCUUAAAUGAAAGAACAGAAGAACGUACAAGGAGUCUUCAAGAUCUCUAUGAGGUAACUGAGAGACAUGAUAAUCUUACUCUCUUUUGCCUCUUUGCUGAUUGUGAGCCAGUCAACUUCCAAGAAGCUGCACUAGAUGAGAAGUGGAGAAUUGCAAUGGAUGAAGAAAUCAAAGCCAUUGUGAAGAAUGAUACUUGGGAGCUUACUACUCUUCCAAAAGGUCACAAGGCGAUUGGUGUCAAAUGGGUGUAUAAAACAAAAAGAAAUGCGAAGCGAGAAAUUGAAAGGCACAAGGCGAGGCUAGUUGCAAAAGGCUAUAGUCAAAAGGCUGGCAUAGACUAUGACGAGGUAUUUGCUCCUGUAGCUCGACUUGAAACUAUUAGACUUAUUAUUUCUUUGGCUGCUCAGAACAAGUGGAAGAUUUUUCAAAUGGAUGUGAAGUCUGCUUUCUUGAAUGGAUUCCUUGAAGAAGAAGUUUACAUCGAACAACCAUUAGGCUAUGUGGUGAAAGGACAUGAAGACAAAGUUUUGAGAUUGAAGAAAGCUCUUUACGGGUUAAAGCAAGCACCAAGGGCAUGGAAUAGUAGAAUUGACAAGUAUUUUCAAGAGAAAGGCUUCACCAAAUGCCCAUAUGAGCAUGCUCUCUACGUCAAAGAAAAUGAUGGAGAUAUUUUGAUUGUGUGCCUGUAUGUGGAUGAUCUCAUCUUCACUGGAAGUAAUCCAAGCUUGUUUGAAGAGUUCAAGAGAGUAAUGAUCAAAGAGUUCGAGAUGACUAACAUCGGACUGAUGGCAUAUUACCUCGGCAUUGAAGUUAAGCAAAAGGAAGAAGGCAUAUUUAUCUCCCAAGAAAGCUAUGCAAAUGAGAUUCUCAAGAAGUUCAAGAUGAAUGAUUGUAAGCCUAUAAGCACGCCAGUGGAAUGCGGAGUCAAGUUAUCCAAACAUGAUGAAGGCGAAGAUAUAGAUCCAACAUUCUUUAAAAGUUUGGUUGGAAGCCUACGUUAUUUGACAUGCACAAGACCAGAUAUCCUUUAUGCUGUUGGACUUGUGAGCCGAUACAUGGAGAAUCCAAAGACCACCCAUUUUAAAGCUGCAAAAAGAAUCCUUCGCUACAUCAAAGGUACAACUAAUUUCGGCUUGCUGUACUCAUUUUCUAAUGACUACAAGCUUGUUGGAUAUAGCGAUAGCGAUUGGGGUGGAGAUGUAGAUGAUCGAAAGAGCACCACGGGAUUUGUGUUCUUCAUGGGAGAUACUGCUUUCACAUGGAUGUCAAAGAAGCAACCAAUUGUCACGCUAUCCACCUGUGAAGCUGAAUAUGUAGCUGCCACAUCAAGUGUUUGUCAUGCAAUUUGGCUCAGAAAUUUGCUGAAGGAGUUGAGUUUGGUACAAGAAGAGCCAACCGAGAUUUGUGUUGAUAACAAAUCAGCAAUUGCCCUAUCCAAGAAUCCAGUCUUUCAUGAUCGAAGUAAACACAUAGACACUCGCUAUCAUUUCAUAAGAGAGUGUAUUGCAAGAAAAGAAGUGCAAAUCAAGUAUGUAAAAUCACAAGAUCAAGCAGCUGAUAUCUUCACUAAGCCACUCAAGCAAGAAGACUUUGUAAGAUUCAGAAGUUUGCUUGGUGUCACAGGAUCAAGUUUAAGGGGAGGUGUUGGAUCAUAAACUUGAUCCAAGAUGAAUAAAUCAAGCCCAACUCAUGGAAGGUUCCAUGAGUAGGUAUGGUUGGUGAGGUUUGAAUUAUUUGUGUUAGGUGUGUUAGGUGUGGUUGGUGAAGUUGGUGAGUGGUAGGUUUUAAUGGAUGGUGAGGAUUUGUUUAUUAGUUGAAUAAAUGAAUGGUUAUGAUUAGUUUGUUUCAUGUAUAAAUACCCCCUCUCCCCUUUGGUUUAAACAUCAAGUGAAGCAGCAUAAUCUCUAAGGUGUAGAGAGUGAAAAAUAAGAGUUGUAAUUGGUGAGGAGUGUUGUUGAAGAAAUAAAAUAGUGUGUUUUUUGUGUGUUUUAAUUGUUAAUCCUCCAACACAACUUGCACAAGUUAUCGGCUGUUUUGUACAUUUUGACGCAGUUACUGGUUCGAGUCGUACAUGGGAGUAACAGUUUAUAUGCAUCCAUUAAACAUCAGAUAAAUGGAACAAGUGAUAUGACUAACAGCAGGGCCCUUAAAUUUAAAUGUAUUGUCCAACAAACAAAAUACAGCAUAAUGGAAUUUCACGGACGUACAUACAGACAAACACAUACAUCCUCAUAUUUGUGAGCAUAGGUUAGCCAGAAAGAUGCUAGGACUUGGAACAAGUGAUAUAACUAACAGGGCACUUGAAUGUACCUUUCUGAUGAAAAUAAAAAAUACUACUGUUAACCUCCGUCAGUACAACCGACCAGUGCAUUCUGAAGAACCACAAAAGCAGCUCUUCUUCUUAAUGUUGCUAGAUGAAUCAUAAACUUGAUCUAUCACGUAAUUGUAAUGAUAAGUCAGCUCUUGCAGGGGAGGAAUGUUCUCAGCAGCAAAGAGCAUUAUGUGAGGCAUUCUCUUGUCCUCAUGAUCAUAAAGGACGUUUUGGGCAUAAAGAUUAGGCGAACAACUGUGGUUAACAAAUCUCCCCACAUUGCCAUACUCCACUGCAUCAAUGGUAAAUCCACCAUCCUCCACAACUCCACAGGAACUUGAUGGUGCAUCAGGCAUAACAUUCGAAAGUCCACCCCAAAGAGAACCAUCACUAUACUUAUUCCCAAUAUCAAAUAGAUACUCAUCAUUACUGGUUCUUCUUUCCGCUUCCUUCUCUUCAAGGAGCUCCCCCGCGUACGCACAGAUAAAACUUCCCGAAGGAAUGGAAUUUAGGGAUCUCACACCCCAUCCCCGUGCUUCAGUUUUGAUGAUCUCAAGCUGAACUUUGAUACCCUGCUGGCUGACUCUAUUAUGGCAAGAAGCUUCGUUACUCUUUUUCAUUGUUUCACUGGCUUGCAUACAAAUACAACAUUAUGCAGGCUAAUUACUUAAAAGGGAAUGGCUAGGGCCGACAGACGGAUGACGCGGAGCAUAGCUCACCUACCCCAUCUUCCAAUAAAUAGCAAUUUUCCAUUUAUUAAUUGUUCUACAAGCCUCCUCUCUCCUGCAAUAAGUACGCAUGGUUUUUUUUCUUUUUUUUGUCCUUACGUCGCACCAAACCUGUCAAAAACCACAAAGUUUAAAAUUGAUUUUGUGUUUUGCAGUGCAACAACUGCUAACUCAACUAUGAUUAAUGAGUGCUUCCGUCCCUAAUUUUCGAGCAUAGCUAAAUACGUUUGCCUGGCUUGACCCGUUUACUAGUGCGUUACAACCAAAAGACUGAUGGUGAUCGAGUGGGUUAAUCCAGUUGUUGUGAGCCUAUAGCAUUUGCUUUUGACUCGACAAAGCAAUUUAAAAAAAGGCCAUUUUGGAUACCGGUACGUCACGUACUAAAUCCAAUUGCUUGGUGUGGUCUCCCUAUUAGCCUUCGGUUCUUGACUCAAUAAGUAAUUUCCAGCUAGUUUCCAUAGGUUUCAAUUCCACCAUUUACUUAGCAUAAUGAUCGAGAAUAGGGAUGGCAAUGGGGUGAGGUGGACGUGGAGAGUCUUAUCCUAUAUCCCAUUUUAUUAAAAAUGUUGCCUCUAUUCUUCACCUCAUUCUCCAUUAAAUUUAGAGGGACGGGGAUAAAAAAUUCCUAUAUAAGGAAUAAUUUACUCAUUCCUAUCCCAUUCCCCAUUUAUUUAUAUCAUAGUAAGUAUGGAUAUGUGGUUUUAGUACAUUAAAAAUUAGAGACUUAAAUAAAGUCAUUAUCAUAUUAUAGAGUAUUUCAAUUAUUUUAAAAAAUCUUCAAAAUUUUGAAACAAUAUCUUCAACUGAUAUCAAAAUUGAAAAAUGUUUAGAAAGAGCACCACUUAAUAAAGAAAAGAAAAUGUAAUAAUAUUUUAGAGUUGAAUAAGAAUUAUAUUGUAAGGUUUUCUUUUAAUUAUAACUUGUUUAUAUUAUAUAAAAAUUAACAAGAAAAUUCGUUAAUCGACAUUGUAUUUGAUAAAACAAAAAAUAGUAAAUAAAAAUUAAAAAAUAUUUAUAUAUAAUGGAGAGUGAGGUGGUGGUGGGGUAGAGAAUGCAAAAUCAAAUCCCAUCCCAUUAAGAGUUUGAGGAUUAUUUUUCCCUCAUUCCCUACUCUAUUCCCUAAAAAUUAUUUAAACACCAUGAGAACCCAAACCCGUGUAAGAUUUUGUCAUCUCUAAUUGCGAAAUCUUGAGUUUUCUCUUGCACGCAAGUCACAAGGUGUGUGCUAUUAGAUCUUUUGGCAUAAUUCAGCUGGUUGUAGAUAUUUUCACCCAAAUUCAAAUAGCAAUAAAGAAUAACGAUUGGUGUUUAGUGGUUUAAGUUUUUAAUCUCCAUUCAAUUUUUAAAAUAAAAAAAAAAGAUAAAUAAGUUAUGCUAUUAGAACGUCUAAACGAAGCAAAACCAAACCAGUAAUUAACAAUUACAAAACAAUUACUUGGUUGAUAAUAAUGGCAUGGGAGGUGAUUUUAUGAUUUUAUUGGUUGCUUUACAACGGUUGACACUCACUCUCAGCUACCGUCACUGACUCGUGUAGCACUACUUCAAAAGUCUCUGGGUGGCAAAGGAAGUAUCCAAAAUAUGAAAGAGAGACAAGUGUUAGCCAUAAAGUGAAAAACCUUUAUAUGGAAUUUGUAACUUUCUGCUAAUAAUUAUGAUAAUGAGUCGAAUUCAUUUCAAUAAGGGUCUUGAGGGGUCAAUAAUGGGGUCUACAUUUACGCAUCAUCAAUCUAAUCUAACUCUCUAGUCCCAAGAGGAAGAAAAGAGGUGGCAAUUUCCCCUUAGCAGCAGCCCUCAAGGCCUCUACUAUAAAUAUGGCCAUUAACAUUUGUUAGCAACCCAUCUCAUAAGUAUCCUCCUUCGUACUGCUAGCAAAGAUUUUGAUAUUUUGCAAAUGGGGUUAUGUCAAUACUACCUUCUUUCCGCCGUGCUGCUUUUGCCUGCAUUGUGUUACUCUCAGUUCACAUUCACAAGUUCUAGAGCUACAUUCUAUGGUAGCGCCGAUGGCUUGGGGACACCAGGUAUGUAAAAGUCCCACCUUUAUAAAGCUAUGUACAUUAUGCUUUAGAGAAGUUUUCUUUUGGUAUUUGUUUAUCUUUUAGAUUAACUAAUGUUCAUGUUGAUGAUUCAUCAGCUGGUGCUUGCGGGUUUGGUGAAUAUGGAAAAACUGUAAAUGAUGCUAACGUGGCCGGUGUGUCGAGCCUUUGGACUAAUGGAACUGCUUGUGGAGCUUGCUAUCAGGUAAUGAUUAUUAACUUUCAACCCACUCAAUCAUUGCAGUUUAUUGUAAAGCUAUAUAAUAAAUGUGUAAAAUGAACGAAUUGCUAAGACGGCUAAUCCUUAUGCAUGCGUGAAAGGAACUUGAAAACUUUAUUUAUUUAAAUUGUAUUGUUUAUAUAUAUAUAAGUAGUUUCAUGCAUAUUCUUCAUAAGACUGCUUAAAUCAUUUCAAAUUCAACAUCGUCAACAAUUUUAUUACCACUAGUAAUUCUUUUGGUUUUGUACCAUCAAUUAAUAAUGGUUAGUUAAUUAAUUAACUACAGGUCAGAUGCAAUGUACCAGAAGUUUGCACAGAUUAUGGGGUGUACGUGGUGGUGACUGACUAUGGUGAAGAAUACGACACAGAAUUCAUCCUCAGCCCACGCGCAUAUGGAAGAAUGGCACUUACAGAUAAGUCAGAAGAGCUUUAUACUUUUGGUGUCAUCGAUGUUGAAUUCCUGAGAGUCCCUUGCCGGUUCAGAGGCUACAACGUCAUGUUCAAGGUCCAUGAAAACAGCAAGUACCCACAGUACUUGGCCGUAUCCAUGCUGUACGUAGGUGGCCAAAAUGACGUCCUAGCAGUUGAAAUAUGGCAGGUAAUUACUUACAAAUUAACUUCUAAACAAUUGAUUUUUGGCCCGUCCAUCGCAUGUAAUGCUUUUGUUGGUGCAGGAGGAUUGUAAAGAAUGGAUGGCGAUGAGAAGGGCUUUCGGUGCAGUAUUUGACAUCUUCAAUCCACCACCAGGAGCAAUUAAUUUGAGGAUGCAAGUGAGUGGCAGCGCAGGGCUCAGAUGGGUUGUGGCAAACAAUGCUAUUCCCAAAGUAUGGAAAGCUGGAGUUGCUUAUGGAUCAGCAAUUCAACUUGCAUAAAUUUGAGAUAUCCCAAGCUUUAUUAUUCCUGGUUCCGGGUUAUCAGCUUCUUAAUGUCAUUUAGAUAUUCUAGUAUGUUGUUGCCCAGCAUCAGUAAGUGCUGUUACUUUAUCUUCUUCUUUUUUUCAGUUUGUUGCUUAGUGUGUAUUGUGGACUCCUGCCUCCUCAACCCUUAACUAGUUGCUAAAUAAAUAGUGGGAUUGCGUAUUUUAAUUAGAUCUUUUGAUCUAAUCCAUGAAGGAGUAAAUUAAUAAAAUUAUGCUUUCUUUAAAAUAAAAUCGUACAUCCGUCUCAUUUGUGUUGUCUCUGUGUGUGUGGUUGUUUAAUUUCUUCUGAAUAUUUAAGUAACUCCUUCUGCAACGAAUAGUAAUAAGUAAAAUUGAUGUAUUAUCAAACAACAUACAUCGUCGAUAAUAUUCCUUGGUGAUUACAACAUGUGAAACAACAUAUUUCAAAUGUAAAAAUUGUAAAAUAAACAGACGGGCCAUUCUAUUUUAGAAUUGAAGAUUAGCCAAAUCUUUUGUUAAUUGUUUAUAAAAGUAAAAUAAAUAUCUACCAACCACUCUUUGUUUGGCACUUUAUAAAAAAUAUACUAAUUUUUUUUUCUUUUGUGGCUAUCCACGUAAAGUUUACAAAAUGUAUGAUUUUUUUACUUUUUCAUUAAUAGAAUAUUAAUUAAACAACCACUAUAUCGUUAAAAUAUUAUUUAAUCCUAGCUAGUAAGUAAAUGAUGAAAAAAAAUUCCAAUUUGUAGCUGUUGGAACCAAUAGCAGCGAUAAAUUUAGUUAGAUGGAUUCAUCAAACCUACUGAUUUAACAAUAUAAAAUCACCAAAAUAACCACCAUAACUAAUUUGUAAUUCAUUCACAACAUAAAUUCAGAACCUCUGCUCAUAUAAUCCAUCCUAAAUAAUCUUUGACAACAAUAACAAGUCUUUGAAAGCAAUAAAUCACCAAUAAAAACAAUCAUGGUUAUCCAAAUUUUAUGUAAAAGAAACAUAAAAGUAGUUAUAGAAAACCUUAAACAUUACCAAUUAUGAUGAGCAUAGAGUUUACAGUUUGUUUCCAUCAAUUCAAAAUAAAACAUAUUCUAAAAUUAUCUAAAACAACAACUAAUAAAUAAUCUAUUUACAUUUAGGGGAUAAAAUAGUCUUUUAACAACAUCCUAUUAAAUCAUCUAAUGCUAUUAAUGGAAAAGUAGAAAAAUAAUAAAAAAUUGCAAAAGAAAAGUUUUUGGCGUAUUUUUAAUAAAGCGUAGAAUAUAUUUACCCAUAAAACUACAUAUAAUAAAUUCUUCAACCAACGUACUACAUUAAUUUCAUCUUUAGCUCUUCCGGUAAGCACUGGUUAAUGAAUGAUUUUAGGUACACCAUAAAAGGAAAACAGUCGAUAUUGUGAAUUUUUUUUUUUUUUUGUAAUUUGUUACAUUUCUCAUACGCAAACAACAUAUAAAGCAUGUUCAAAAUGAUACUGCUACGUAUACUUGGAAAAAUAAAUUAACAAGAAGUGACGGCACAAUAUCUAUUUCUCCUCUUUCGGAAGUGUUGUAAUCUUACAGGAAAUGACCAGGACAUAACACCCCUUGGAAGCAUCAUAACACUUGCCUAUAUUAAAGCAAAGUCCUUAACAGAAUUUGACAUUUGGCAUUGGAAGGGAAGAAUGCAUCAAACGAGGGCUGCAUUGACUGUGUUAAGUUCUUCAGAAUUAGAGCAACUGUCGGUAAAGGACCGUCAACUUGCACAAGUUAUCGGCUGUUUUGUACAUUUUGACGCAGUUACUGGUUCGAGUCGUAGGAGUAACAGUUUAUACGCAUCCAUUAAACAUCAGAUAAAUGGAACAAGUGAUAUGACUAACAGAGCACUUAAAUUUAAGUGUACGUCCUAGAUUCAAAAGCCUUUGUAUCACCACGGAUCACUCUUACAGGAUUCUGUUCAUGUAUGCUGUUCGCUAGAGCUAGAUUCCCUCGUUCAAGCUUCUGAUCUUCAGGUUCCUUGCCUCCGUUCAUCACAUUCCCUCCCUGACCAGUGUAAAUCAAAACAUCUGAGUUGUCCAAAGUUAUCAUCGUAACCCCCAGAUGCUACAAUACUUGUAGCAAGAUUUUUUCCCUUGCGCUUGACAUAAUCUAUACCACCCUGAAUUUGGAGAUGAAGACCAAUCAUAUUCAGCUCCACCCUGUAUUGAAACUCGUCGCCCACUUCAACUCCUGGAACCGAUCCAAUGACUUUUUUUGUCGACAGGGAUGUAUUUCUUUUUGUCCUUGAGAAUCCUUGCUGCUAGGUAAUCAACCCUCUUAUGAGAAUUUUGUCUGCUGGGUUUUGCUUCUUCUUCGUGCAACAGCUUCCUACAAACAGCUUGAAACAGACACAAUGUCUCCCUCACCUUGUUUCGGGCACCAAUAGCAUUAUUUUCAGGACCUUUACCACUUGAACUCCUGGGAUGAGGAGGGAGGGUCACAUAACAAACGUGGGCAUGUGCGCCUUUGGUUGCAUUCCUCCUAUGAGUCAAUCAAUGAUCCUAUUAUCGACUUAAAUAAUGACUUAGACAUCAAAGGGUUCAAGCAUACCUUUUGCACACUGGAGCGGGGGUGCUACGGAUGUAAUAGUAAAAGUCUAUAAAUCUGCUAAUUUUGGUGAAAGUAUCCUUAUGGUAUAUUUUAUAGUACUACAGUAGGACCAAGUUGAGACAUAUGGUAAAUAAACAGAAUAAUUUAUUGUUCUACAAAUCAAUAGGGAUCCUUGUGAGAAUAACUCGCGUUCCCAUCAUUUUUAAUAAAACCCACAAACUCUUCCCCCUUUCACAUUACACUAAACUCAAACUCCCCUCUCUCUCUCUCAUACAACUCCAAAACUAAAAACACUCACUAGAUCAUCCAAAAUUUUCGCAAAGUGUAGGAAGGGGAUGCUGCGAGAAGAUAAGUAGUUUAGAGACAUCAACCAUACACAUACUUUGGGCCCAAGUCUCCACAGUAUUAUUCCAUUAUUUACACUAGUGGUGGAUGUCCCAUUAAGGAGGGUGAUGUCAUUAUUCGAGUCCAUUAUAAGGACAGUCACUAUCUCUAUUUGAUCUCCCUCCCUCCAUCCCUUCUCUUCCAAUUAGUUGAUGCAUAUUUAGGGACUUGAAAUUCUUUCAUUGUGAAACAGUUCAUUGAAAUUAUUUUUUCAUUGGCUUCAAUAUUUUGUUAUUCAGUGGAAGUAUAGGUAGAUUGAAUCGACAAUGUCCAAACAAAGCUGAAAAGUAGUGGUUUUGAAUGACGUAAUGGCGAUGCCAAUCUCAAUGCAUUCGGCAAGUGGAGGGGAAGCAAUGUGGGUCAGAAUGAAGGUAGGUUUUGGUAAGAUAAAAUGUUGCUACCGAAGUGUGUGGAUCUAUAGAAUAUACUUUUAUCGUGNNNNNNNNNNNNNNNNNNNNNNNNNNNNNNNNNNNNNNNNNNNNNNNNNNNNNNNNNNNNNNNNNNNNNNNNNNNNNNNNNNNNNNNNNNNNNNNNNNNNNNNNNNNNNNNNNNNNNNNNNNNNNNNNNNNNNNNNNNNNNNNNNNNNNNNNNNNNUGUUUCAAAAUUUGUCAUAUUCUAAGGAUCGACACAAAUAUUGAUGGAUUGUGACAAUAAUUAGCAUUGUCAAAUAAGUAGAAAUCGGCACUCUUCCUGCGCUUGAUGUUGUUCUGUUAACGAGUGGCCAUUUACGAGCGACCAUUUUCAGUCUAGGCGUCCUUUGGGGUUCUGCCGGUAUAAUUUUUGUUGUAGAGAUCGGAAUUCCUCAAAACUAAGGGGGGUCUUCUCCGCAUUUCGACUGAUACUUACAAUAAAAAGAACUCAUUUUUGCGAUGAUGCAGUUACGAAUAUUUAUUUGAACACAAAAAGUGUUUAAGAAAAGCUUCUCUAAUGAGUUAUUCCACCACAAAUGGUUAGUUUCGACUGCCUUGGGGAAGUGUCAAAUAGCCGUAUGUGCUGUCCCAUUCGUUACUCUUUUUCAUUGUUUCACUGGUUUGCAUACACGAAUACAACAUUAUGCAGGCUAAUUAGUUAAAAGGGAAUGGCUAGGGCCGACAGAUGGAUGACGAGGAGCAUAGCUCACUUACCCCAUCUUCCAAUAAAUAGUAAUUUCCCAUUUAUUAAUGGAAAACUCUCUAGUUCUUUAGCACUACUCUUUAUUACUUGUUCUACAAGCCUCCUCUCUCGUGCAAUAAGUACACUUGGUUUUUCUUUUUUCUUUUUUUUUUUAUCUUACAUCGCACCAAACGUGUCAAAAACGACAAAGUUUAAAAUUUAUUUUGUGUUUUGCAGUGCAACAACUGCUAACUCAACUAUGAUUAAUGAGUGCUUCCGUCCCUAAUUUUCGAGCAUAGCUAAAUACGUUUGCCUGGCUUGACCCGUUUACUAGUGCGUUACAACCAAAAGACUGAUGGUGAUCAAGUGGGUUAAUCCAGUUGUUAUGAGCCUAUAGCAUUUGCUUUUGACUCGACAAAGCAAUUUGAAAAAACGCCAUUUUGGAUACACGUACAUCACGUACUAAAUCCAAUUGCUUGGUGUGGUUUCCCUAUUAGCCUUCAGUUCUUGACUCAAUAAGUAAUUUCCAGCUAGUUUCCAUAGGUUUUAAUUCCACAAUUUACUUAGCAUGAUGAUCGAGAAUAGGGUUGGCAAUGGGGUGAGUUGGAUGUGGAGAGGACUACCAUAUUCUUGAUUUUACUAAAAAUCUCGCCUCUAUUCCUCACCUCAUUCUCCAAUAAAUUUAGAGAGAUGGGGAAGGAAAAUCCCUAUAUAGGAAAUAAUUUUCUCAUUCCCCAUUUAUUUAUUUCAUAAUAGGUAUGAAUACGUGACUUUAGUAAAUUAAAAAUUAGAGACUUAAAUAAAAUCAUUAUCAUAUUAUAAAGUAUUUAAAUUAUUUUUAAAAAUCUCCAAAAUUUUGAAACACCUUCAACUGAUAUCAAAACUGAAAAAUAUUUAAAGAGAGCACCACUUCAUAAAGAAAAGAAGACAUUAUAAUAUUUUAAAGUUGAAUAAGAAUUAUAUUAUAGGAUUUUCUUUUAAUUAUAACCUAUUUAUAUUAGGUAAAAAUAAAAAAGAAAAUUUGUUAACCAACUUUGUAUUUGAUAAAACAAAAAUUAGUAAAUAUAUAUUAAAAAAUAUUUAUAUAUAAUGGGGAGUGAGGUGGGGGUGGGGUGGAGAAUACAAAAUCAAAUCUCAUCCCAUUAAGAGUUUGAGGAUUAUUUUUCCCUCAUUCCCUACUCUAUUCCCUAAAAAUUAUUUAAACCCCAUGAGAACCCAAACCGGUGUAAGAUUUUGCCAAUCUCUAAUCGCGAAAUCUUAAGUUUUCCCUUGUACGCAAGUCACAAGGUGUGUGCUAUUAGAUCUUUUGGCAUAAUUCAGUUGGUUGUCGAUAUUUUCACCCAAAUUCGAAUAAUGAUAAAGAACAAUGAUUGGUGUUUAGUGCUUUAAGUUUUUUAUCUCCAAUCAAUUUUUAAAAUAAAUAAAUAAAUAAUUUAUGCUAUUAGAACGUCUAAACGAAGCAAAACCAAACCAGCAAUUAACAAUUACUCGGUUGAUAAUAACUCGGUUGAUAAUAAUGGCAUUGGAGGUGAUUUUAUGAUUUUAUUGGUUGUUUUUAUAAUAAGUUUUUCUCUCUCAGCGACCGAAGUCUGUGGGUGGCAAAGGAAGUAUCCAAAAUAUGACAGAGAGACAAGUGUUAGGCGUAAAGUGAAAAACCUUUAUAUGGAAACUGUAACUUUCUGCUAAUAAUUAUGAUAAUGAGUCCAAUUCAUUUCAAAUAAGGGUCUUGAGGGGUCAAUAAUGGGGUCUACAUUCACACAUCAUCAAUCUAAUCUAACUCUCUGGUCCCAAGAGGAAGAAAAGAGGUGGCAAUUUCCCCUUAGCAGCAGCCCUCAAGGCCUCUACUAUAAAUAUGGCCAUUAACAUUUGUUAGCAACCCAUCUCAUAAGCUUCCUCCUUCGUACUGCUAACAAAGAUUUUGAUAUUUUGCAAAUGGGGUUAUGUCAAUACUACCUUCUUUCCGUCGUGAUGCUUUUGCCUGCAUUGUGUUACUCUCAGUACACAUUCACAAGUUCUAGAGCUACAUACUAUGGUAGCCCUGACGGCUUGGGGACACCAAGUAUGUAAAAAUCUCACCUUUAUAAAGCUAUGUACAUUAAACCCGUGCACAAGUUUACGCGAACUAAUAGUUCAUUUCAUUAUGCUUUAGAGAAUUUUUGUUUUGGUAUUUGUUUAUCUUUUAGAUUAACUAAUGUUCAUGUUGAUGAUUCAUCAGCUGGUGCUUGCGGGUUUGGUGGAUAUGGAAGAACUGUAAAUGAUGCUAACGUGGCCGGUGUGUCGAGGCUUUGGAAUAAUGGAACUGGUUGUGGAACUUGCUAUCAGGUAAUGGUUAUUAACUUUCAACCCACUCAAUCAUUGCAGUUUAUUGUAAAGCUAUAUAAUAAAUGUGUAAAGUGAACGAAUUGCUAAGACGGCUAAGCCUCUGCAUGAAAAGAAUUUGAAAACUUUAUUUAUUCAAAUUAUAUUGUUUAUAAAUAAAUAAAUAAAUAAAUAUAUAUAUAUAUAUAUAUAUAUAUAUAUAUAUAUAUAUAAAUGUAGUUGCAUGCAUAUUCUUCAUAAGACUGCUUAAAUAAUUUCAAGCAUCGUCAACAAUUUUAUGACCACUAAUAAUUCUUUUGGUUUUGUACCACCAAUUAAUAAUGAUUAGUUAAUUAAUUAACUUCAGGUCAGAUGCACUGUACCAGAAGUUUGCACAGAUUAUGGGGUGUCCGUGGUGGUGACUGACUAUGGUGAAGGAGACGACACAGACUUCAUCCUCAGCCCACGCGCAUAUGGAAGAAUGGCAAUUACAGAUAAGUCAGAAAAGCUUUAUUCUUAUGGUGUCGUCGACGUUGAAUUCGAGAGAGUCUCUUGCCGGUUCAGAGGCUACAACGUCAUGUUCAAGGUCCAUGAAAACAGCAGGUACCCGCAGUACUUGGCCGUAUCCAUGCUGUACGUAGGUGGCCAAAAUGACGUCCUAGCAGUUGAAAUAUGGCGGGUAAUUACUUACAAAUUAACUUCUAAACAAUUGAUUUUUGGCCCGUCCAUCGCAUGUAAUGCUUUUGUUGGUGCAGAAGGAUCGUCAUGAAUGGGUUGCGAUGAGAAGGGCUUUCGGUGCAGUAUUUGACAUCCCUAAUCCACCACCAGGAGCAAUUAAUUUGAGGUUUCAAGUGAGUGGCAGCGCGGGGCUCACAUGGGUUGUGGCAAACAAUGCUAUUCCAAAAAUAUGGAAGGCUGGAGUUGCUUAUGAGUCAGCAAUUCAGCUUGAAUAAAUUUGAGAUAUCCCAAGCUUUAUUAUUACUGGUUCCUGGUUAUCAGCUUCUUAAUGUCAUUUAGAUAUUCUAGUAUGUUGUUGCCCAGCAUCCGUAAGUGCUGUUACCUUAUCUUUUUAUCUUUUUUUUUUUCCUAGUUUGUUGCUUAGCGUGUAUUGUGGACUCCCGUCUUCUCAACACUUUAACUAGUUGCUAAAUAAAUAGUGGGAUUGUGUACUUUAAUUAGAUCUUUUGAUCUAAUCAAUGAAGCAGUAAAUGAAUAAAAUUCCACUUUCUUUAAGAUAAAAUCGCUCGUCCGUCUCGUUUGUAGUGUCUUUUGUGUGUGUGUGUCUUGUUUAAUUUCUUGUGGAUGUUUAAAUAACUCCACUAUAUUUCCUCUACUAAUAGUAAUCAGUAAAAUUGAUGUAUUAUCAAACAACAUACAUCGUCGAUAACAUUCCUUAGCGAUCACAACAUGUUAAACAACAUAUUUCAAAUGUAAAAAUUGUAAAAUAAACGGACGAGCCAUUUCAUUUUAGAAUUAGAGAUUAGCCAAAUUUUUUGUCAAUUGUUUAUAAAAAUAUGAUAAAUAUCUACAAACCACUCUUUGUUUGACACUUUAUAAAAAAAUAUAAAACUUUUUUUCUUUUGUGGCUAUCCACGUAAACUUUACAAAAUAUAUCACCUUUUUACUUUUUCAUUAACAUAAUUAAAGAUUUAAUAGAAUAUUAAUUAAACGACCACUAUACCGUUAAAAUAUUAUUUAAUCUUAGUACCUAAAUGACGAAAAAAAAUUCCAAUUUGUAGCUGUUGGAACCAAUAGCAGCUAUAAAUGUAGUUAGAUAAAUUCAUCAAACCUACUAAUUUAACAAUAUAAAAUCACCAAAAUAACCACCAUAACUAAUUUGUGGUUCAUUUACAAUAUAAAUUCAGAACCUCUGCACAUAUAAUUCAUCCUAAAGAAUCUUUGACUAUAAUAACAAGUCUUCGAAAGCAAUAAAUCACCAGUAAAAACAAUUAAAGUUAUCCCAAAAACAUUUAAAGGAAACAUAAAAGUAGUUAUAGAAAACUUUAAACAUUAUACCUUGUUUCCGUCAAUCAAAAAAUAACAAUGUAAAACCAGUCAUGAUGAACAUAGAGUUUACAGUUUGUUUCCAUCAAUUCAAAAUAAAACAUAUUCUAAAAAUAUCUAAAACAACAACUAAUAAAUAAUCUUUUUACAUUUAGGGAUAAAAUAGUCCUUUAUCAAUAUCCUGUUAAAUCAUCUAAUGCUAUUAAUGGAAAAGUAGAAAAAUAAUAAAAAACCUGCAAAAGAAAAAUUUUUGGUGUAUUUUUAAUAAAACGUAGAAUAUUAGGGCACUUAAAUUAAAGCGUAAAAACUAACAAGGGGCUUAAAUUUUUGGUGUAUUUUUAGUAAAGCGUAAAAACUAUCAGGGCACUUAAAUUUAAAUGUAUUGUCCAACAAACAAAUACAGCAUAAUGCAAUUUCACGGACGUACAUACAGACAGACACAUACAUCCUCAUAUUUGUGAGCAUAGGUGAGCCAGAAAGAUGCUAGGACUUGGAACAAGUGAUAUAACUAACAGGGCACUUGAAUGUACCUUUCUGAUGAAAAUCAAAACUACUACUGUUAACCUCCCUCAGUACAACCGACCAGUGCAUUCUGAAGAACCACAAAAGCAACUCUUCUUCUUAAUGUUGCCAGACAAAUCAUAAACUUGAUCUAUCACGUAAUUGUAAUGAUAAGUCAGCUCUUGCAGGGGAGGAAUGUUCUCAGCAGCAAAGAGCAUUAUGUGAGGCAUUCUCUUGUCCUCAUGAUCAUAAAGGACGUUUUGGGCAUAAAGAUUAGGCGAACAACUGUGGUUAACAAAUCUCCCCACAUUGCCAUACUCCACUGCAUCAAUGGUAAAUCCACCAUCCUCCACAACUCCACAGGAACUUGAUGGUGCAUCAGGCAUAACAUUCGAAAGUCCACCCCAAAGAGAACCAUCACUAUACUUAUUCCCAAUAUCAAAUAGAUACUCAUCAUUACUGGUUCUUCUUUCCGCUUCCUUCUCUUCAAGGAGCUCCCCCGCGUACUCACAGAUAAAACUUCCUGAAGGAAUGGAAUUUAGUGAUCUCACACCCCAUCCCCGUGCUUCAGUUUUGAAGAUCUCAAGCUGAAAUUUGAUACCCUGCUGGCUGACUCUAUUAUAGCAAGAAGGAGGGCACUUGCAAGAAGGACGACACUCAUAGACAAGGGGCUUUGCCUGAACAAUGGCCCCAUUGUGGUUGUAAGGAAGCUCCCCUCCAUUUUUAGCCACACAAGCACAUUUCCCCAACUCUGAACAUCCGUUAGUGCAAUCACAACCCUUUGGAGGAACAGGACGGCACCAAUCAGGAUAUAUAAUAUUGGUUAUGUAUUUAAAUGAUGGGGGCUUUUCAUCAUCUACAGUGUUCACAGCACAAAUGGGAAUCAACUCCUUUCCUUGUGAGAUAUCAUCAACACAUAGACCCUCACGUACUUUAGAUUUUUUGCACUUCUUCACCACUUUCCAAGAAAGCUCCGGCUGACCCGGAAUUCGGGCCAACUUAAACUUGAAAACCAGCUUACCAUGUGAGCCCACAUCCUGCCAAUAUCUCUCCACCAAAUACAGACCAUCAUAAAUGUACGUCCUAGAUUCUACAGCCUUUGUAUCACCACGGAUCACUCUUACAGGAUUCUGUUCAUGUAUGCUGUUCGCUAGAGCUAGAUUCCCUCGUUCAAGCUUCUGAUCUUCAGGUUCCUUGCCUCCGUUCAUCACAUUCCCUCCCUGACCAGUGUAAAUCAAAACAUCUGAGUUGUCCAAGUUAUCAUCGUAACCCCCAGAUGCUACAAUACUUGUAGCAAGAAUUUUUCCCUUGCGCUUGACAUAAUCUAUACCACCCUGAAUUUGGAGAUGAAGACCAAUCAUAUUCAGCUCCACCCUGUAUUGAAACUCGUCGCCCACUUCAACUCCUGGAACCGAUCCAAUGACUUUUUUGUCGACAGGGAUGUAUUUCUUUUUGUCCUUGAGAAUCCUUGCUGCUAGAUAAUCAACCCUCUUAUGAGAAUUUUGUCUGCUGGGUUUUGCUUCUUCUUCAUGCAACAGCUUCCUACAAACAGCUUGAAACAGACGCAAUGUCUCCCUCACCUUGUUUCGGGCACCAAUAGCAUCAUUUUCAGGACCUUUACCACUUGAACUCCUGGGAUGAGGAGGGAGGGUCACAUCAAAAACAUGCGAUCUUUGACCCAGAUGAAAGUUUUCUUGUCCUCUAUCAUGCCCAAGAGAAUCUUUCCCAUCCCUCAUCACCAAUGCACUCCUAUUUUCAUAGGCAUUUCUUCCUGAAUAUGAAUUCCUCUUACAGUAUGAUCCUUCAGAGCCUUUUGCUUUGAUAAUUUCCUCAGAAGGAGAUUUAGAAGGUGGCAGCAAAUUAUGCUUCUUUCUUUCCCUUUGACCUGUACCACUAACAUAGUUAGGUUUGCAAACCCCUUUCUCCCGUCUCCAUGGACAGUUCAGCGAUGCCAUUAGACCUUGCACAAUAACCCUGUUCAAUGCAAGCUGUAAACCUUCAGAAUCUUCCUCUUGGAAUUGAUUGUCACUUACAGAAAAAUCUGACCGGGUUCCAUCAAGCUGUUUGUGCUCUCCAUAAACCACGAUAUCCCUNNNNNNNNNNNNNNNNNNNNNNNNNNNNNNNNNNNNNNNNNNNNNNNNNNNNNNNNNNNNNNNNNNNNNNNNNNNNNNNNNNGUUGCAUGAGGACAUACAACACUCAUUUCACCCGUAUCUUCCUGAGCAACUGUCAUCAUUUUCUUAGAAGAAGUUGCUAAGGUUUCACUCUUUGUUUCCAUGGUAGCAUGCUCUUCAAAAUCAGCAAGAACUUUACCACUGGUGAUUUUAGAAACAUCGCCUCCAAACUCAUUCAUGCAAACAUCUCCAUCAUAACCGUUCACUCUGAUUUGGUUUUCAUCAGUCUUCACAGUCUCUUUUAAUGGUUUGCCUUUGGAAUCAGACUCCUCUUGAGGUGAACUCCUAAAAGAAGGAUGUGCUUCCAUGCACUCUUCUUUACCAAGAACUGAAGCAUUUUGCCCACAGAAGGGAGGAAAGUCUCUGAUAGCAGAAACUCUUCUCCUAGGAGGAUAAUUUCUAGUCAAAAUUCUCUCCAGAUUACUUAAAUGUGGAACAGCAUUUCGCGAAUUAGGUGAGGAUAGUGCCUUUGAACCACUUUGCAGGACCAUCUCUUCAUCUGAAACACCAAUAUGCAUCAUGUUCAAAUUUUUUGACCCAUCAUAAAUUUUGCCUCCUGAAGUGUUUACAUUUUCGGUGUCUAGCAACAAUGUUCCAUUCGGGUCAGCACUAACUAGAUCCAGCAUAUCCACAUGAUUAGAUGAGACAACAACAUUUUCAGCAUCAGGCCUAACUACACCAACAAUGGCUUCUUCAUUAGGUAUCCAAUUGAUCCUUGAGGCAGACGGUCCACACCCGGGUGGAAAAUCUCGAACAGCAGAAAUUUUUCGCCGCUUAUGCUUGGGACCACCUUGCGAAGCACAGUGGCCAUUUUCCAUAGGCGCUUUUCCCAACCUACCAUCAGAAUGACUACCAUUAGGUAAUGAAACAACUCUAGCUGACUCUGUCUGCAGCAAACUGUCCAUAACCCCCAUCCCAACUCAUGAAAUAUUAAAACAACCUGAAAAAUAAACAUAAUCAUCAUUAAUCUCUAGAUUAAAAAAAGCAAUUAUAACUCAGAAACUAAAUAUUGAGCAUAACAGCAACAAGGUGAACCAAAUGAGCAAAGACUCCCAUGAGCCAAAAGAUGAACGUAAGAAAAGAGAAGUAACAACAAACUUAUAACUGAAUAGUGAACAAUGCAAUUGUACUAAAUUUUUUGCAUUAACUAAACAGAAAUUUAAGCAAAUGCCUUCGCAGAAUUAAACAGAUUAAAGAAAGCCUUAUAUGAAGAAACUAGAUAUAGCAGACUACUAAGAAUCUCAAGAUUCAGAAUUACAGUAGUCUCCAGGUCCCAUAAAGACUAAAUUAAACAACAUUUAACAAUCCUUGCAUAAAUGAAAGCAAACAACAACAUGAGUCAAACAACAUAAGAGAUUAGUAUCUGUUGGAUCGGUUUAUAAACUCAGCCAAAUUUAGUUAAAAAAAUUAUUGAAAGUAAAAAUAAAAAAUAAAAAUAAAGAUAAAGGGGACAUAAGAUUUAUGAGGACUUCUUACGUCUGCAGGGCCAUGCCCACAACAAUUACCUACGGAUGGAGCCACGCCCAUGAACACUACCUAAGUCCACAGACAGGAGGGGUGACGCAAACCCGAUCCGAUCUCAGGUUCAGGUUCGGAUUGGAUCAGAUUACUUGUGCAAUCCGAUUGAGUGAUGUUUACUACAACAUGAUCCAAUCUGAAGAUCCAAUUGGGUUGGGUCAAAAAAAAAAUCUAAAACAAAACUAUAAAAUUAACUAAACCAGUAAACCUAAUCGAAAUGAAAUCUGUAAACAAAACUCACACUCACACACGCAGAGCCGCAGCACACAAAGUUACAAACAAAACUCAAAAUUCUAAAUCUGUAAACCACAGUAUCACACACAGAGCACAUGACCACAGCACUCACACCAGUACACCACACACAGACACACGACACAUGCAGCUCAGGCCCCGGAGGUUGGAAACACUGAGCAGCCACAGGCACGCACUGCCGCGUGCGCACACACACACAUAGAAAUCAGGACACAACCGUGCAAAGCAGCAGCCAGCAGUAACCGACGUGACUGCACGAAGUCAAGCCAUCGCUGCUGCUACAAAGUGCCACAGCAAUCUGCCGCACCGCAACUGCUGCUGCCUGCUGCUACCGCAACGCACCGAUGCAAUCUACCUGCUGCCGCUUGCUCCACCAGCCUGCAGCUUGUUCCACCUCGACAGCCACCAUCACCAAGUUUUUCAUGGUAUAUGACUAUAUUAUAUUAAAUAAUUAAUUUCAAAAUUUUGAAAUUAAUUGUAAAAUGGGGUUUAUUGUUUGAAUUUAAAUAAACUUGACUUCGGAAUUAGCAAGACAUCUAAACCCGAUAUUGUUCUAUGUAUUGUAUUUCUAUAUCUAUAUCUAACCCUAACCCACUCCAAUCCGAAUUAAACCUAAAUUCAUGUUCGGCUUGGAUCAGAACAAAAACUCAGGUUGAGUUCAGAUGACUUUUUCCCAACCUGAUUAACUCGAAACCCAAUUGGGUUUAUCUAAACCUGAGUUUGCCCACCCCUGACGGACAGGGCCCCACCCACAACGACUACCUAAGUCCUUGGACGGGGACACACCCACAACGACCCAUGCCUAAAUUUUAAUUAAUUCACUAAGUAAUAAAGAUUACAACCUCUUGGACUUAUUCAAUUAAGAGUAUUGGUCCCCUUGGUGAAACCAAACCCAAUGAACUUGCUUAGCAAUCACCACUUGACUUCAAUGUCUGCUGCAACUUGAACUCCUUCAAUCGUUGCAAAUCGUCUACUGCUUCCUUGAAAUCCCUUCAACACAAGCAAACCUAAAAUACUUCUCCCGAAAAUCUUAAUCACAAUACGAGUUUAGAAAAUAAACAAUGGAAGGUUGAAGACUCAAGUCUUCCAUCUCUUCAACACAAGCAAACAUGAAAUAAUUUUCCUGAAGAUCUUAAUCACAAUAGAGUUUAGAGAAUAGAUGCAAACCUAAAAUGCUUCUCUCUAAGAUCAUAAUCGCAAUAGAGUUUAGAGAAUAGGCACAAUUAAAGUACUUCUCCCUAAGAUGUUAAUCAUAAGUUCAGAUAGACAUUGGAAGGUUGAAUGACGCAAACCUAAAAUACUUCUCCACUCAAGAAUACAUAGAAAUCUUAAUCACAAGUUCACAGAAUAUACAAUGUUAAAUUCAAUGAGUGAAACUCCUCCUUUAUAUGUUACAUGUCAAACCCUAAUAAAGAGUGCAAUAAAUGCCAAAUCUACUUAUAACGGAUGGAGUCUUCUAAUAAUGGAACCUUAUUCUCCACAAGUAAAGCACAGGUGUUUCUUCUUGCUUCAUGCAAAAGUGAUCCAAAUUCUUCAAUGAUUUACAAUAAGAUGCCGACACUAAAUAUGCUAACAGUAUCUCAUGUCUACAUAUGUAAUAUCCUACUAAACAAAUGGCUGCAAAAGUUUCUUUUACCUUGUUUUCUAGGAAACCAAACAGAACAUACAUACCCCAAAGCUCAGAAUCUAAUACAUGGAAAGAAAAUGAGAAAAAUCGACAGUAAACAAUCCAUGAAAAUAAAAUCAUAUGUCAUUAUAUAACUAACUAGGCUUUAAAAAAUAAUAAAACAACAAAUGAACAAACAAAGAUUCAGGCUCUAAUUCAGGCCAUUUUCCAGCAUCUUCUCAGUAAGCACACAGAAUUUGAGCUACAAAUCUCAUAAUCACAACAAUCAAAUUAAACCUAAACAAAAGUUGAAGACAACAAUUAUGCGAGUAUCAAAAUGAUUAAAACCUAGUAAUUGAACUAAUUAUAAAAAAAAAACGAAAAUGCUAUCUUCAGUUAAAUAACACACAAUAUUCCAGCAUUUUUCUCAGUGAAGCCAAUUAAUCAAAUUAAUUUUUAAAAAAUCCACCAGAAGCACAAAAUAUAGAAGUAAAUAAUAGACCUGGAUUUGGAAUUUAGACUGAAUCAACGGUCAAUAAAGCACAAGAUCUAACUGCACGACAGUCAAUAUCGGAAAUGAUUUAGGUUUUGGCCUCUCCGAAAAGUGCAGUGUGAUGUAUUGGAAAAAUGAAAAAUAAAUUUGUUAUCUUCACAUUCAUGCUUUAAGGCGAGUGAAAAACGAGGUUCUGAUUUAAAGGCGGUCAUAAACGACGUCGUGAGGUGCUUCCCAAAAUUAGAAUUAUUUCGCUCGCUCACUGCGGUGGGCAGGUGUAAGUAAUAAUAAUCCUUGGCGCUAAAACGGAAAACCACGAGUUACUUGCUUACCCUUACACCGUCACUGUUUAGGCAUGACCCAGUCAAAAAUGAAGUUUCCUUUCGCUGUAAGAGCGUGUCAAAAAAUAAAUUUGGUUUGUGCACGUGUCCCUGAUUAUUUUUGUUUUUACGGCAUUAUGUAGUUCCUCAGAUCAAAUUAAAUUCUCUAAUCGCACAUCUGAAAAAGGUUUGCAAUUUUUUAUUUGACUGAAACUUUCAAGUUUCAACAACUUUUAAAAAAAUUUAAUUACAUUAUUCUUUAAAAUACCUUAAAUUAAUUUAUAAAAUAUUAACAUAUAAAUUAAAAGUCCACAUCCCAUCAUUAAAUUUUAUCUUAAAAAUUUUUUAAUAUUUUUAUUUAUAAAUUUAUACGAAUUCAAAAAGCGUAAAUUAUUCUUAUCUUGUUACCUAAUUUCUACUUUCAUAAUUAUAAACUCUUAAAGUUUCUCAAAAUAAUACUUUUACUUAUAAUUUAAAUAUAAAUUAUGAAAUAGGACGGGCAGAAAAAAUUAUUAAAAGAAUAAUUUAUUUAAAUAUUUAAUCAAAUAUUCAUUAAAAAAAAAGAUAUUUUUAUUAUUUAAAUAAUUUUGGUUAAAGAGGGGUUUUAGAAGGAAUUUAAAGGAAUGUCAACAGGCCUACUCUUUUUAUUUCUAAACACUACACGCUACAUUGUGAAUCAAAAGUCCACUAAGACUUAGGUCCAUUUAAGACUAAAAUUGUUAAGGUCCAGCCCAAAAUUCCACAAAAAACAUUUUAAAUUUUAAAUUUUAAAUUUUUUCCUUUUUUAACUAUUAAAAUAUUUGAUUUUUUUUCCCGAACGAAAUUUGAGGGGGGGGGGGGAAACCAAACUUGGAAAAUAGUCUUAAAAUCUUUGGAUUUUUUGAAACUAACUCUUAACUUUUAUUGUUAUCAUAACUGGCCAAAUACAUGUUAACAUAUAUGUUUCUAUAAUAUUGAUUUUGAUGAUAACAAACAAGAUUAAGAAUGAUUAAUCUUUUAAGCUCAAAUUAUUUAAUAUUCUUUUUAAAUAAAUCAUUAUUUUCACAUUAUAAAUGUUUUGUAUUUAAUGGAAAAAUGAUUUUAUGAAAUUGAUUGUUUUUAUUCUUUUUAAAUAAAUCAUUAUUUUCACAUUAUAAAUGUUUCAUAUUUAAUGGAAAAAUGAUUUUAUGAAAUUGGUUGUUUUUCAAAGUUUAUAGUUUAAUUGAAACAUUUUGAAAACUUUGAAAUAAACAAGUAUUGCUUGAAAUUUUGGUGAAGGACUUAUUUGAAAAGUGUCAUAGCAUUUUAGGCUAUAACAUAAUUUCAGAAAGUUUUGGGAUUAACAAAGCAUUACUUAGAAAUUCUGAAAUUGGACAUAUUUAUAAAGUUUCAUAACGUUUUGGGUUAUAGUACAGUUUUGUAAAGUUUUAUGGUCAAACUGUAAAUUUUAAAAAAAGUGCACCGUGCAGGUUACUGUAGCAAUCACUGUAGCAAACGGCUAACCGUUUAUUUAAAAAAGGCUAACCGAUAAUUUCCAGAAAGCAUGUUCUGCAAAGUAUUGUUAAAAUGAUGAUUCUGGAAACUAACGGUGAACCGUUUACUGAAAACGGUUAACCGAUUAUUUCCAGAUUGCUAACCUUGAACCGUUUAGUAAGAGCGGUUAAACUAAAUUUGUUUUGCAGGUUUCUGGAAAUUAACGGCGAAAGGGUAAGCCUAAACGGCUAAUCGUUUAUUUGAAAUUUGGCCCAACGGUAACUUUGACCAAACGAAACGGUUAACCGUUUAUGGUUAACGGCGAACCGUUUUCUGUCCGACAGUUUGUAACGGCUAGAUUUUCAGCUCUAACUAUAAAUAAGCUCAUCCAAAUUCAAACAAGAUUGAUCACAACACAAUCAUUGAGCUUAUAUUCGAGAAUACAAUCUUCAUUAAGCUUUAAACACAUUCUCUCUUCAUCUAUUCACACAUUGGGCAUUGAUUUCUAAUCUUAAAUAUUGUGUGAGAGAAAAACAAUUUGUAAUCUUCUACUUUGAGUGAUUGUAAGUGUUGGGAUACACUUGGGUUAAGAGAUUGGGGAUAAUCUCUUGUUGUAAAGGUCCAUUGACACAUUGGAAGUCAAUUGUAAGCGUUUGAAGCCUUGGGAGGCUAGCUUAGUGAAAUCCUCAAGCCCGGUGAGCUUGGAGGCGUGGACGUAGGCGGAGAUUGCCGAACCACGUAAAAAUCUUUGUGUUUGUUUUCUCUUCCCUUACUCUUUUAAUAUUGUGCAUGAUUGAAUUUAUUGUUUUCAAUUUGAUUAAGGCAAUAGAUUAAAUUGUUGAGAGAAUUGUAUUGUAUAAUUUUUAAAAUCCCAAUUCACCCCCCCUCUUGGGUUGCAUACUUGUAUUUCAAUACAAUGUUUUUAAACCGAAUAGGCCUCAUCACUUUCAAAAAAUUACCAAAGCAAUACCACUCUUAAAAAAUCAUCAAAUCUCACUGCUUCACAAAAUCAUCAAACACCAUCACUUUCAACAAAUUACCAAAUUCAUCAAACAAAUGUAGCAAUACAUAACUAAAGAUAUAAUCAUCAAUUAUAAAUCCUAAAGCUAAGGUUAGUGUAUCACACAAUGUGUGUUUUUUAAUGUUUUAAGUUAAGGGUUUAAGUUUGAAAUUUAUGUGAAUUUUUUUUUAAAUGUUGUUAUUUUUAAUUCAUAAAAUAAUGUGAAUUCUUAAAGUACUUAAUUUGAGUUCACAGAUAAAAAAAACUAUUGAAAAUAACAAAAAUUCGAGUUAAAAAAAUAUUGGAACAAAACCCAAAAUAUAUACACAGACAAGGCGACUAGUACUUGAUCACAUAGUCACAUUAUGUGUGACAAAUAGGGAUCUAAAAUGUGGGGGAUGUUUUUAUCCAAAAAAUAUCAUUUUGCUAGUUGUGAUAUUAAAAAGUUAUCGGGUUCAAUUUAAAAAGAAAAACUCAAAAGUUUUAGGAUUUUUUUUUUAUAAAUUUUCCAAAAAGCACAGAACCAAGUCAGGGUGGCUUUUUCCAGGGUCGAGCUAAUAUAAACUAAAAGCCUAAAACCGAACCCAACCCAACUCAAAUCAAACCCAUUUUAUAUCCAUAAUGUCAUUGUUUCACUAAUAAACAUAAUAUUUAAAUUAUUACCUUCGUCUUUAGCUUUCGCAAGUACUAUAUUAUUAAAAAAAAAUAAAAAAAAAGAAGGGAAAAGUACUAGAUUUUAAUAUCUCAAUCUUAAAAAUCUUUAAAAAAAAUGUUAAUUAAUGAGGACGAGCCUCGAAUUUAUCGAUCGACCACAAAAUGACAAAGAAUAAUUUUUAUAACAAAUUUUAGAUACAAAUAUUUUCAUGAAUGUCACAUUGAUUUUAAUAUUUCCUCCUCCCUCAACAUUCUCUGUGUUGUCCACUUUAAUGAUGUUUUCCUAAAUUUAAUACUAAAUCUCCUUAUUUACAACGUUAUGGACCUUUUGGAAACAAUUAGACAGAACCUAUACAUAUGAGUAACGUGUAACUCUCUCUUCCCGAAGGAAAAAAGUUUCACAAAUUAAAGACAAAAAAAACUAGGCACGGAAAGCAUAGAACCAAAGUAGCAGUUAACUUCCUAACACCCCAAUGAUUAUUGCACGUAAUUUUGUAACCUUUGAUUAAAAUAUUCGGGAAACUAUAUUAUGAUUAAAUUCUCCAGGAAAAACAUCUUAGUUUUGCUCUUUAAUAAGAGAUUUGAAGCAUGUAGCAGUUUACAAUAAGUGAAGGCAGAUUCAAGUUGUAACAAAUAUUGAAAUCGAGCUUUGCUGGUGCAAACGAAACAAGUUCAUUUGAUUUGAUUUUAGGGAAGGUUGAAGAAAUGACUUGUUGUUUUGAAAUAAGAAGUCAGCAAGGCACAUGAAAGUGUGGAAUGAAAGAUUGAAAGUUCUUAAAACAAACUGUACAAGUUGGCCAUGGCUCGUUUAAGUUAUAACUUCAAUUAGAUAAAAAACUAAAAAAAAAAAUAUUUUUUUUUAUAAAUAUAUAAUUAGAAAAAUAUCAUAAGUAAACAAAAUUCACAAAUUUAAUGGAAAAUGGUAAAAUUUGCAAAAUGCUUUAAAUAUCCACCGUUGAUCUUAUUACCGGCCGUUGAUUGAUACAAAAAAGGGCGGGAAUCCUUCAAAAGGACCAAAAAGUCAAAAACGAUGAAGCCGCCAAUAAAUAGACAAAACCCUAAAAUUGAAAUCAGAAUAGUUCCGAAAUUCUCCCCACUUCACCUUUCGCCCAAAAUUUCAAACCUGAAAAAUGGAAGCCGACGAUCCUUUCGCCUCAAUCACCAAACUCUGCCAGGUGUCAUCCUCCCAGGAAGAACACUUGCGUCACUGUCGGUUCGUGGGCGAACCGGAAGAGGACCCGCAAGCUUCCGGGGAAAUUGACGAGCAAUUAACCGGCAUCAUGAUGAUUACUCCUCCUGAUAGUAUGUCGGACAACGACGAGAAUGACAAUAAUGCCCUUAAAGAUAACGAAAUUUUCCAUACCCCACCUGAAGAUACCCUAAUCUCCAGCUCCGACGAUCAUCGAGAUAAUCAAAGGGUUGUUAUUGAAGAAGAAGCUGAAGGGGGUUGUACGGAGGGCGAAAAGACGGUCGAUUUGGGGACGGAUACCGAUUUAGGGUUCACAGAGGUGGAGUUGACGCAGAGAUCCGGCAGUGCAAACGAGGUAAUUCAAUCUGAAUUAAACAAAAUUAGGGUUCUGAAGAGAGAAUUAGCUGCCAGUGAACGUCUAAUCGAAUCUCUAAAGAAAAAAUCGAAAAUUUCGGAUAACAGUUUUCGUUCGGAAUCUCCAAAACGAUGUUUAGGGGAAAGUGUAAAGAAAAUAAUGAAAUCUUUGGAGAAAUUGAAUUCUAAUAAAGGCAGUCCGUACAAUCACGAAUAUAAAUCUCAUCAAAGUAAUCAAAGUAGUGAAGCUAGUGGAGAUAGUUCUUCCAAAAGGAAGCUAGACUUUUCAACUGACAAUUUAGGAUUAGAAACUGAAGCUACUGAUAGGGAUUUAAGAUUUAGUGAAGGUUUAGAGCGCAUUAUAAGAAAUGGGGAAGGUUAUAGAUCAGUAGGCAACAAUGGAAAUGGUAAGGGAACUUCAAUUUCGGGGCGAAAGAGCAAAGAGGACAUUGACAAGUAUAGGUAUACUGGUCCAAGCGUUCAUAACUCAUGUGAAAUGGGGAGAAGAACUCGCGCGAUACGCUCAUUGCCGGUGACAAUUUGUGGAAAGGGAGAGAGGGAUGCUAGGAAUGAUUAUAAGGAGAUCACGCUUUUGGAUGUCUUGAGGAUGCUGGCAAGGAAUUGUGAUUAUGAUCAUAGCCUUGAGAGUAAAAGCAUCUUGGAUGUUGCAAAGAGUCGGGGCUUGUCUUUUCCGUAGCUAUGAGAUAAAGAAUCAUCUAUAACAUGUAUAUAAGUGGACAUAGGGUUUUUAUGGACAUUGGUAUGAUGGGUUUCGAACUGAACAGAGGUUUUGGAAAUCCUAUUGUUCUUGGAUGUGAACCUGUUUCCCCAACUGCUGCUGGCCUAUACAGUUAGGGAUGUUAUUGUUGGUUGUUACCAAUGGGAGGAUGUAUGUUGGAGCAUAUUGAACUUAUAAAUUGGAAGAUAAGUGCAUUUGUGGAUCAAUAAUGGGAUGCUGUCGGUGUUACUUGGUUUGGGAGCUUUACAUGAGGUGCGUGUUUGGACUUUGGAGCAUCAACACAUUUUUACGCAAAAAAUCUUGUACAUAACUAUAUAUAUUUCAGCUACUAGUGUUCCUUAACUGAGCUCUAUGUGUGUGUAAUACUGGUUUGAUAAGACAGUUGUUGGUUGGACUUAUUUAUUGUAUGAAGUCAAGCCCUGUUACUUAGCCUAAAUUUAAGGAUCCAAUUGAAAAGGAUUUUGCUAAAAUUUGUCAAAGAAGAAACAAGGUAUUUAUAGCUAUUCUCAUUCUUCCCCUUCAUUUCAGGAAAUGUACAUUAUAUAAGUAUUUACAUAUCUAUCAAUGCAUAGUCGUACCUGUUAAAUUGAAAUUUAAAAUAGUUGAUUUAAUAUGUUGAGGCAAUCAGGCAAAAUGUUGCUUUCCCAAGUCAGGAUAAUAGCACUAUGAAUCUAUGAUUGGCUCUCUUCAAAUGCACGUGCAUCGGCUGUAUGCAGUUGCACAAUUUGACUUUGGGAGUUUUCUUUUAUUGCUCUUAUAGUUAUAGGGAUCCAUCUUGCAGUUUUUCUGCGGAUAAAACUUCAUGAGGUCAUCAGACUUUGCUUAUUAAUGGAUUCUCAUUAACCGGUUAGUUGUUCAUGGAAAUGAUGCCCCCAUUUUUUAGCACAGAGAAUUGAUAAUCCGCCCAAACAAGAAAUAAGUAAAAUUUUAGAUGUGUAAUAAGUAUUUCAUCUUUGUUGUUCAUAAGAUUUAACCGGGUAAUUCUACAAAGUUACGUUGAGCAUUUUCAAAUGCUCAAAUAAGUAGUGAUGUUUGGUGGUCGUGCACAAUUUAUUUAAACCGGGCUAAUGGUAUUAAGCUAUGUUCAAAUUGAUGUGCACAAAGUUCUUAUAUUCUCACAUCUAAGAGAAUCAACUAGCAACGUAAAAUAUGAUCUUACAGAUCACUGUUCCUACAUCCUAGAAUGAUUGACCCACUAAUGAAGUCGAUUAUUCACAAUAAGCAUCAAAAGAGCGAACGUUUCUUCUUUUCCCAUAUAUCUUCGGGACUGACAUGACCAACUGAACUAUGCAGUUGUCCAGCCAAGAAGCAUAAAUAUAAUGGUUACUUACCAACUUAAUUCACAUGCAUCCCUCCCUUUGUGGCUGGGUAAAAUCUAUGAAACUGAAGCAACGGCUCCAAGAGGAUGUGGCAAGUUAUUUUGCAUGGCAAACAUUAUAUUUGCAUACAUAACUCUGAAAAUCGCCCCUCUACAGCAUCUUGAGCUAUAUAUUACAGUCUGUUGUCAACCUAUACAAAAAAGCCCACCCAAGCCAAAUUUAUCUCUUAGCAUUCCAUGUUCGAAAAGAUCAAGGGAAAAAGAUCAACCAGCAAACGUCAUUCACAGAACUUUAGUAGUUGGCAUGCAUAGAGCAUCCAUCGGACAAGCACUGAAGGAGGCAGUCUGCAGACUUACAUGGCCCUAGUAAUCAAAGUACUAUUUGGACCAAUUCUGCUAUGGUCGGGCAUGAUUCGGGUAUGCUGAGCUACUACUGCUUGCCUGUUGGCCAAAACUUAAAGAUGGGUGAAGGAGCUCUGCCUGUGGAAAUGAGCCAUUGGAUGGCACGUCCAGCAGCAGAUCUUGAUCAGAACUUUCAUCAACAAAAUGCAGAGAUUCGAGCAUGAGGGAGCUACCAUCAGAAGGCAAGGCAAAUAAACUUCUUGGACUAAAGCAAGAGCCAUCAUUUUCCAUGAAUUCCUUGUUUUCAUAGGUAGCCUUCACAGUCACCCUUUUGGGGCUCUUCAUAAUAUUUUUUGCUUCUGAAAGAGCAAAGAUACUUUUAGGGAGCAGUUCCAAUGUACAAUAUUGUAAUGGUUACAGAAGACCAUUGACAAUCAAUUUAUACUGUGAUGUAUUUAUUAUGCCAUUACAAAAGCCUGUCACUUGAUCAUGGGGUUAGUCAACCAAGUUGUCAACACUAACCCUUCAAAUUGAAAAGACGUCUUUGAGUUUAGAUGUAUCCACACAUGCAACGGUGCACCAACAGAGAUUAAUUCAAAUUUCUAAUAUAUUAUCCAUAAUCUGUGCUAAAGAUGUUUUAAGCCAAUCAUCUGUUUCAUUAAAAUUUCCCCAAAAAUCUAUCCUCUAAAAGUGGUAGUGGUAUUUGUGAGUGUCAGGUCCUUAGGAUUAUCGGGACAGAAUAUGUAUGUAGGGGAAAUUGUUGAGGCUUAACUGUGUCAACAGAAAGAAAUGUGUAUCCUCUAUGAUAUUGCAUGUAUAUGUUUACUGCAACGGAACUUAAAACUGUGUGCCAUAAGCAAUUGGAAAUUAUGUGAACAGAAAUUACAGAUCCGGGAUUGAAGCCUAGAUUGGAAGGAUUGAUUUUAACCACAUCGGUAAUCCUAGUGCAUGUUAUACUUGCUAGGAACAAAGUACCCUUCAGCUUAUCAUAAUCCUAUUUAUUAGUCUCCCGUUUGGUUUCUCUUUGUUCAUUGGAGAGCCUAAGUUGUGUCUUCAACGUUGGGAAUCAAUGAACCUCUCCAACCUUUUGUAGUGUUUACCUGAUCAGAAACAUUCAAUGACACAUUAUCACAAGUUUGACUAACCUGGAAACUUUUGAUUUUGGCCAUCACGUAAUCUCUUGGCAUUUAUUAUGUUAUUUGAUGCAGCGGCAUCUGGCCCUCUUGAAACAUAUGACCCUCCAGUACCACUCUUACACUUCUGCAACCAUAAAGUGAGCUAAUAAUUAGCAAGAUAAUUGUCAAUCAACUUUCCAAGGAAUAAAAGUUCUGAUAAAGAUUUUAAAGUAAUGAUAUUCAAAUAAAAACUCAAUUUAAACCUUGAGUGAUUGAUAGUGCUCCACCCAAUUGGAUGUUGUCAAAUUAGAUAACGCAAGCCUUUUCAAUGUCCUGCAGUCUUCGGUUGCCACCCCCAGGAAUGAGAGAUCAAAAACCCCUUCUGCAAGCAGUUGCUGAAAGGAAGAUAUAUUCUCCUUGAAUUGAAGGCUAUCAAACAUACUAUUGAGGCUGCACAUGCAACAAUGAUAUCAUCAAUAAUGCACCUCAAAAUUGAAACCUUUUCUUUAAAAUUCCACAUGAAAUGAAUUGCUUCAACACCAAUGUUUGAAUAUGCAUAAUAGGACCAUCAAUUGCUCAUUAUUCAAGACCGGAUUCCAUUGGUUUGGUUAUUAUGCAUAUCACACUUGCAAUCCAAUUUGGUGUGAUUAUCCUUACUACACUGCAAUGAAACCUUAUUCAUUAUUUCACUAUAGAUCAUAUUUCAAAAAUUCUCUACAUUCACUUGCAUAUAGCAUAAAAGACAUGUAAGAGAAAGAGACUGACCUAUCUGGAAAUACGGUGGUGUCAUUAAGAGGUAGAUACUUCAGUAAUUGCUGCUGCUCCUCGUGCGUCAAGUGUCCCACAAACUCCUUAAAAUUGAGAAUAUCCUACACCAAAUAUGAAUACUGACCAUGAUAUCUCUCAACAAUUUAAAACAGAACAAUGUUCAAGCAGAAAUAUUCUGCACAAUAGAUAAAUACAACGAUGCAAGUCACACUGCUGUAUGAGUAAUUUAGGGUAGAUUCACAAAGAUCCUUCAGAAGAAAUUCAAAGUGAAACUUUGAGAGUGCAUAACAAUGAGAAAGUGAAACACGGUAACCCAUAUACCAUAUACAUAACUCAGUUUGACAUGCUUCAUAUUGAGAAAUGCACAGCUGAAAGUAAGCUUCAAUAUAUAUAUAUAUAUAUAUAUAUAUAUAAUUUUACCAAAGCCUUCUCAGUAGAAUGCUAACAGAUAACAUCAAGUUCAAAUCAAUGGUUUUUGUAUGACCACCAGACAAAGACCAACUUAAUACCACUUACAUUCAAGUCUAUUUCACAUAGCGGUGAAUUAUGACUCCCCAGGAUUUGUAAUUUUUCCUGCUGAGAUUUGUCCCUGAAAUGCCAAAAAACAGAAAUGUUAACCAAGCUAAUAAUCUCCAUUUUGUAGUUAUGUUGCAUGCUCAUUAUAUAGGGGAGGGUUUAAAUUAGAAACCAUUACUUUUGUUUUCAAUCUCUUAAAAAUAGAUAAUUGACAAAAGGGCUUUCAUAUGUUUUUACCAUUCCCAAAGAAGUUACCUCUUAAGUUGAUCUUGUUGCAUGCCUUGUUCAAUGAAGUUCUUUGCUUUGUCCAUGUUACGACUUGAAAAGUUUACACCCUGGUAAUCAUUAUAUACAUGAAGGGUUGCAGAACGAGAGUAUGACUCAUUUACUAAGUACUGUUUGUUUUCAACUGACAAGGAACUAGCUUCAGAUUCCUCUUCUCGUGCUAUGGAACUGGGAUGUCUAAUGAGAACACUUCCAUGUCCUAUCUCGACAGACACCAUUGGUGUUUCACUUUCAAAAAGCAAAUCCUCUUCUGAUGAUCCAGAGAAGUAUGAAGACUGUUGUUCAUGUAAAAUAGUAUACAAAUCUUUAGUAAGCUUCUCAACUGGAGAUUGCUUUGGACGAUUGACACAGGUUCUCUUCUUAGAAGGUACCACCGAGUCCCACACAUUUGAUUGGGCUGGACCUGACAAGAAAAGCAUCAGGAAAAUACUUCAGAGGCAGAAUUACCAAGCACAGUAAGGUCGAUAAAUUAUUGAAUCAAUGGCACUUGAACUAGUCAAGCAAGCAGUUGGCAUUCCACACAGAUAGAUUCUGGAACAGUUAAGUUACUUUUCUCUAAUUUACUGGAUUCAUAUAUCAUACGGUAGCUGACGCAAUACCAAUGUUCUUAACUCUUUUUAAAAUUUACAUGAAACUGAGCAAUGGAUUAUGCAACUCUAGUGAUGGCCUGGUAUAAAAAAAUUUCACUCAAAAGGGGCAACGAAGAUGAACUUUAUUGAGUGCCCAACCUGUCAAAUCACUAGCAUCUGCACUCCCAAAUUGUACACAGCUCUCAGAAUUAGAUAUGGCAGACCCCGAACUAGAUCUAUUACUUGUGUCUUCAUCAACAACCUUCCGGUAUCCAUGGUUGUAAUCAGGGGCAAAACCCCCAACUACCACAUUGUCAUAAUUUGACUUUCGCUUGAGAACUUUCACAUCUUUGUUCUUGUUAAUAGAUAUGCUCUUAACUUUGGAAACCCUGUGAUCCUCAUAAUCAUCUGGUUCAGCCCGAGCAUGAAGUGGGGUAUAGUUUGCAAGAGUUCCCUUUGUCCUCCACCGAGAUCCACAGGCAUUGCACAGUACAGGCUUCUCAGGAGGCCCAUUGCGCCAAAGAGGAGUGCCUAUUACAACACUUGAUUGUUAGCAAUAAUAGACAUCAAAUAAAUCCAUUUACAAAUAUGAUUAAAUAUGUAAGUAAGAUAGACUUAGAAGAUGAACUAAUGGUCAUCUAGAGCUCCUCAUUGUCAAUAAAUUUAACAGCCACACAAACAGCAGGAACAUUCAGCAGGAAAAUGAUUUGUCAAAAUAUGCACUUCAGCUAAUGCAUAGACAAGGAUGAAGGCUCUAUUGGACAAGAGUUGUUAACAAAUACAGGUGAAACAACAAAGAGAUUUUGAAUAGAAGAUAGAAAGCUAAUCACCGAGAGAAGUAUAUAUUUGGGAGAAAUGGAUAUGAAAAGCAUUCCAGUAAAUUUCUAAUAGAAAUAGCUUCUCAGGCUUGGGCUAAUAUACAUCUUUCAUGUGGCGGAUUUCAAUAUUUGUUCAUGUCGAUUCAACAUAUCAAUAUUCUCACUCUUUCUGUACCCAAACUAAAACAGGAUUUAGGAUGCACCUCCUCUCAUCAUAAGCAAUUUAUGAUCAGGCCUUUUCUAAGUGAUCAACAAAGCCAUUGCUCUUUCUUCCCGAUUUUUCCUUUCUUUCUCUACUGAGCUUCUUAUCAAAAUAUAUAAAUAAAGGCAUUGACCUUUAGGGUGGAACAAGGGCAUAAUUCUCAUAGAUACUCUAAUUACAUGUACAAAGAAAUAGAAUUUUCUUCCUCGUUACACCACCAUCUGGUAUUGGUCUUGAGGUUUCCUCUCAACAUGACCAUUUCUGAGUGUUUGGCUAUCCAAAACCUAUUCAACAUUGAUUCAAAUUUGCAUCAUUCCAACUUCUAUGCCAAAGAAUAGUGUUGGCAUUGAAGAUAACACUGAAGUUGCUACAACUAAGGAGAAGCAACUUUAAUAAACCUCACUCACAGCUCAGUCCCAACAAAUGCUUGCGGGAAAUCAAAAACAAAUGUUGUGCUGCACACUUUCACAGACAAACAAAUAACGUAAUGAUGCAUUUGGAACUAGUUCAAGAAACUUCUUAGCAGGUGAAUGGGAGAGUUUGUCAACUUCAAAAGACAAUAGGAUGCAAUUAGAAACAAAAGCUCAACAUCAAGAAAACGGAAGAAAGUAGUUUUGAACUGAAAUAAAAGUAACUAAAUGAAAGUAAUUUCAAUAAGCAGUUGGAGAAGCAGCACAAGUUAAUCAGUAAAAACAGUUCAAGCACUUAUUAGCAAGUACUCUUCAGCUCUAAUCCUACAUUGGAUUCACUCUUUAAAAACAGGAAUGUGGGCAAUAGAUUCGCCACUGAGGUUAAACUAAGCUAAAAAAAAUUCACAUUCCUGAUGUUGUAGAAACUACAUUUAUUUUUUUCUCAUAUUGAAUAAUUCAGUAAGCAAAAAAUUCAUACAAAAAGUUCAGCUUGAGCUAUUUCUCAAUCUGAUAUUGACAAAGUGAUUUCCAACAAUUUGAUGAAGAGUCCAAACUCAACUCUGAAACAAGUUGAAAACUGUGAUAGACAGUCAAACAAGAAAAACUGAGUACUUGGACUCAAUGAAAAACUGGAAUUGAAAGCAGUAUCAGUUCAAAUAAACAAGACAGCUGUGUUUCAGAAUCCACACACAAGCAAAAUCACACAACAAUACAGCCCAUAUUCUCAAUUCAUUAGCUUUUUGCACAUAGUUUAUUCCCUUCAAUCAUAGAAUUACUCAUCCAAUAUGCAUAUUCAUAUAUCAAACAAACAAAAUAAAAUACAAAAAUUGAAGAACACAUUUUUUCCUUAAAAAAUGGAGAAACAAGAACUCACUUGUAACUCCACAGUGAUAGCAAGGACCUUGCUUUCCCAUGUCCUUCCCUUAGUUUUUUUUUUUUUUUAACCCUUUAAAGGAAAUAAUUCUAACAAAAUUCUGGUAAACAAAAGGGAAAAAGGGCAAAUUUAUUGACAAAAGUUGAAACGAAAAUUAAUAAAUUUGUAAGAAUAAAAAAAAAAAACUGUUUUUUUUAAUCUAUAUUUCUUCAAGCCUCAUAUGGCAUAUACAAACACAGCUGGGCACAAACAAGAAAGGCUUCUCAGCAACAAAGCUUUGCUGAAAAAAUAUUAAAAGCCAAAGACCCAGUACAGUAUUUUCUCAGUUUUUUUUUUUUUUGGUUGGUUAUGUGGUCUUAUUUAUUUAAUUGUUAUUUUAAAAAUCACAAAAAAAAAUAAUGACAAAAAUACAAUAAGAAAUGAAAAGAUAGAGAUGGGUUUCUCAGCUGGGAAUCUGUACAAUCAAAUGGAAAAAGUAAAAGGCCAUUGAGAGAGAAUCUAAUUAAAUGGCUGUUAAAAUGUGAAAGAGAAGAAGCAGAAGAAGAAGAAGAAGAAGAAAGAGAAGUGUUUGUGUGUAUAAAUAAUAUAUGACCUUUUGUUGUUGUAUAGUUGUAUGUAUUGUGAAGUAAAAAUGUAAAAUGUUCAGCUCUCACUCUUUAUUUUACUUUUAUUAUUAUUAUUAUUAUUAUUAUUUUCAUGUUACCAAAAGAAAAAAAAAAUAGAAAGACUGAAAGAUUUCAAUUCCAUAUUUAUUUAUUUCUUCUUAUUUAAAAAAUCAGUUAUUAUUUUUUUAAAAAAACCCAUUCCGAAGUGAAACAUUGCAAAGAAUAUAAUUGCAUAUAUUCUGUUGACCAUAGGCAUCUCUUCUUUGUUAAACCAAAAGGGGGCAAAAAAAAAAAAAAAAAAGCCAGAUAUUAAACUUAUGGUUUUAGAGAAAAUUAAAACAAAAAUAAAUGGCAGAGAACAACAAAAAAGGUGAAAAAAGCAAAGAGGGUGUUUGUUUGGCAUUUUCCUUUGUAUAUUAUGUUUUUCUUUUUUUUUUUGGGUAUUUUGUACAAGAUAAUAUUAAUAAUAUUCUGUUCUGUAUGUUUUAUGUGAUGACAUGAUGUUGAUAAAUAUUAAAAUCAGUCUUUAUUUAUAAAAGGAAGAAAAACUAGAGUCACCCUCUACGCUACAUUUCGUGGUCACAACUCACAUGUGCGACGAUUUCAUUGGGGGAAGCUUCGAAUUAUAUCGACAUUGGGCCCCACUGAAAUGUAAUUCGGUCAAGAUUUUCAAUUUAAUUUAGGUUUUAGAUCUGAGGGUAGUGAGUACGGCUGUGAUUAACGUAACUUAAGUGGCCUGUCAUUGUAAAGAUAAGACUUGUAAAAAAGCUAAAACCAAAAGCAUCACCACAAAAAGGGACAUUUAUUACAAUAUAAUUAUUCUUUUCCACCUCCAAUUUAGCAUUUAUUUAUUUUUUAAUUGACAUCAAUUUUACAAAAACUUAACGAGACAAAUACUAUGCCAAGCCCAUGAUACACGGUGGGUAUCCCAUGAAUUUGACUGAUUUUGGUACCCAUGUGAGUUUCCUUUUUUUCUUUUAUUUUUUUUUCCUUAUUUCUAAUUUUUGGUUUCAGCUUACUUUCUGAAUAAUUUGGUCGACCCACAAGUCUAAAAAUCGUACUAAGAAAACCAACAGGAAUACAGAAAUCUUAGCCGUGUGAUUACAAGCACAAGGCUUUUCCAACGAAAGAUUUUGACCCAAAGCCAACUCACGUCAUGUUCAAAAUCGGACGGCCAAUAAUCAUCAGUCUUUUGGGCUUCCCCAGUGAAUAGUCAAUGAAUAAAAAGUCAUGCAGAUUAACACGACCUAUAUAAAUGUCAUUCGUUAUACAAGUUUGACGUAAAUUGUAAUGUUAUUAAUAAUACAUUUUUAUGUCUACGGUGUUUUUGUUAACAUUACAUCCUCUUUAUCAUACAGAUUAUGGACCGUCCAUUCAAUCACAUAAUUGGAAGAUGCGACCGAUCCCAUUAAUAAAAAAUAUAUAUGACUUUUUUUAAAAAAAAAUAUUAAUGAAAUGCGACUUCUUAUCACUCAAAAAAAAUACCACUUUUUUCUUUUUUAUAGAAAAUGAAACAUGACCUUAGUAAGAUAUAAAUAUGAUUUAUAAAAAUGUUUUUACUUUUUUUAAAAUUUAUGGUGGUUAUCAGUUUAUAUGAAUAGAGUUUAUACACUUAAAAUUAUUGAUAUUUCUUAAUUUUAUCGAAUUUUAUUAGCACAUUAAAAAAAACCCUUUUUUUCUUUAAAAAAAGGAAAAAAAGGGGGGGGUCAAGACAUAAUGGUGGGUCCCAACAAAGAACUUCAUAACCGAUGGUGCUUUGUUAGAUCGGCCACUUCUCUUCUCCUCGGUUCUUUUCUUAGUUUCCUUGGUAAAUCUUCUCAAUAAGGAAACAAAGUUAGUGUACAGAACACUCACACCGAAACAUUUAUUUUAAAGGACACGUAAGGUAUUGCAUAAAUGAUUUAGACCGCGGCCCCACGUCAGGAUCACGCUCUUUUUUUUUCUUUUUUUAUAAUCCGGUUUGAUUGUUGUAUGUAAACGAGGAUGUGGCGUUGUGGGUCCGUCGAGUGUAAUUAGGUUGGAAAUGCAGACGCCACGUGCACAGCGAAUGUGGGGUGAGGGUGCAUGAUUGCAAGCAUGUGGUGAGACACAACAAGUUCGCUUGUCUUCAACUAAAUUCGAGUAAAUAAAAAAAAACAACAAAUCGGAGCCCGUCUUUAAUUAAGAAGAGGGUAGAGAGCCCUAAUCUUCUCUUUCGGCAUAACCAAUGACCUUCAAUUCUUUCUUUUUUAAAAAAAAAAAAAAAAAUUGUUUAUGGAAAUGGAUUGUAUNNNNNNNNNNNNNNNNNNNNNNNNNNNNNNNNNNNNNNNNNNNNNNNNNNNNNNNNNNNNNNNNNNNNNNNNNNNNNNNNNNNNNNNNNNNNNNNNNNNNUUGUCAAUGUCGGGAUUAUCCCGCAUUUUUUUGGGGGGGAAUUUACGAAAUUAUCCCUUUACCAAACAAUCCCACAUUGUUAUGUUAGGUGUCACAAGGGAGUUGUCAUUAGCACUAAACUAUGAGUUAAGUGAGAUUACUGAGAUAUACAGACCCCUUUAUCUAAAGCUAACACCUGGUGAGCAGGUUCCAUAUGCUAAUAAGGUAUCCAAUUGUGACCACUACGACACAAUUUUAUUAAUAGCACUUCGUGAAUGAUUAUUCAAUGGGAUUGAUUAAAAUUAUUAAAUAACCAAGAAGUACCAUGCGAUGUUGUCAUUCUGUAUCAUGUGAUAGCAUUUGUAUAUACAAAUGCAAUUAUAAAGCUAAAAUAGUAUGAUAUUAUCUUUAUUGACGUCCCCAGUUAUUUUCCGAUAAAAUACAAUACAAUACAUUUGGAAAUUUUCACCUAAAGAAAAAAAAAUUGUUGAGACUUGGGAGUCAAAAUAUUGACAAAAACGACUGAAAAUUUGGUGAAUGUAACGUUAUAAAUAUAUUAUAUAUAGGCGUGUAUGUACAACGAUGGAAUGCAAGAAUAAAAAAAAAAUUAAUUCAAAAUAACGUAAUCUUUCGUUGUUAUUUGUUUAUCGGUGAAAGAAAAGCUAUCAAAUUAAUGAUAUAAUACAAAAGUAAAAAUCUUAAAAGUGUCAUACUAACGGAAAUAUAAAUUUUACAUUCCAAUUAUGAAUACCUAGCAUUAUUGGUGUAGGUAGUGGCAUGCUUGAAUUGAGCAUACCUAACCUAACCAUAUAUUUACCAUUGAUGAAUACGUCAACUUUUAAAAAAAAAAUUAAUUAAAAAAAAAAUCAACGCAUAAAAAGAUUUAUGUGAUCUGAUAAGAUGAUGUACAAGAUUUGUGUAGACGAAACUUCUAGUUGAUGGAGAGUUAUCUAACGUAGGUUGAUAAUUGCCACUUUUUUGAAUUUUAAUUGCAAUAGACAAAGAAGACGAAAGGGCAAGUAAAAUGUUUGAUGAUAUUCAGCUGAUAAAAUCUUGGAUAAUACACCAAAAGAGACAUGCUGUGGACAAGUUGGUGUGAUCUCUAAUUGUGAUGUUUUGAGGUGAAUUAUACCGCAAAUAAGACUCCGCAAAUUAGGUGGUUACAUGUAUCGAGCACCCUUGUUUUGACCUCAUACCACCUCAUUCGAUCUCUUUAUUUAUUAUAAUUUUUUUUUAGGUCUUAUUUAAAGUUAAAUUUUAGAUCUUGAUUGUUACUGUAGACACAGAGGUCAAUAUAAUUGACUCUAAUCUUUAUUUUACCUUAUCGGCUAAUUAAAUAAAAUAGUGAUGAUAAAUUAGACGAAGAAUGCGAAAUUACAUAAGAUGAUGGGUGAUGAUGCACGGCUAGUGCGCACAUGGCCAAUGAGAUGAAAUAAUUAGACCCCAUUUUUAGCACAAUAUUAUCCAUACAUAUCUCACUUUACAUUAGGGGUGUGCAUAUUUUAACCGAACCGAUCCAAACCGACCAUUUGGAUCAGUUUGGAUCGGUUUCAUUAGUAAAAAAACUGGUUUCGGUUUAUUGGAUUGCAAACCGACAUUACUCGGUUUGGAAGGAUUCCAAACCAAUUCAAACCGAUCCAAUCCAUAAAUAUUAUAUAAUUAUAUUAUAUUCUAAGUUAAGCAAUCCAACUAAUUAUAUUUAUCAUUUUAUGUAGAUUUUGACAAAUCAAAAGUAAUUGGACCAUAAGUUUUGACGGACAAGAUGCACAAUAUUUUAAUUGUCAAAUGUUGUUCAAGUUUAUUUUAAUUUUGUGAGUUUGUUUUGAAUGAACAUGUUAAAAACUUCUUUAUUAGGAUGUAUUAUGCUGUAAACUUGUAUAGACGUAUAUUUAAAUUGUUAUGUAGAUAUCAAAGUAGAUAUGAAUAAUAUAAAAGAGGUAUCAAUUCAGAUUACGGACACAAAAAAAUAACAAAUAAUUUAAGUAAAAUAAUAUAAAAGAAGUGGCAUUUUAACUAAUAAGCUCAAACCGAAUUUGCCCACCCCUACUUUACAUAAAAUUGUUCACUAGCCUAUUUAUUUAUUAGAGAGUUUAAAUUUUUAAGUACAAAAUAGUAGAUGAAAUGCCGGAGCCACAAUUUUAUGGUGAAUAAAUGUGGGAAUGUGGUUUCGGUUUUAUCUUGCAAGAGGGAAAGGCGAGUGAAGGAAUUAAUAGUAGCAAAUAAGUUUAAGUAUUGGGAAUAAUUGAAAAGAAACGAAGGGUAAAUUUAAUGAGAUUAAUUAUAUGUUCAUUUCGUGUUGAAUCUUUUUAUCUCAUCACGGACAACUACGAACACCGUAAGCAUUAUAGCAAAUAGUAUGAUAGAUGUAUACGAGUGUUUGUGAGAUAUUAUUUUGAGUGGCUACAAUUGUUGAAACUUCUGAGGGGAUUUUUUUUAAAUCUAAAACAAAAGAAAAGAAGGGUGUGGAAAAACAAAAUAAAAAGGGGCAUAUAUUUAAAAAAAAAAAAAAGUAAGACAAGUUGAAUAUGUUUUAUAGUUUGAAAAAAAAAUGGAUAUUUUGCAAUACUAUAAGAAAACUAGAGAAGUGACAGCAUUUUGAUAAAUUUUAAGACACCCAGUAUAUUCAUAAUGUUAAAUAUUCUAAUACAUAAGUAUUAACUACUAUUUUGUAUCACAUAUUUAUUAAAUAUCACAUCAAUUAUGAAUUAAGUUAUGAUUCAAAUACUAAAAUCUUUAGUAUUAACUUAGAGGAAAUGCAAAAUAUUUCAAUUUGAUUUGUUUGUACAAGAGAUGCUCUAUGCAAAACAAGAUAAUAAAUUUGAGUGAAGUUGACAUAAAAAAUUUACAUAAAAUUUUGUAGGACUCCACUAAAAGAUUUUAUGACUUGGCCUCUCCACAAUCCCAAUAUAUAUAUACAUAUAUAUAAUGAGUAAUGAUACAGCCACAAACUCUUGUACAAACUUAUUUUGUACAAACUAAUGUGGCGUGAUAAGAUUGGUUGAAUUAAAUAUCACUUGGCCCACAUGAUUUGUUUUUAUUAAUUUAUAUUUUCAUUCAACUAAUAAAUUAAUUCCACGUCAAUUUAUACAAAAUAAAUUUAUACAAGAAUUUGUGACUGUAUCAUUACUCAUAUAUAAUCCUUCAUUACUCCCGGUUCCCAGUCGACUUUUCGUAACAUGUACUUGCGAGAUAACAGUAUUUUAUUAUAAAAUAAAAUUUGAAUUUUUUUAUUCUUUCACAAUUAUAUUUGAGAUCCUCACAGUUCAUCGUAUUUAUGUACAGACACCAAAACAUUUACUACUUUCUCCAAAUGAUCCAAGCGCAUGUUGAAUUUUAGUCACGCCCUUUUACUGUUUCAAUCCAAACCUGCAGAAGGUUCGUCGCACGCGUAUGGUCCUGUGCUUGACCGGAAUGCAACACUGAAAUUAUACACCAAUAAGCUACUACCACGUGUUAUCCAACUAUUGGCGUGACUAACGUCGAAGAUGCUACAUAUAUACAUCAUGCAUUUUGGCCACACUGGUGGCUGGUCUUUGUACAAAGAAACUCACGAUUCCAAGUCGGCGAUAUUUUAUUUAUUUAAAUGAUGCAAAAGCAGGUAAUCUCAUUAUUAAACUAAUGCAACAAAAAAUUCCAGCCAUUAAAGAGGAAAUCAUGAUUUUGUUAUUAAUUAGCUGUGUCACUAAUAAAAAAAAAAACUUAAAACAUAUUUUGCCCUAACUCUUUAUUAUUUUUAAUGGGAUACCCGCUUUUACUUUUUCAUUUUUUUAUAUUUGCUUAUAAACCCUCUCGUUUUCAUUUUUUAAUCAAUAUACACUGCAAAAUAUAUAAACAUAUUUACAGAAAAAGUACAUGGACAUUUUUUUUUUAAAAAUUUUGACCACGAGGUAUCCUAGGGAGGGUCCUAAUUGUGAGAGACACCUUUAAGUCCGUACCACAAUCCAUACUAGAAGUCUCCGCUCGAACCGAGAGGCACGGGCGACUUCCCUGCGACUCGAAUUGAAGAGCAAACUCAGUCAAGACACUUAAGAGGACUCCAUUACUAGUGAAGUCAACACUUGAGUACACGGACAUUUUAACCAAUAUGCUAAAUCAACAUUGUUUAAAAUGCGGACACUCACACGUGAUAAUCUUCAUAUACUAGAUAAAUCGAGCAUUGUAUAUUCAAUUAGAGUUAGUUCUGUAUUCAUUCGAAUUAAUUACUAAGGACAUUCCUUUUGACUUUCAUUUGUUUCGUAUAAAUAGGGCUUCAUGGUUUAUAUAUAUAAUUUUUUUCCCUUUUGUUUUUUUUACUCCCUCCAAGGACGCGGUUUUAUGAAUCUGUCAAAUAUAGGGCCAGGAUCAAAGUUAACUGACGUUACACGUAAUAUGUCGAGCAGGUUAAGAUUUCUACCGAAGCCUUAAAGUCUAAACAAUUACUAGACAUUUGAAUGGGUUAAAAUUGAUAAGACAAGCUCAAUGUAACCACCCAUUAAACCCACAAAAAUCAAAUGGGUGUGAUUAAGUCAAGUGACAGAGACUCUCCUCUUAUUCAAUUUUAGUGUAAAGGAUUAUAAUUAUCCAGUACGCACACCCAACCAGAAAAAAAGAAUAAAAAUAAAGAUAAAUGGGGAAGGUGGGCUCUGAUCAGGAUUUGCAAUUGAUAAGACACAUAUGGGGCCAAAGAAUAAGAAAAAAAUUUUAAAAAAAGGGUAUUAAAUUUACUUUUAACAUCAUGCACUACUAAUUCAGUAAUUAGGCAUGUUUUGGAUUUGUCCAAUUUUGAAAAGUGCUUUAAGUAAAAGAAAGAAGGGGCAAAGCAUUUGUAUUUGUGCACAGAUAUGCUAAAUGGUACAAGAAAGCAAAGGCUCAAAAGUCAAGAGUUAGCAAAGUGAAUUUUGUUUUAGAAAUGAAAUCCUUCGAAGGGAAGGUAUCUCUAACUGGAGAUUCUCCAUGUGCUUGUUUGUGGGGCUCCAUCACAUCAGAGCUGAGAUUGCGGCAUUAUUUUGAACCCAAGACCUAAAAUUCAAGCUUGGCUUGGCAAAGCACCGGCCCAGCUGAAAUGUCUUUCCAUUUAAGGAGACAAGUGGGCCCAAGUUUUUUACCCAAUUUAAGGCCCAUGUCCUUUUCUUUUAGACCCCCCAAAAAAGAAGAAAAUUCCACAUUAGACAUUUUUCUUUUCAAUGCAGGGGAGCUAAAUCAUUAAAGAGAGAGAGAGAGAGAGAGAGAUCAAAAUAAAUGUUUUUUUUUUCAAUGUUCAAGUUUUUUUUUUUUCUAAUCUUUUAACUCUACUUAUAUUUUAAAAAUGUGGACACAGCAUUAGAUAACUCGAUAAUAAAAAAGACAAUUCAUAAGCGAAAUAAUUUGUUAUUAUCCGUUAUUUGAAAAUUUAGAAUAUUGCAUGCUAACUUAUCAAUCCAAUGAUACUUCUAGAAGUGUUUCUUUAUUUGAUGCAUUUGAUAGAGUUUAUAGAUUAGGUGUUUAUCUAUUAGGCUGUACUUCUAAGGAAAUAAAUCACAUAUAAUUGAAGUCUUUGUGUCUCUCUCAAUCUGAUACUGCAAUGGGUCCUUAGAAGUUGUGGCUUACAACGUCAUUACCUCAAACCAAUUUAUCAACGAAGGAUUUUGUUUUCUCCAAUCCUAUUCAAAAUUAGCGCACUUUUAAAGUUUAAUAAAUGUAGUAUUGAUCUUGGUAUUUAGUUAUUGUGAGUUAAAACAUGGGACAUAAAACUUACGACAUAAUUAAGCAUUUUAAGCGGGACAUACAAAAUUUAUACAUAUAAUAAUAAUAAAAACAAAAAUCAUACUUUAUGGAGAAUUUUACUUUUUGAUGUGGGAAAAUUUUUCAACUUUCAUGGGUGGCAAUUGAGGACAAUGGAAGAAAUUAGAGUCCCUUUCGACCUUCAUCCCCACCUUAUCCCACGUACUAAUCCAAUCAAUCCACAAAAGGAUUUGUCAACUUCCAACUAAUUUUUUUUUUUCUUUUAUAAUGCAUUUUUGGAUUCUAAUGGGGUAGUAGUGACACUGUUCAUAGUUGCGUGGACUAGGUGGCAAUAAUAUGAUGCUUGGGCGGUGUGUAAAAAAAAAAAUUGCAAUCCAUAGAAAUUCUCACGCAAAAACUAAUCUUUUAUGAAAGGAUAAGCUUGAAGAUUUCACAUUUAUAUUAAGAUAAUGAUGACGGUCCAUCUUAAGAAUUGGAAUCUUUUUUCUUGCAGAACCAUCAAGAAAUAUUUGACGCGCCAGAUGAUUGGCGAGUGCGGGUAUAUUUUUAUUCACAUUCUUCUUUCUUUUGCAAACGGGAGCUUUUGAUUUAUUUUUACCCCAAAAGCAUAUAUGCUAGGAAAGUUUUGGUCCCUAGAGAGGGGGGACAAAAAAAAUAAAAAAACCAGAGAGGUUAUGAAAGCUUUGACGAUUGAUGACCAAAGAAGUUGAAGUUUGAAGGUCUGGUCGGUUUCUUAACUUUCCAGUCGGUUCAAAUUGAGGCCAUACUGCAAUGAUACGUGUUGUCCUUGUCUUGUUGAAUUCAUGGAACCAAAAUUUAGCCCCUCUCAAGGAGCCUUACUUACAAGCCACGUCCACUGUAUGCGUUUACCAAGCCGAACGGAUCCUGAUUGAUUCACGAUGACAUCCGCUGACCUAGUGAUGUGUAUCAAGCGUUGCUAAUUUAGUUACUUCAUCUCGUCGACUCUGGGGGAAAUGACAAAAGGAAUCCCACCUAAGCUCUUUUAUCUAGACAUGGUUGUUCCUAGCAUCUGGAUUCAAUUGAUAGAGAAGUAGGCUAAACUUAGCUAUUGAAAAAGGCCACUCCGCACUCAUUUUAAACAAACUUUACAAAAAGUAAGAUACUGUACUUGCAUGAAGUUCUAUCACUAAGAGACUUCCUGCAUGCUCAUACCAUUUGAGUGAAAUCUUAGAAUGCCAGAUUACAUCAUGCAUUUGAUACAAACUCCCUUGUGAAAUUGUCAGCGUGUGAUAAAAAAAUCUGACAAAACGUUGCCUCCGUUAUUCAAAUCAAUUUUGAUGGCCUCAACUAGGGAAAUUGACCAUGGGUGCAACAAAUGAAUCUGACAGUUACAUCCGAAGGUAGAAGAAAGGGGAGGCUACAGAAUUCUUCUGUUUCUACUGCAAUCUAGAAGCAAUUCACAGAAUCACCUCAUCUGAGCAUGAUUUUGGCUGGUGGUGGAUUCUGCAUCCUGGGGAUCAUCCUUCGUGUUUGAGUGUUCCUUCAAAUUUAAGUGUUGUGCGUUUGCAAGUCUUUCAGCUUCAGCUUUCUCAACCAAGGCCUGUCUCUGCAUGGCUGCCAUCAUCUCCCUCAUAGUCUUCUCCUCCCCAUCCAAUUGCAUUUUCACUAUAAUCUCGGCUUCCUUGUCAAUUGGCUUGAAGUAUUCUUCAAUGGCAGCUUCCUGAACAUAAAAACACGACUUUUCUUUACACAACAGAAUCAGGAACUUAAUUUGAGACAUUUAACUGGGGGGACAAGACAAUGAAACAAAAGAGACUGCAAAAGCCUCCACUCUAGCUCCAAGUGCUUUACCAUGACAGAAAACGAAUAAUCCAUGAAGUGAAAGCAAAUCAUUUAGACUUUUAGGUGAUAGGAUUUAUGAGUUCAGAUGAUACAUUGCCAGCCAAAGGUUAAGUAACCAGGCUCGCUAUUUACUACAAGGUAAACCAAAUAGUUUUAAAAACCCUACUUAGAUGCAGACUUCAAUUAUGCCACAUUCUCCAAUCAAGAAAUAAGGAUAGACAUAACAAUACAGAAUUAGCGAUGAACAGAAGAAACUCCUCAAAAUAAUCAAUUAGGCCAUUGAAUGUGUAACUCACCGUUUCUUCUAGUUUCUUAUUCAAAUUCUGCAUUUCCUCAACCAUACGGCGAACCUCAGAUAAUAUAGCUUUUUCAGGGAUUUUCCUUAGAGCAACCUUCCUUUCUUGCGCCUGCAGGAAAAGUAUCAAGGAAAAUUAGGAGAAUUCUAAGCCAAAUUUCCUAGAGAACUUGUUGACCAAUUUAUUAUGAUGAGAAAUUCAGAAUGGUAUUAACUGAACAGAAUGCAAUACAGCCAAAAAAGUUAGAAAAAAUGAUUUAAAGCAUUAAAAAUCAGGAAAGAAGAAAGAUUGUGUCUAUAAAUCAGCCACACAUUAGGCUUCAAAAUAAUCGUAUUGCUAGCAAAAUUUGGAUAUAUUGUUCAAAUUCAAGAGUUCCGAUUGUUAUGAAUAAUAGAUUUGGACCUGAAUGCCAUAACAGACAAUUAACUUAAAGGAGUUAAAUAGAAGAAAUUUCUCCAUAUAAAAGCUUCCAAAUUCCGUUUCUUCCUUUCUAAGGAGCAAAGUUUUCAUAACUCUGCAGGUAAAUAUUUCACUUUCUUCUGUUCCUACGACCCACUAGUUCAACCUCAGAUUAAACACCACUUAUAAGAUUAAUUGCUUUUCGAAAGGAUAAAAAAGAGUAACUGAAAACACAAUAGGGAUCCUACAACCCCCAACAUCAAAAGAAAUAUGAGUGCUUUUGGCAAUUGUAUGCCAUCAUAAUAAUGCAUUUUCUAGUCAGUAACAAGGAGCCAAAAGCAGACAUAGGAAAAUUAACAUUUGCAGAGAGGAAAUGCAAAAAAAAGAAUAAGCUAGAUUUACAGAAAUUAAUUUCAAAAGGCAGUCCUCAUGUUCCAUUGUUUGUUAAUCUGAAAGAAUCUAGUUAAGAAGAUAAUUGUUUACAGUGAAGAAACAUCAAAAGAAGAUAAGCCAAGUAGGAAGAAGAAUUACGAUACAUUAUUUCAGCCACUAAACAAGAAGUUGGCCCAAGAUGGCAAAACAAUGUUUGAGCACCAAAAACAAAAGAUAUCAAUACAAAUAUGAAUAACCUGAACGGGAUCAAACAACUAUGAUGAAGACAAACAAACCAAAUUCAAUCUACACGCUGUAAGAUAGGAAAACAAAUGCCAGAAACCAAAAUGUAACAGAAAACUACAUUGCAAGCAUGCUUACCUCAAGCAUACACAUUUAAAUAGGAUUUACUAGAGAACUUAGAACAUGAAUAAAAGUUACACACAAUUUGAAGCAUGUUAAAAAUUAAAAUGCCUAAAUCUACACGACAACAAAGAGAAAUGAAUGUAACAACAAGUAAACCUGUUGGAGACGCUUCUCAAGCUGCAACCUGUAAGAUCGAAUCCUCCGUUCUUCAUAUCCAGAAAGAACCCUCGCAUAGAACAUAGCUCUUCUACCAAACUCCAAUAGCUUAUCCAUCCUAAUUAUUCAUUAAUUCAACGCGCAUAAAUCCCUAUACAAGCAUAGGAACAAUAGUCAAUAAGAUUGAAAAAAAAAAAUAGUAGAGCAUUAAAAAUCCCACGGUGAAAUUAGACUGCAUAACCAUAGUGGGUUGCUAUUAGAAUAGUAAGCUUUGCGAGCUGAGCUAGGUUUUUGCAGAAACGAAAGUGAAGAAAGUGCCACGCGUACCUGUGAGCUCAAUCGGGGCAAAAAUGUUGAUGUGAUUGUGAAAUUCAGAACGGUGAUGAAAGACAAAAAGAGGAAGCGCUCGAUCUUUGAGUCAACAGCGAAUCUGGCAGUAACUGAUUCGAAGAUUUGUUUGUAUAAUCGACUGGAAAUGGGAGAGGGAGAAAGGGUUUACCUAUUUAUUAUGGCUGUAUACAAAACUUUUCAAUUAGAGUUUUUGAGGUAUAGUUUUUAUUAAUAUAAUUUUUCUUUAAAAAAAUGUAGUUGUUUAGUUGUUAAAUUUUUUUUAUUAAAAAUUAUAAAAUGAUUAUAAUGGAUAAGUUUUUUGAAAUUAUGCUACGAGAAUAAUAAAAUAAAAUAAUUAAAUAAGUAGAGGGUAUUUUAAAUAUUUUAAUAUUUAAAAAAUUCAAUCUCUACUCCUAAAUAUUUAAAAUUUAAUCCUUUAUUAGUAGACGUAAAACAACUUACUUAAUAUUUUAAAACUAUAUUGAACAAAAUAAUCAAAUAACAAUAAAAAUUUUGAUAAAAACUUAUGAGAUUAAAUUUAUUACAAUAUCAAGAUUGAAUUAUAUUAAAUUAAAUUUAAAUGAAUAUUAGUUUAAAUUAAAUUUUAUUAAAUUUUGAAUUCAUGGAUAUUUAGUAAGAUAUAUUAUUAUUAAUUAGCAACAAAAAUUAUAUAUAUAUUAUGUAUGUAUGCAUUCAAUUAGUUGUUGGAUAGUCAUAAUUAUAAUAAAGAAAUAUAAGUUAUUUAAAUUAUAUGUUAUUUCAUAUGAGAUAUAUCAUUUCAUUAAAUAAAUAAAUAAAACUAUUCAAUAAUAAAUUAAUUAAUAAAUUUUAAGCAAACCAUGAAUAAAAAUAAAUAAAUUACUUAAUUAAUAAUAAUACAUGAAUAACUUUUAAGUUAUAAACAAAAAUAAUGUAAUAUUUUUCUUCUCAUUAUCUCAUGUAACUAAACCUGAAAUUAGGAUUACUAAUCCUAUAAAUUUAGAAUUAAAAUUUAAAUUUGGUCCAUUGAUCUAACCUAAGUAUACUUCCAAACAUGGGAUUAAUUUUUUAUCUUAAAAAUUAAUCCAAUUCUACACUUGCCCAAACACUCACAAGCCACUCUAUCCUUGCUCUAGCAGGGAUAGAGCUUUGAAUUUGUUUUUAUUAGUAUUUAUUUUUUAUUAAAAUAUGCAAUCUUACUAGAGAUGAUAAUUUUUCUUGUUCGAAUAAGAUCUUAUAGGAUCAUGUCCCGUUUAGGAUGGGAGACAUAUUUUUUGUUCCAAAAGAAUAAAGGAACGUGAAUGAAACUUUUUUAAUUCCACUUGAAUAAACGAGAUAAAACUAGGAUUGGCAAAUCCCGUCCCAUUGCCAACCCUAGUUGUUAGUUUGAUUAAUUAUUAUACUGUUGAAUUAUUAAAUAUUAUUAUCUAAAUCUAUAAUUUUUGAAGUGUAAAUCUUAAUAUUAAUGCGCAAUAAAAGCAAGUAGAAAACUAUUAGUAUAAAAUUGUAUUCGAACAUACAUGUAAUCAAAAUAAAAUUAUUAUUUAAUUAUUCAUCUUUGUAUUUAUUUAAGAUUUUUGCUAUAUUUACUUACAUUUGAACUGUUCAGAAUAAUAGAAUGAGACGAGAUAUUUAAUGAAACAAGAUUAAGAUAAAUUUUUUUGCUAAAAAAAUAAAGGGACAUGAAUGAACAUUUUCUAACCCACUUACAGAAUAGGACUGAGAUUAACAAACCCUAACCCCACGUUCGUUUAGAAUUUGAAAUUAGUCAAAACUGCUUUUUUUCAAAUCUGUUUUAUAUUCUCUAUAAAGAGACUCCUCAGUUGGCUAAUGAAGCAAGCCAGCAAGGAGGUUGAAGACGACCGUAUCCCACCCAACACCCAGAAUAAAGAUACUUCAUUCCCAAGAAAGGUCCAUUAUUUUAAAGUUAUAGCUUGCUAUAUAUUGCCCAAGAAGUAGGGGACGCACACUCGGAGUUUUAGUAUAAAUAAGCAAAAAUUCAGAUCAAAUGAAGAUGAGUAUUUUUGGUUUUCGGCUUUUCGCAAAUGCUGAGGCAUUUUCUUCUCCUCUCUACUCUCUCAAUAGUUCUAGAAAUCUGCAAAUGCUUCCGCGAUCAGCAGAUUUUAUAACAAAAACAUAGGUCACAACAUUGCGAUUCAAUUGUAAAUGCUCCCUUGUCCGGAAAGAGUGCUCAAGUCCUCAUGUAACAACAUAUAAACAUUUUCCAAAAUAAUAACAUAACAGUAUUUUAGAAAAUUUGGAACAUUCAUAUUUCCUAAUUCACACACCUAAUUCACACAAGAAACAAGCGCGGAAUCCAGGACUUGGCUCAUUAAGGAGCACAUGAAAAUAAAAUGUCAAGAGUAGCAGGCCAAGAAACACACAAACUUCAGAUUAUACACUUGAAUCACCAUAGUAAACAGCAAACAGUGAAUUUUAUUAAAAUGUCGUUUCAGAACCCACCGGCCAUUGUCAAGCAGCAAAAUAGCAAAAAUUAGCGAACACAACUAACCCCAUGUAUUACAUCUGAUUGUUAAGAGAGGUGCAGCUUGGAGAAGAGAAGUAAGCACAAGAAUAUACACAACAAAUUUAGUUGUUCUGCAACCCUUACUUAAACAAGCACUGUCCGUCCAGCUACCGAGAGAUUCAGUCUCUCCUCUUCUUCUUCUUCUCCUCUUUCUCAGAUGCAUGCUUCAACUGCUCACCAGUAAAAUAAAAUUAAAAUAAGAUAAUGGUUGCGCUAAUUUAAAAACAUAAGCAGAAAAAAUGGAACUGGUUUUAAAGACAAUUCAACUCACCAUGAUUAUGAGAAUACGAACAAAGACAGCAACAAAGUCAGUGAAAAGAGUCAGGGCAUGCUUGACAUAAUCCAAGUCUCCAAAGUGAGCUUUCUCAAUUAUAUCCUGGGUAUCCACCACGAUGUAGCCAACAAACACCAACAGCCCAAAGUAUAACUGCAAAAACAAUCAAAAGCACAUAGUAUUGUACAUUUAAUACAUGUCAAUGAACGGAUCGUGAAAAUAAUAAUUUAAAAAAGAAAAAGGAACUCUUAGUAUGAAAGUUCACAGUUAGCAUCCUCUAACCUCAAACUUGAAGAUAGCUGUUGAACCACCAAAGAUAGAGGAAGCAAAAUGCAACCAAAGAAGCAUGGACAGGCCUGAUGAAAGCAAGCCACCAAGAUAGAGAUACUCUCUCCGCCUUGCAACCAUGGCAGCUACAGAAAAACAAGCGAAAGCCAGCCCGGUUCCCACAAAUGCAGAUAUCAGAAUGCUGUAGCAAAAUAAAAAGAAAUUACUAUCAGCACACACAACUCCAACAUCAAUCAAACAAAACAAAAACAUAACUGAUACAAACACAGUAUAGGAAUAAAUGUUUGAAACAUUUAUAGAUAUUGGAUACCUUGGGUCAAUUUGAAUGGCGAGAUCAAUCAAAGGACCAAUUGAUGCACCUUUAAAGAGAGCGGUAGCCAUGAGCAGAGAAACCCUCUUUUUCUGCUCAUCAAGCAAACAUAAAAAAUCAGCACCCAAAACAAAGCGUCGAGAGAAAAUAAAGAGCAUUAAAAAAAUAAUAAUAAUAAAAAAGAAAGAGAGGGUACCUCUUCAUAACUAGGGGUUGCGAGAAGCCAAACCAUUGAUCCAAUCAUUGCAAAAACCGUAAGUAAGCCACCAAUGUUCCAGAGGAGAUGGAGGUAGACUCCAGUGGCUGAUGCCACCAGUGCACAGCAUAAUGACAGAUAAACCUAGCACAAUUGCAAAAUUUCCCAAAAAUCACAACAAACCCUAAUACGACGAGAGAUUCAACUACGGACAUUAAAUAAAAGCCUUUUUGAUUUGAGGUGAUCCUAAAUUUUCCCUUUUCCUUUCUUCUUUCUCUUCCAGGAUAUGAAUUCCCAAGAAGGCGAUACGUUUAAGGCAAUCUAAAUUAUACAAAACAGUGAAUAUCUCUCUAAUGGAAGCAACUGUCAAUCAAGAAAGUGCAUAAAAACAAAAAUUCAAUAUUUUGACCGGGGAAAAUAAAUUAAAAAUUAAGGAUCUAACCUGCUUAAGGUGAGACUGGACGACGGGAGAGAUCUGGUGAAAGUUUUUCAAGGACUCCCAGCGGGCUUCGCCGUUACGAGACUCGAAGUAGGAAGAGAAAGCAUCCAUUCUUGAUUAUUGACGUUGCUUGUCCGAAAAAGAAAACUCGAGAAAAUUGCAAGAGAAAAUUCAGAUGGAGUCGAUCCCAAAUUAGAUUAAUCAGGAAUCCUGAUGGAUAUUUAUAUUAUCGUUCAGAUGAUGAAAGUUUUUCUUGGAACUUUCCAGGAUUGACGUCGUUACAAUAUCGCCCUUUCUGUAAAGCUUUAAUUACCAUUUUGUCCUCUCGGGUGCGUUAUGAAAUGACACCCCGUCACCCUGCACGUUAAAUACUAUUUUAUUUUCAAAUUGAUAAUAUAUAUGUGUUUGCUAUAUUUAAAAAAAAAAUAAAAAAACCUGUCGGCUUAGUUAUUUAAUUUACAUUUUUAAUCAUGAAAUUUCUGAAUCAUUGAUUCGUGGUAUGGAAAUUGCCUCUAGAAAAUAGUCAAAAUUAAAAAGUCAAGAAGAAUUCUCCAAUAAUUUGAGGGUAGUUAUGGAAAUUGCGAGGACAUUAUAGAAAUUUCGCGAGUUUGGAGGACAAGUUCUCGAUGCGCUACAAUUCAAACGGUCGACGAUGAUGACAAGCAAGAGACCUUCUAAAUUUCUAACAAUAAACAUCGCUUUGCCAUUAAGAAAACAAAAAUCUGCUACCAUCUAUUCCUUCAAACCACGUCAUUUAACCAAUGACAUGUUGCCACGUCAGGAAUGGAAACUAAUCGAACUCAAUAACACGUUCUAGUUUAUUAAUAAAUUACUGUAAGCUGACUGCUAAAACUUGUAUACAAAUUGACACGUACGAGGGCGCCUUUUGUAACGGGCAUGCGUAGGGUUUGACAAAAUUUGACCUCGGUAAUAAAUCGGAUUACAAACUUUAAUUUGAUUAAUGGUGUAAAUAUUUGUAUCAAUGAAAAUAUUGCAAUCAGUUAAGAAGAUUAUUUUAAAAAAUUUUAAAAAAAGGUAUAAUUGAUCACAAAUUCAAUUUCUCUUUAUAUUUAAAAGUCUCUCCAUUCAUUUCGGAUACAUCAACUUGAUUUUAAAUCUUAUUCUUUUUCAUUAGUUUUCUUUGUUAUCCACUUAACUUAUAUCUAUUAAAUUAAAUUAAUGGCAGAGUAAAACAUUAAAAUUCAAGGUACACAACAAAAUGAACUUAUUACAAAAAUAAUGUUAUACUUAUUUACUCCAAAUACUUAAUUAAGAUACUCCUUGAUAUAACAUCUCAUGUGCAACUUAAUAAUUAAUAAUAAAAUCAAUUAAUAUUAUACACAUAACAUUAAAUAAUUUGUAACAUAUUUUAACGAAAUAUCUAAACUAAGUAAACAUAACUAUAUUGAUUUGAAUGAUCAAUCAAGCAGGUACGAUUAACAACCGAAUCGAAAAGCAAUGAUCACAAAAAUUGAACAAGAAAAUCUAGCUGUGCGAAGUGCGACAUUACACACCAUCACGUGGUGACACUGAUUGAGAUUGAAGAUAAGAUGAAGAUAAGAUUCCAAAGAGAUAAAAAGGAGGGAGCAUGAUUACAUUGUAUAAUUUGUACGGGAAUUCUCAGGUUCUCAAUGGCUUUGCUCGGCCACGACACAAGUCCUUCCAGCUUUAAUAAGCUUAUUUCUUAGUUUUGAGGGAAGCAACGCUAUUUCAGCUUUCCUCAAGCAGAGUUCCCGAGAAUCGCUCGUCUUUGCUUCGGAGAUACCAGACCCCACUGGGAUAAUUGAGUUUUUUUAUUUUCAUGUUCUGAGGCUGAGGGCCAAUGAAGGAGUGUAUAACUUUGACUUUUAUCAUGUAAAUUGUAAUAAUGAUACAGUUCGAGCUCCUCAGCUCCAUGGUGUCAGUGUAAAAAUUUACAGUAGAUUACAACAAAUGAAAACGAAAAAGCUAAAAUGCUUUAACCUGGACGCACUCACAGAAGCCGGCUAGCAUAAGAGGGUUAGUUAGCAAUAACUACUGAUUUUAAGGUCCAAAAAAUGAAUGUCCUGUUAACUACUGAGAUAUCUUCAAAGGUCUGGCACUGCAUUGUUUGUGUGAUGGAUUGCCAGUUGUGUUGUCAAUGCUAGACCCUUGCCUGAGCAGCUUCUGCUUUCUCAGCAUCUCAUGGCAAGGAGCAAAGAAUUCAUGUUUUAAAGCAUCCUCUGCACUGAUUCUCAGUCUUGGGUUCACAGUUAAGCACUUGUCCACCAGAUCAAAUAAUGAACUAGGGAUUACCUCAAGGAAGUCUGGUCUCUUUGUGAUCAAUUUACACCAUUCGGGCAGGUUAAUUGGUGGCGAAGAUUUUGCAGCAUAGAGGUCCUGCAAUGAAAUGAUGAUAAUUAAUUGGCACAUUUCCUAAUUACUAUUUCGUAAUCAAGUUAAUUUCGUAACAUAACGAAUGAAUACUUCAGGGAAUGACGAUUCACGGUUGUGUAGUUUUGCAACUUCCCAUAGGUCCUCAGAGCCCCUCAACUUUGCAAUAUCCUUAAUAUUCCUGGCAACACAUGGUAGGAAAAAUUAGAUAAUAGGAUUACAAUAGAAUUGAGUAAAAUGAUUUUCAUAUCUUGAAGAGAUUCUUACUGUUCAGGAUCGCCAAAAAAGGGAGUUCUACCAAUCAUUAGGUAGAGUAAUGUGACCCCUGCAGACCAGAUAUCGAGCUUGGGACCUUGAUGUUGAGAUCUAAACAAUACCUGCAUAAAGAUGAUGUUAUGUCUGUUUCCCUAGAGAAACAAAUUAAGAAGAGAGAUCAAUAACGUUAAAAAGUUCCAAUAUUUUCUAAGAGACAAGGACAAUAUUAGAUAAGCAGUAGGCCGUGGGCAUAAAUUAAAACCCUGGUGAAAGCAAAAUUUGGUUUUAGGUUCUUGGUAACAGUGGCCGACUUCUCAAGGACCUCUUUGACUGAUUGCUGUCAUAACUACUAAGAUAUUGAAGAUACUUAUAAAUGAUUCUAGGAAUAUCUUCUUUAGUAAAAUAAGAAUGCAUCUUCAUUUUUCAGUCAAAACAAACCAUGCUGCCCUUUAGGAGGAAAAAAAAAAGGAAAGAAAGAAACAAAAAGAUGCUGGCACAUGUCCAUGGAACGCCAGGUGUUGAACAAAAUAGGAGCUUUGAAUUAGGUGAAUAUUAAAGCAUUAACUGGUUUAUUAUGUGUGUCACCUCAGGAGCUCGGAAUCCUUUUGUUCCAGCACAAGGACCAUCUUUCUUCUGCUUCCCAUUCCCUAAUAACAAAUAAAAUAUGAUUAGUACAGAUACUGGAUGUAAUUUUUCACUUUUUGAAGAUAGUUAUUGGAUGUAAUUUGGUCAGUAACUAAAUUUGCAAAUCUGAUAAAUCGGAUGGACCUUUGUUCAUCAAGCCAGCUCCAGCAACAGCAAUGCCAUUUGAGUGCAGAGGCAUUGGAGUAAUAUAAACCAACUCUUUACCCACUUUUCCAGGUGGGGCAACAACUCGCUUUCUCCUAGGAGCAGGACAAUCUGAUGCUUCAUAAUUUGGAUUCCUCAAUGCUUUCUGCAAAAGGCUGAUGAGCUCCUUCCUACCUUGGCAUGGCAAUGGCUCUCUCAACCUUUCUGCAGGAGUCCUAGUACUUGUAGCUUCUUUGGCAGAGGUUAUGCCAGAGCCAUCUGCACCUUGACUGUUGAUAAUGUUCCGACUACCUAAGUCAUUAUGGACAUUUGUUUGUCUUACAACCUUCCUUUUCAGGUCCUUAGGUUCUAAAUUUGAGCCUUUUCUAGUGUCUUGUUUGACUGCAACCAGAGAUUUUGCACCUGGGACCUUCCUACCGUUGACAGGAGGUACAUAUUUAGUACCAGGAAGAGUAGCCUGAUUGAAACUGCCAUCAAAUUCCACCUUUAAUUUGUCUGUAAAAAUUACAAUAUAGCUCCAUAAAUUCUUGUGGUUUACCUGUGCAAUAUUAUAACCAGAACAACUUUGGCACAACACAUUCCAACAAAUUAGAAGAUACACUUUUGUGUUUUAAAGUGAGGAAAAGAUUGAAUGAAAUUAAGCUUGUAAACAGCAAGAUGAAAAAAAUGAAAAACUUAAGCAGACAAUCCAAUAUGCAACUCAGAACCUAACAGAGUAAUUUUUAUUUAAUUUAAUGGUCUUGUACUUCUGUACUAUUUGCUUAUCAAGUAUUAACUUUAUGUGGAUGCAGUCAAGUUUUCAUUCUUAGGACUAGAAUUGUGCUAACUUUAUGCUUGAUUUGCCACAAAGUCGGACAGAAGGGGAAGCUUACUUAUGGCUUCAUGCUUCUGAUGCAGAUCCUGUUGAAGUAAAGGGGAAAAAAAAUCAUCAAACUACGUCAACCAGAGGCCCAGGAAAAAGAAUAAUACAAACAUACCAAAAGGCAGAUGGAGACAAGUAUCACUAACCAUAGCAAGAUUAAAAUCAAUGAGAUAACCUUUAACAGCCUUACAAGAGAAAAGGAAGUUGCCAGGCUUAACAUCUCUAUGAACUAUUCCCUGCAUGUAAAGAAUGUAAAACAUCAUGAAAUAUAUUAGGAUCACGUAAACCUAUGUGUGCAAGUAUGUGGCUACAAUGCAUACCUGCUUAUGCAGACUUGCUAGUGCCCUGAACAAACAGUAGCCAUACCACUGUAACUGAGAAAGAUCUAUCUCUUUUUUCAAUACCUAAUAUUUAAAACAAAGAGAAAAGUUAAAAAGAAAUAAAACAAACAAAUAAUUACAUAAAGAGAAAGAAAAAUUGGCAUUGAAGAAAAUCACCUCGGGUCUGUCAUGUUUAACAUGCUCUAGAACAAAGCAAUCAGAAUCACCACUCUUAAAACAGCCUUCAUAUUUUAUUAUAAAGUUUUUCCCCCUGAAUAAAAAGGAUAUCUCUUGCAUAUUAUAAUUCACUCUUUUGCAAACUCAAAACACAAGAAAGAUUUUUUUUUUUUUUUUUCGCAAGCUUACCCAAAACGCUCCAGCAUUCUCAAUUCAUUGCUAACAUAGUGUUUACUAGCAUUUGCAUGAGGGCCUGCGGAGUCAUGAAACAACUUGAUAUCAGGGGAGUGCUUUUGAAGCAUCUUCUCCCGCACCGAUCAAUGACUAAUAUGGGCUAAUUCACUAUUACAGAACAUUUCCACCAACAAUGAAUUCAAUUGAGUGUUUAACAAAACUUAUGGUAGAUUAGUUUAGACAAUGCUUUUCCAGGUAUAAAAUUUUCCAACAAAUAUUCAUCGACGACAUCUAAAUUCUCCUCAUCUCCAAGUCCUUUUCAUAAUUUUAAUUCUCUACAGAAAAUGCUACUUGGAAACAAUUACAUUGAUAAAAGCUAGUCCAUAACUGAAAGCAAAAGAUAUAGAAAUGAGAUGUCUCACUUACAUUUAAUGGCUACUACGGUGCCAUCAUUUUUCCUUCGUGCCCUGUAAACAGUGCCAUAACCACCUAUAUUUCAAAGAAAGGUUAACAGCUUAAUCCACAUUAUAAUAAAAAAUGAUGUGAAGCAAAAUAAAAAUUAUAAUAAUCAUACCUGAACCCUCUUCCUCUUCUACAAUAAAUGAUUCAAAGUUUGGCAGUACCUUUGCAUUUGUUUGAUCCUACAAAACAAGCAUCAAUUAACCUCAAAAAAAUAAAAGAAUAGCUAAAUAUGUUGCACAACUUACUAUCAAAAGAUGGUUUUACUACGGUUUAGAAUAAUGAAACUACAUAUCAAACAAUUGGUAGAACAUAUGAGAUUCUAAAAUGUCAUUAGAGCAUACCUUAGGAGAAAAGGAGUUAGAGUUUUUCCUUUGAUCUUUCACAUCAUUAUGAUUCCCUGUGGCUUUCAGCGCCAUAAUUCUGGAAAUUUGAUCUCUUUUACCUUGCUUCUUCUCUUUGGCAUCAAAAGCCUUAUUAUGUCUUGAAGCCUGCAGUUUUGGUCCUUUUGGAUCAAUUCCAUCCUUGUGGAGGAAUUUUGUCUUUGCAGAGGGUUUCCUCAACUGCCUAUUUGUGACUGGAAGUUCAGCUGCUGGUGAUACAGCCCUUAUAUCCACAUCAAUUUCAUGCUCAUUAUCCAAAGAUGGCUUAUCAAUCAGGGUAGUAUCCAAUGGCAGCACAAGAUUUUCUAUUCUUUUUGUUGUACCUAAAUCAGUGAACUGUUCUUUCUCCUCACCUUCAACAAUUGUGUCAUAUUCUGAAGUUUCAGCAUUUGUACCUUUAUUAGCAUAAUUAACAACCACAGUCUUAGCUGCUGAUGCAUUGUUCUGUUUCAUAUCAUCCAGACAGUAUGUGGGAUCAACCCUUAAAUGACUAUUAAGAUCCGGUAAUCUAGUUGUAAGUGCUAAUUCUGAGUCAAACUUGCAUUGCAUUAAUGUUUUAGGCACCAUCAUUUCUGCAAACAUUUUCAUUCCCACCCCACCUUCUACAUGUACCGUGUCCUUAAGCUUGCAACUUAACUGUCCAUCUCUGAAUUUGAAAAUUGAGGGUGGCUUAAGCAUCACUUGAUUCACGAUAACUGACAUGUCACUUUGUCUUUGAAUUGUGCUCCUGCUGAUUCCAUCGGUUAUAUGAUAACUUCCCUGCACUAAUGCUUUGAUUCAACAAGAGUUGGAGAUAAUAAUCUACUAAAUUAUUCAAACUUAAAAGCACACUACUUAAAAAAAAAAAAAAAAGUCUCUCCUCACCAGGAUAAUACAGAAAUGAGAAGCAAAAUAAGAAAUUAGUACGUAUUUAAUUUGCAAUUCUGGUGAUAUUUGACUUUUAUUACUGUAAACUGCAAAUUGCAGCUUACUUUUUGGAAACUGCUUACAAUUAGCAAAUCAAACGACUUUCUAUAGAACCUGAGCAGGGACGACAGCUAACAGCCUAUCAUCACUAACUCAACACAAAAAAUAAAUAUAAUUAACUAAAAAAAUUACCAUUGCUGCAGCAUUAUGAAUCCUCUUAGCCAAAGGCACUGUAAAUCAUUGACCAAAAAAAAAGGAAAAAUCAAAUACAAUACGGAAAAUAGGGGGAAAAACUGUUAAAAAGGGAAAUCAAAGAGCAAAGUACCUUCUUCAUAAGUAUCGGUAUCAUCAAAAGGAGAUCGUUUUCGCUUCAAAAAGCCCAACCUCCAUGGAUCCUCAGAGCGAGGUCCAAGUUCAAGCCGCGGCGUCAAAGCAUCGAAGAAGCGGAAAUUAUUGGCGACAAUUUCAGCAAAAGUUACUAGAGCAAUAGGAGAGAGAGUGACAUAGAGAUCGUCUGUUAGCGAAAUCGGAGAGUUAGGGAUUAGGCAGAGAGAUUGUAUGAGGUCGGGAGUAGCGUGGAAAAGGGUGCAUCCGGGCGCAAUCUCGGCCAGCCGGACCGGCCGGCGUUGGGAGAGGAGGAGAGCGAGGAUGUGCCAUGCUUUCUCCGACACUGAUUCGGUGGUAAGUUGCUGAGUUGGCAUCACGAGUUCAGGUGGAGAGAGAAGUUAGGGUUUGAGUCUGUGAAAGUAAAAGAAGUGCAUUUGAGCAAACGGCGGGAUCAUAAGGGUAUGGUGAUGGAGGGAGGCGGGAAUCAGACACGUUUGAAAUUUGAGAUUUAGCACGUGCGAUUCCCCGCCAAGCCAACCCAAACGGAUUUUAGGAUUAACCGGAUCAGAUUGUAAAAUCCAACCCAAACUGAAUUAAAAAUCAAAAUAAAUUUUGCUUUCGGUUCUAUUCGGUUGACCCGAAUCAAAUGCCAACCCCUAUCUCGCAUGGCUCGCUUAACUUUUGCAGCUGUUUAUGUGUAAUUUUCACUCGAGAAAUUACUUGGUGAAUGGAAAAAAAAUAUUAUUAAGAAUGUGGACAAUUUCUUCAACGCUUUUAUUAUUUUUAAGGUCAUUUUAUAAUGCUGUGAUUAAAGUCACAACAUCAACACCAUAACUAAAUAUUAAUCAUAUAAAUAAAAUAUAAAACUUAUAAAUUAACAUUAAUUGUAAAAUAAAAUAUAAGACUUGUAAAUAGAAAGUAAAAUAAAUAAUUUAAUAUAGGUUAUUUUAGUAAUAAUUUUUUAAAAUAAAUUAAUGGGUGUGGAGUGUGUGUUCAAAUUAAGGCUCAACAACUUCGGAUUCAGAUGAUUUCGAUUGGAUUAAAAAAAACCUUCUAAAUUCAAUCCAAUCCAAGAUAAAUUAAAUUAGAUGAAUAUUUUAUAUGAAUUCAUGUGUCGGAUCAAUUUGGAAGAAUUCAAAUGUGGAUAAUAUUUCAAAUUUGGAUGCUAUUUCGAAUAUGAAUUGAGUUUGGAUAUGAGGUCAUUUUGGCAAAUUUCAUAUAAAAUUUAUGAAAUCUAUAAUUGAUUUUAUAGUUAAUUACUUACACAUACCCUUUUCUCUAUUUUUUUAGUAAGCCAUACAAUCUAAUCAGAUUGUUUGGAUAAAAUUAGACUUGAUCCGAUUUGAAACAGAUAUGAUCAAAUGAAUAUUGGACAAUAUUCAAAUCUAAUCCGAUGUCCAGCCCCAUACUUAUUUUAGUGAUGGGUAGAAAAUAGUAAGAUCUUAUUUUGUAUUAAAGUUGAACAAUUAUAAUUUAAAAGUUAUAACAUUAAAGUGUUUAGUAAGCAUUAAUUAUUAUAAUUUAAAAGUUAAUUUCAUUCAAUCUCAUAUUUAUAUGACGAAGACCAAUAAUAUUAUUACUCUUUCUGUCAAAAUAAUUAUUUAAAAAUAAUAUUCACUACAACCUAUAAAAUUUUAGUUCAUAAUUAUCUUCUUUUUUUUUUUUUUCAGAGUCACUAUAAUUUUAAACUACAACAUCUAAAUACCAAACCAGACCUAAAUCAGUGAAAAAAAAAAGUAUUACAUGUUCAAAUGCUUUCCACCCUUUAAUAAAUUACCGGCGGAGAAUUAUCGGGUAAGUUUAGACAUUAAAAUGUGCAAAUCAAUAGACGUCAUUUUGGCACGGCACCUUAAUCUAAAUACCUGACUCAAACUGCUCCACAGUCCAUAGGCUAAACUCUGGCAAUUUCCAUCAAAUGGAAAACUCCAGAGAAAAAGGCAUUGCAAAAAAUUUUAUGAAGAAACCACGGGGCAGGAUCAACCGCUCUUUCGUCCUUCCCGCUAUUCUGCCUACUUCUUCCUAUUUCUAGACUUCUGCUGCUACCUGGAUCGAUGGUUUCUUGCUGGUUUCACACUAAAGAGUAACGUAUGAAUUGAAUGAAAUAUAUUUGGCAAAACAAACUGAUCAAGACACAAUUUUGUCGAAGAUCAAAUAUACAAAAGGAAGGAAAGGAAGCAGUCUAACUUUCCAUCCAACAGAACAAAAACAAAAAAACAAAAAAAAAAUAUACAAUGAAAUAGAUUAACAAAUGCUUCCAUGAUCGUAAAUGGUGUUCAAUCAUUCUGUGGAACAGUGGGAGGUGGUGAAGACAGUAAAAGGUUCAAGAUUAGGCCGACCAUGAUUCCAAUGAGUCCCACAAAGGCUGCAAACAUGAGCGAGAAGCCACGAACACCUUUCCGUUGACCUCGUCUUUUCAGCAUGUCCUAAAGGAUAAGGCAAGAGGUCAUUUGAUUAGUAGUAGUUGUAAUUGUAAGCAAAUGUAUGAAUAAAUGAUAAUACAAAGUAUUAUAUAAUUAACUAUAAUGUGAAUUACGUCUACCCUCCUUUCGGGGAUACAAGAAAGAUCUGGUUGAUUUUAGCUUAUCAUAGCUCUCAUUAAUCAGGUUUAUGAAUACUGCCAUGCGUGUAGAAAUGUAGGUAGAUAAUCAUGUCAAACUGACCACAAGGGAAACUUAAUGCACCUAAAAUAUGCCAACUAGAAGACCGACAAUAUUAUAGUUUACAAACAUCAUUCAAUAUCAUUAAUAAUUGCCAGAUCUUCUGUUUAAUAGUACCUUUGAUCUUUAUUAAAUUAUUAAUAGGAAUCACCUAAUAAGAGUACCAUACGUAGCUUUGCUCAUUUCACCAAACACUGCCCAAUAUAUAUAUCCUCCAUUGUUUCAUUUAUGAACUUUAAUUAACCAUGGAAAACAGCUGGAAAUCCAUGUUACCAUACUUAUGCUCGAAAGUUCUGAUAUGACAUUUUGACUUACAUAGUUGCUACUAGUUAUGUGGUGCUAAUAUUCACUUUAGAGAGGAGAUGAUUAUAUACAUGUCAGGUUUUCUAUAGGAAACCUAUUUUUUUGGCAAAACCUUCGGUCAACAAUAAUUAGAAUUGUAACAUGCCAUCAGGUAAUUGUGCCUUAAAAUUAAUAAAAGUCUUAUUGAAUAGAAACAUGUUACCAGAUCCUGUUGCAGAAGCUGUGUUUGCCGAACAGCAGCAUCCCUUUCAUCCUUCAGGCGCUGUAAAGCCUGAAUUCAUAUACAAGAUAAAGUUUGGAAAAAUAAGAAUGAGUCAGAAGAGAAAAAAUGCAAGUAAAAUGUUACUGAUACAAUGUGCCUGCUAAGAGAUUGGGCACUGUGGUAGCUGCUUUGCAGCAAAAUCUCAGAAAAACAAAAACAAAACAGUGGUUCAAGAUCUUUGGCAUUUCAAAUCCUAUCACUCAAAAAUGAAUGAUCAUGCAUUCAAAGAAAUGUAGAUUUUAUCUUCCUUCAUUAAAAAAUCAGCACUUAUUUCGCAGAUGCAUAAGAGAUGGGAGGAUGGGAUUCCAGAAGCAGGUGCUUAUUCUACAGGGUGAUUGGAUGGGGAAAAAAGGAAACCUUAAAAAAUACUAACUGUAAAUGGCAUCUUGAAAAGGAAAAAGAAUAUGAAGAGCUUCCAGUUGCCAGCAUUAGUUCUGAUACAUGGAGAUGAGAAACCUCACACACUAUAAGACCAACCCUUGUGCACUCAACUCUGAACAAUUUGAUAGAAGCAGCAACUAAUAGCUGGCAACUAGACACUCUAGUAGAUCCUUUUUUGUAGUGCUCAGGUCCCCCUAGUCACCAAGUUUAGAUUAUUCAACUUCUAUUUCCAGACACACCACGACCUCUUCAUGACUGUAUCUGUAAUUAUUAUAUCUAACAUGUGAAAUGAAACUCCCAUAAUUCCUAAAAACAGUAUAAUCCUAUGUUGAACCACAGACUCACUAUUAGGCUUCGGAGCAUAAGAUGUCAAUUAGCUAAUUUUAGUAUGAAGAGAGAUACUGUUACUAAGAACUAUCAUCAGAGAGUUUCCAUCUGAACUGACAUAAUAUACUGAACCACAUUGCUCAAUGAGGUUUGGCAAAUUGCAUAUAUGUAGUACUUGUGCGCAAACUACCAAAUAUCAUAGACUAAUCACAAAAAUUGCAGUGCAAACAGCAGAAUUCCAAAACUCACAGAGUUGGCAUCAGGACUACGUGUGGCACUCACUAAUCCUUCAUCUUCUAAAUUUCCUUGAGCUGAGCUAGGAGAGACAUACACAACUCUAAGCUUGCACUCCUCUAUUGUCUUCCCACUAUCCUUGUUAAACUGAAAUGCGAAAUCAAAUAUUUUUCAACCUAAAUCAAUCAAAUUUCAAAAGGAAUAACAAAAAAAAAAAAAAAAAAAACCAUUCUCUCCGUUAUUCUUACAGUAUCUGGAGGAAGAUCAUCAACAUCGGUAUUUGAAGGCACUAUUGUACUCUGCAAGAGAAACUUGUCUUUGCAUUGCAUAUCUGGAGGAGAUUCUCGUUGAGCUUGAAGAGUCACUGCAGACCCAGAGUUAGUUAAAAAACCAUAUUACACGUUCAACAGGCAGAAGUAUCAAAUGGAAAAACUUAUGGGUUAAUGGCAGGCUGGUAAACAGUAUUAAAGCAAGUGCAUAUAAUUUGACAAAGCCAGCCAGCUUGGAAUUUGCUUAAAUUAAAAAAUAACUACAUUUAGAAUUUUGCAUUGUAAAAUUCUAUAAAGCACCCAAUUAAACUUAGCUCACAUCAAUAUCUCAUUCAAAAGUAUUAACAAUCAUAAAUACCAGGAAUCACAAGGAGAAAUAAGUUCCAUCAAGUUUGUAAAGAAAAAGCAUGCAGCACCUCUAAUGAUACACGAAUCCCAAGGUUGCACCACACCAGUGUUGGGUCUUACGAAGUACUUCUUAGGUGAAGUGGUUUUGACCUAGCAAAAAAGGGAAAAUACCUGAUUAAAACAUAAUUUAAAGAAACUGGAGUGGCCUGAACCAAAAACAUCAGAAGACGUUAGAUUUGUAUAUAAUUAUACAGAAGUGGAGAUCUAUACCUUGAAAGCAACAUGAUGUUCUGUAUUGUUUAUAACUUUAAGAUCACAAAAGCCUUGUUUUUCUAGCUCAACUGCAACACAAAUCUCGUGAUCAUAAGCUCAGAAGAAUUUAUGAGACAACUUGCUACUAAAAUGUAAUAACAAAACCAAGAAAAGAAUCAUAACUAAUUCUCAAACGACACUAGCAUUCAAUGGAAACAAUGUCCUGCAUCCAAGUUUUGAUACCUAAUACUGACAAUUUUUUCCAGCAAUCAUUUGAGUAAAUCCAUUCCAACAAGUCAGGAAACCCAAAAUACUGUUGACACCGAAAGUGUCAAAAUCAAUUUUCAAACAAAUUUUACUUUGGUCAAUUAGAUUCAAGCUUUGAAUAUAAAUUUGCACCAAUAAGUUUUCAACUGCCAGUGAAUCUUUACCAUGUCUAGUAUGGCUUUCAAUUUACUUAUACCACAUGAAUCUAUCUUUUCUUUAGUUUAUGUUGAUAGGAAAUUACAUGAGACGAACUCACUUCACAUAGACCUUGACGAGCAAAAGGGACAGACAUGCUAACUUACUUAAUACCCUAAAAAUGUCAAAUAUGAAGGUGCUAUGAAGCAUCCAUAUCCAUAAAAGACCAGAAUAAAUACAAAUACUAUGGCAAGGAAUAGUAAUGUUGGAGAGCUCUUUGAAUCCAGUGGAAGGAAAGACCAAGUUUCAAAAGCAUGUGCAUUUAGAUCCCUAUGCAAUUAUUGGCAUCUUCAUAAUACAGCAAAAGAAAAAGUUCCACAGUUCCUAAACAUGUUACUCCAGGUCAAACAAUCUCAGCAUUCCAAUAUGAAAAAUAUCACCAAAAACAUAACAACCAUAAAUAAACGGAUGGCCCAGCAUCUUCUGAAUGUCUGAGAAAACUAUCAAUUCAAACUAGAUAACACCUACUCUCAUUUUCUCCUACAACCCCCCCUUUUUUUUCCCCUCUCUUUUCAACUGUGAUCCAUAAUUCCUAUUAGAUGCACUGGGUUUAUAUUUCCUUUCCUCUUCGUCCUGCGACCACAUAAUAUCUCAAAUUUGAAUCUCACUCAAAUCUUGCAACUGCAGUUUCAUUCAAGUCUGCUUCAUUUUCCAUACUACAAACUUCCACAUAGCCAUCGAUCAUCAAUUUAACACGUGUGCAAAAACACAUGUGCAAAUGCAUACAACCAUCCUUAUACUGGUAGUUAUGACUACAUGUAUGAACAAUUAGAUCCGAAGAGAAAAUAUACGUACAAAUGAACUUGAGUUCUUCGGGAUGAACAGAGAUCAACUGAUUACCGCCAUCAGCAGUCAUGACUAGGCCCCACUUCGCGAUCAAUUAUCUAAGCCCUCACAAAUCAACGAUCACGCAAUCAAUCACAAUCCGCCACACACUAAAAGCACAUAACAGGACACAAGGAACGAACAAAACAAAGAAGCAAACCCUAAGUCCACAAUCUCAACCUUCCUAAUCCAUCGAGCAAAAUAGAAGAACAAUAUCGGAUUAAAAAAUGACAAAAAAAAAAGGGGCGGAAUUAUGAGCGCCUAUCAAAAUUUUAACGGAGAAAAGGAAAAAAAGAAGAAGAAGAAGAAAAGAAUAAUAAUAAUAACAUGUGGUGCAACAGAAUUGUCUCGGUUCAAACAAACCGUUCUGAGUGGCCCGAUAAUUACGGCGGAAGUGUUGGGUCUAAUCUUUUCGGAUGGUCCUAGUUUGAUUUAAACUCGGGGUCUUAGUUAAAAGGAGUGGUGUUACGGUGAUUCUGUACGCGCGCUGCUUUUCUGCGGUUAAACGGUAGUGUGGCAACACGCAGAGCGGAUACAAUCACAGCAGAGCAGAGAGAGGCGCGGGGGAGUGGAACGGAGGUGACACGUGUCGUAUAUAUAGGGGGAAGCCCGGUUCUAAAGACACAGAGUGGAAGCGGGACCCAGUGCGCGUCACAUGGGCGAAAAAGUUUAGGUCUGACGUGUCACUGUUGAGUUUUGGUGAUUAGCCGUUUUCAUUAAGUAAUCGAUAUAUUGCCCCGUCUGCGUCAGUGUUUGAUUACAAAAGAAAAGAUGUCCAAAAUGGCGCCGCUCUCUCUCUCGCUUUCUUUCUUUUUUUCUUUUUUUUGUUUUCCCUCCUUUCUCAAUUCUUCUUCAUUACCGGCUUUUGUGUGUAUGUAUUAAAAAAUGAGAAUAGUCGUCCUAUGCGUACUUAAAAAUAUGUCAACUCAUGUCUUUCCUUCAUUGGUACGUGGAUCAUCAUGUCAUUUCCGUGUACUUAACCCAUCACAUAUGGCAUUCAAACAAAAACAAUAGAAUAAAAUUUUAAAAACAUAAGAUAAAUCGAGAAUCAUCUAUCAAUUAAAUGAUAAUCUAUUCUUACCAAUAUUUUGUGGUAGAUUCAAUAUGUUCCAGGCUUACAGGCAUAGAUGUAAAAGAUCCAAUCUACGCCUAAUCCCAUUACAUUGCUUAUCUGAGGAGGCCCUAUAUGGGCAUAGAAUUUAUCUAAGACUCUACUUGGUAUGAAGAUACUGGUCAGAUAAGCCAUGAAGAUACUGGUCAUAUUGCUUCUCUAAGACUCUAUUUGGUACGAAGACGUUAUAGUUUUUAAGUUAUAUUUAUUGUAAAUAUAUAUAUAUAUAUAUAUAUAAUUAUGAAAUAAAAAUUAAUAUAAUAUAAUAAAUUAUAAAUAAUAAUUUUAAUAAAAUUAAUAACGACAUAAUAAAUUUUUUAUUAUAUAAUUAUAAAAUUAAAUUAACUUAAUUUCUAAGUUGCAAUAAUUAGUAUUUACCAAAUAAUUUAAUAUUAUAAAUUUUAAGUUUUAGCUAUCUACCCUUAAUCCCAAAAGGGACCUAUGUGCUCAAAAUCAUUCAUAGUCAAAAGCUGAAGACAGGCCACUUGUAUGUAAUUUGAUAAAUUCCCCAAAAAAAGAAAACAAAAAGUUUUGAGUACCUACUUUCUUGAAGAGAUUUGAUACCUUUUCCUCUUAGCUUUUACGUAAACAAAGUUAUCUAUCCAAUCGAAGAAAUGGACAAUGACCUACAAAAAGUAAUCCUUAGCCGAAGCAAAGGCAUAACACUGAAAACUUGCAAUGAUGGAAUCGUAAUCUGAAGCUGCUAAAGCUCAUGUAAUCAUCUAAAGAUACAAUAAUUUCCACGACUAAAAUAAAAGGAAAGAAAGGAAAGGAAAAAUGAUAAAAUGGAAUAUUAAAUUACAGCUUUUACAACAUUUUAGGAUUCUGAAAACCACUUUGAAGGCAAAAUCAACUGAAGACCAGCAGCAUCGGGCUUCUUCAUUUGAAAGUGGAGAGUCUAGGAAGCUUGUCUCUAAGAUAGUACAGCCUUGCCCUCCUCACUUUCCUGUGGGAGACAACUUUUAUCUCCUUGAUGUUUGGCGAAUAACUGCAAUGACAUGAUGAAAUAUUGAUCAAGUCCCAUCUGAAUUCUUUUCUACUUUUUUCUGUUUCCUCUCCAAAUAGAGUAUAUCAAAACUACAUACUUGAGGCCAAAUCAUCAGGUGAAAGUUUAUAGCCACUAGUGUAUUCAAGGCAUUGCAGGCAAAUAUUAUGGAUGCAUAUUUAGUCCAAACUAACAAAGGACCCAUGUUAAGAAACAGUAAAAUGAAGAUAUUUUGCAUCCCAAAGCAUGAUUGAAGAUCAACCACACAAAACAUGCAGCAUCGAUGAGCAAAUAACUUCCUUAACCAAUUAAAUAAUUUAAAACUAAGAUAACGAAUAAGAUUUUCACACGCCCAAAACUAACUAAAAGCAUUCUUCCAUGCCCUUGGCUGAUAUUUUCCAUAACACUGUGACGAAGCUUCAGUGAUAACAGACAUCGUCAAUUAAAGGGAAUUAAAUCCUUCCUCUUUGACUCUGUUAACCCCAUUGUCUAGAAGAAGCUCAAACUUCUUGUUUCACCAAAAUGUUAACGUGGGAAAAUUCAACAUGUUCUUCUUUGAAUGAUGAGAGAUUUGCCCAACACUACUGUACAGCAACAUAAAAAUGAACAAGAAAAGGACUAUAUUGACUCAAUAUUACACCAGACAGUUCACAUGUCAUACUAAUUCCUUAUAGAGAAGGAAAUGAAACAAAAAUGUCCUAGGUGUUAAUCAUGGGGAUGAGGACACCUACACUAAAGCCUCGACAAGAUGCAUAUUAAAGGCAGUGGGCGGAAAAUACUCUGAAAGUCCAAACGUUUGACUAUUAAAGAAAAAGCUUGAUAAAUGAAUGUUCCAUCUUGUUAGGAAGUCACACCAUAUUGAUACAGUCUAAAUAUUAAUUCCUCUAAUACACUCUGGAAUUUGUUGUAUUUCUACGAUGUAAUAGCUAGAGGGGGGUAGAGAGCGAGAGAGAUUUUAUCCAGUCAUUGGUCCAAAGAAAGGCAACCUCAACAAAUUGCAACCCUCCAAUUUGCCUUUUUAACAUGUAUAUAGUUUCUGACACAUAUAACCUAAAUCAUAUUCAAGGGAUUCUGUGCUCCUUGACCUCCAUAACCAUAGAAGAGAGGGAGAGAGAGAGCUCAGUUUCUGAGUUACACAUCGAGGAUAGAAAAUUUAGACCAGGUCAACCAUAAAUGGCCACAUUUGUCACAUUCUGGUUUUCUCUGUGAUCCAUUAACCAUAUUUGAAUAAAAACACACUAGGUAGUUAACAAAAGAAUUUUCAUGCAACAACUCAAUCCUAAACCAGAUUCAAAACCAUUCUCUUCACCAAAGUGUAGAAGAAUUGAAAAACAAAUACUCACAGAGGGAAUACGAUCUCAACCCCUAUGCCAGCAAUAAUCCUCCGAAUUCGAAUUGUAGUGUGGAUCCCAGCAUUUUGCCUUGACAUAACAAUACCUUUGUAAAUGGACAACCUACGCCUAUUUUCAGGAACUUCCUGUAAGCCAACCACAAACCAAAAGUUUCACAAAUUUCAUUUGAAACUAUAACAAAGAACAUUGUAAAGAUAGUCAAAAACAGCAUUUACCAAUUUAAUCUCCACAACAUCACCCGUCCUAAUAUCUGGAAUUGGUCUUUCACUCUCCGAUGCCUCAAUCGCCCUCUUAUUCAAUAUCUACUCAAACAACACAAAUAUAUUCAUUUUCCAACCAUUUUCAAUGCAACCAAUAAAAAGAAUCAUAAUAGAUUUAAGCAAUGAAAUGAGUACCCCCAUGAUAUCUCCAAGUUUAACCCUGGGCUUUCUGGGUGCUUUCACUUCUUCUUCUUCAACCUUAUCCUCAGAUUCAGCUUCUACAGCUACCACAACAUCACCUUGUGCUUGAACGGCCUCGUUUUGCUCCUCUUCAAUACUCUCAUUCGCUUCCGCUUCUUCGUUUGACUCCGCCCUAACCACAAAACUAUCUUUCACUUGGGCAUUUACGAAAAAGCCCAAAUUCCACCCUAUAGGCUUCGUUGAAACUGAAACCCCAUGGCUCACAAAGGGGCCGCGAGAAAGAACUGUUGAAAACCCUAGCCUCUUUGAAGGAAUGCACUGAGUGGAACUUCUUGGGAUCCAAUGCAGAGCCUUUUAUAAAAUUUAAAUUGUACACUUUUUUAUCAAAUUGUAAGAAAUUGCAAGCAAAUUAAACAGCAUUGGUGCCAGUAAAAGCAUAAACAUACGAAUUACGAAGCGAGAGAGUACCUGAGGAAGAACCUGGGAGCCCAUGGCGACGCUGAGACACUUCUAAGUGAAACAAAUGCCUUAUCUGUACUAGAAAUUCGGCUUGCGUUUCACACGCUCUAUCCGUUUGCAUCGCACGUGUGAUCAGAGUUUUAUUUUUUCUUUUUAAUUUUUGAAUCAUUAUUACAAAAUAUUUUCAUAUUUUGUUAAACGUAAAAGGUUUUUGGAAUCUUUUUGUUAGGUGGUUGAUGGAACGGCUAAUAUGCCAUAUAGUUUUUAUUGAGUGAAUGAAUUUUAAAUAAUUUUAUGCAAAAAUUAUAAGUUAUAUUUUAAUUUGAUCAAUUUUGACAAAACCUUGUUAGUCUCGUCUCAAUGAAAAGAUUUGUGCUAAUCUGCAAAUUGAUAUGAUUCCAGAAAAUAUAAAUAUUAUAUUUUCUCAAAUAUAAAUAGAUAAGACACUUCACAAUAAGUCGAAAAUUUCAUGAAAUUCAUGUUGGAACAAAUAAAAAAUUACAAUGUUAAUUCUAAAUAACUAUUUUGAGAAGGCCGCAAGUUUCCAAGAUAAUAUCUAUCUGUUUUUUUUUUAAUGUUGUACAAUUAAUUGUGCCUUGACAUGAUUUCAUAGGAUUAUUUCCUAUGUAAUCAUAAAAAGCUAUUUUUUCAUGAAUUUUAGACCAAACUUCUGAUAAACUUUGAUUUUCGACUAGUCCAGCACUAACUCUUCGUCCAUGAAUUUAGCAGCAAUUUGAAAGGUUGACCUAUUUAGGAAUCUUUGGAUCUGCGCUUAUUUUCAACUCCCCGAAGUAAUUUGUCACUUACUACGCCCUUCCUCAUCUCUGGGUGCCUUUGAUUUGGUUGUGUUAAUAAAAAAAUAAUAAAAAUGGUUUAAUUUAUACUAAAUCUAAUAUAUGAUAAAUUAUUCUAUAAUAAAUUGGAGUAUAUUUCUACCUGUAAAAAAAAAAUAAAAAAAUAAAAACUACAAAAGUGGCACUAUGAGUUUGUAGUUAGGAGACAUAAUCCAUUUCCCGUGUUAUAUGGCUUCUUUGAUCUCACAUGUCAUUCAUUAGCAUGAUUAUAAAAUUAUCACAUUAUUGAUAAACAAUAAAGUCAAUUAAUCAUUUGUAUUGCAGUUUGUGUGUUCUUGGUCUUUUUAGUUUAAUGCACUGUCCUUAAUCAACUCCCAAUAAAAAAAAAAUGAUAAACUUCUUUAAUUUUCACUAACUGUAACAUGUAACUCUAAUUUAUUAUUUUAUGAUAAAUUUUAUCUUAAAUUAAUGACUUGAAAUAUAAACUACAUUUAUGUAAUUUUAAUAAUUCAAAUCACAUAUCACAAAGUGGGAAUAUAAAAUUUAUAUUUCAAGUAAUAUGGCAGAUGAUGGAACUUUAUUUUACAUAAUCAUAUGAUUGUUGGUUAUUAAAAAUGUUGAAAAAUACAAAUUUUAUGAUCCGAGCACUACCGUAAUUGUUAUUUCCUUUUUCUAGCAUUUAAUUGCAAAUUUUGAACGCAUCUCAAUUGACAUGAGAGCCCGAAGCUGCAAUUGCUUCCCCAUGCCCAAUAGCCCUGACAAAACAAAAGUUUGCCGCAGAAGCGGUUGCUCAGUGUUCCCGCCUGUGACACAAUGCAUGGCACCACCCACCCUCAAUGCGCCACGUGGACAACCCAACAGAGGCCCCUUGUCACUUUAACACACUCGUCAUAGCCCCCGUGGCGCUUCAACGCAACCGACUCUCAGACAAAACAUCACCUUAAGUGGCCACGUGUCACUGGCUUGAUGCCCCUCCCUUUCGCAUUGACGCUUCUCUCUCUUCUCUCCCGCCAACAUCGCUCCCCCCUCGCAGGUUCUUUUAUUAGGAAAUGUUCUCGAAACAUUUCGAUGACUAGUUCUUUUCAUUUUGAUGCAACAUGGAAGUUGAUUUUAUCGAUUUUUGAAUUUUGAUGAUCAUCAUUAUCUGCGGUUGUGUAAAAUUAAUUAUAUGAAGAUCGUGCUAGCUUGGUAAAAAUUUGAUUUUGUUUUCCUUCUUUUUUUUUUUUGGGGUAGUUUAUUGGUUAAUGUUUGUAUGAUUAUUACAUAGAUGGCGGGGAAUUCUGAUACGGUGAGGCAAACCCCUCCUGGGAUUUUGCUUAUAAGAAAAAUUAGAGGCAAAGAUUGGAGCCUAACGACAUAUAGAUACAUAAUUUUGUUGAUUACUUUCAUUGCAUAUGCUUGUUACCACGCCUCGAGAAAGCCUUCUAGCAUUGUCAAGAGUGUAUUAUGCCCAGACCCGCUUAAGGGACCCAAGAAGAAGCCUUGGCCUAUUGGUGAAUUCUUUGUCAGGCAAGAAUUUGUGGGUCUUGAUCGAAAUGUAUCCACAGCUAAGGGUUGGGAUCCAUUCAAUGGAACUCAUGGGACAUCAAAAUUGGGUGAAAUAGAUCUUGCCUUUCUUGCUUGUUACUCCGUAGGAAUGUUUGUUGCUGGGCAUUUAGGUGAUACUUUGGAUUUGAGGUUGUUUUUGACUACAGGUAUGGUAGGGAGUGGCAUUUUUGUGGGGUUAUUUGGCAUGGGAUACUUUUUAGAUAUUCAUGCGUUCGGUUUCUAUCUUAUUAUGCAAAUGGUUGCCGGUUUGUUUCAGGCCACUGGUUGGCCUUCCGUUGUGGCUGUGAUUGGCAAUUGGUUUGGUAAAAGGAAGAGGGGCUUGAUAAUGGGUGUUUGGAAUGCGCAUACUUCUGUUGGGAAUAUCAGUGGCUCCCUUCUUGCUGCUAGUGUUUUGGACUAUGGCUGGGGAUGGUCAUUUAUACUCCCGGGUGCAUCUAUUGUUAUGGGAGGGAUAAUAGUUUACUUGUUCUUGGCUGCUUAUCCUGAGGAUGUUGGGUUUCCUUAUGCAAAUGAUCCAAUCCCUGGUAGCGAGAGGCUGCCUAAUGACGAAGAAUCUCACAUGCAGAAAGGAAAGACUGCGGCAGUGGAAAAUAACUCUGGUAUUAGAUAUGGGUCAGGGAGUAGGACAAGUGUUGGACUUCUUCAAGCUUGUUUGAUACCUGGUGUGAUACCAUUUGCAUUCUGCCUCUUCUUCGCAAAGCUAGUGGCAUACACAUUUCUGUACUGGUUACCAUUUUAUUUGAGUCAGACAGGUAUUCUCUACCAUCCUUUGCUUUCUGUUUUAAGUUUCUAGUUGUUAAUGAAAAAGGGAUUCUUGCAAUAGAUGCUCAAAAUCUUGAAUUUUCUUGUUUCGUAAUCCAAUCAACUAGAACAAAUUAAUUUUGGACUUCAUGAAGAAUAAGUUAGAUUGUAUCCAACAAUGAAAUUUUUCAAAUUAAACAUAUGGUCACAUGAUUGUUGAAUUGUGAACUUGGUAUGAGGAUGUACGGUUGAUAAAGAUAGCAUGAUAGAUCAUGUGACAGUUAUUUGAAAUUGUCAAACAAAAAAGAAUAAUUAGGCUAAAGUUUCUUAUGUCUAUGUUCUAUUCUCUCUGACGCAAUAUCGGCUGUGAAUUUCAUUGCAAUGUAAAAUUAAAUUCAUGAGGCCUGAUUAAUCGUUUCUUCACCUGAAAGGAGCAAUGUAAUUGGUCGCAUCAUUGUUGAAAGCACGAGGUGGUUAUCUGCUAUAUUACUUCAUGUUCCUAAAAUUGAAAUUAUUAGUUCUCUCCUUAUAAUGUUAAUUACAUAUUAUGAGUCAGUGGUUUUUAAAUGUCCAUAAUUUCCUAUGGAAGACCUAUUGCCUGAUGCUCAGGUUCUCUGAGGGCGGUCACAUUUAGGUGUUUCAUGAUUCUUGAAUAUUUGGAAAACUUGAUACUUUUGAGUACUGGAAAGCCAUGUCUGUAAAAAAUUUCUUAUUUGUUAGAAUUUUCUCUUAUGCUAUAGGCAUAAUGUUUCCCUGUGUUCUUCAUUUCUGUUUUCUAUGCUUUUGCAGAAAUUGGUGGAGAGUAUUUAUCUGUCAAGACUGCUGGAAACCUCUCCACCCUUUUUGAUGUAGGUGGAAUUUUUGGUGGAAUUAUUGCUGGCUACAUAUCUGAUAAACUUAAAGCUCGAGCUACUACAGCAGCCACCUUCAUGUAUGCUGCUAUUCCAUCCAUGCUUUUGUAUCGCGCAUAUGGAAGUGUAUCUCAGACAGUCAACAUUGUACUUAUGAUGGUCGCUGGCCUAUUUGUAAAUGGGCCUUAUGCACUAAUCACAACUGCAGUUUCUGCAGAUCUUGGCACACAUAGUUCUGUUAGAGGGGAUUCUCGAGCACUGGCAACAGUCACUGCCAUUAUUGAUGGUACUGGAUCAGUUGGUGCAGCACUUGGUCCCCUCCUUACUGGAUUCCUUUCAACACAGGGGUGGGAUGCUGUAUUUAUUAUGUUAAUGGUUGGUGCUCUUAUUGCGGGGCUUCUUUUGUCACGUCUUGUCAUAGCUGAAAUCACUGAGAAAAUUAGAAGACCCGUAACUACAACAAAUGGAUGGCAAAAUAAUGAAGGUAACUUAAUUGACUUAUUUACAAACGACAUUGCACAUAUAAAAUUUGGAUGUGUAUUCAAGUCAAGGCAGUUUUCUCUUGAAACCAUGAGCCAUUUAUUCCUUGUUUGAUAUUUAAGUGCUACAGCUUUUACUCUCCAAUUGUUAUGGAAAAAAACUGUAAUUAUGAAAUAGAAAUUAAUAGUGUGUAGAAAAUAAUAAUUUUGAUAAAAAUAGUAGAGAUAUUAUAGGUUUUUUAUCAUAUAAGUGGAGAAUCAAAUUAACUUAGCUUCCAGCAGUUAGUGUUUACCAAACUCUUUCUCAGUACUAAACAAGGCUUUAGUUAAUGAUGGCUGCUAAUCUUUUUGUAUCAUUUUAAGGUUAAGAUAUGUUCAGGGUAUUCACCUAAGAUAUGAACAAACAUGCUGAUUUCCUUUUUCUUCUGUCAGUUUCCCCAUAGAAAAGAACUUGAGUGGGGAUAGGGAUCCUAGAGAAAUUUUUUUUUUUUUUUUCACCAUUGCACAUAGAGCAUGGCUAUAACCCAAUAUGUUGGGUAAUUCCAUUAAUUCUUGUUAGAAAUUGUUUUGCUUAUCUGCCUUGUUGAAAACCCUUUUUCUUUCCUCCCCUUUUUUCUACCAUUGCAUCUAUUCUAUAGGCCUAAUUCAGAAAUUUUCUGCUAUUUUGCAGCUCCUGCUACGCAGCCACUUCUUAGGGACCGAAGUUGAUCAUCAGGUAUGCAUCCUGAAGUUAUAAAAGUUGAAGCGAUUGAGACAAAUGAUAAACUAUAGAAGUAGUAACAAUAAUAAGUGAUGUAUUUUUAGAAAGUUUUGACCGGUUUGGCUGUAGUUCAUGUUACCUUCGCUAGUCAACUUUUUGUAUAAUGAAUAUGUGAUGAGGAACGUGUAGAAUUUCUUUCUUGUUGGAAUUUUUAUGCGAGUUGAUUCAGUGGGAAAUGAGGAAAAAGUAAAAGACUUCUGAAAGACACAGCCGGGGAACUUUGUUGUUCAAUUGUGUGAAAGACUUCUGUGAGUACUACACAUGUUGUAUGAGCAAAUCUUGAUGAUUUUUGUGUUUGAAGAAAAAUAAAAUGGCAUCGUUUGAAUUUGUCAGAUGCACUUCAACAUUAGAAUUGUGCUAAUGCCACGGCCUUCUUGUUAUGUGAGAUUGUGUUUUGCUUAUGGAUGAUGUAGAUUUAAUCAUUUAAUUUGUCAGUACUUUUAAUGCCCAAGGUACAGAUAAAAAAUCAGCAUCUGGAAUGGUCGACUUCAUUUUUAGUAACUGAUUUUUGCCCCCCGCCCAAAAAAAAAAAAAAAUUGUUGAAGUUAAAAGUAAUUUUUAUGUAUUUUUAUAGUUUUAGAGUAAGAUAAUCAAAAUUAAUUGUAUUAAGAAGCAAUUUAAAAAACUUAUGUCACAAAAAAAAAAUAAAGAAAGGAGUUAAUUGAUUAAUUCUCCAAGUUUUUUCUUUAUUUGAAUUUUAUUAAUAAUGUGAUUUUAUUUUAAUUAUCUUUUUUCAUAAAUGAGGUGGUACAAAAUUAAUUGUUGGCGAAAAUGUUAUCUCGAUUAUGAAAUAAGAGAAUUGAGAUUCGAAUUAUAUUUACAUAACAUUUAAAAGAUUAACUUGUCAUUACCCAAAAAGUUAACUUUUAAUGGUAAGUUUAUUUUAUGGAAUGAGAAUAUGGUGGACUCGGAAUGAGAUUUUAAUGUUUAUUUUGUAAAAAUAAAUAAGAAUGAGAAUUUAUUGAAAUGUCAUUAAUGUGUUUACUUAACAAAAUAAAUAGGAAUGAGAAAUGAGAAUCAAUUUAUCAAAAUACCUAUAGUAUUAAAUAAUGUAAUUUUUAUUAAUUAGAUACAUGCAUAAUAUUAAUAAAAUAAUAAUAAAUAAAAUAAUAAAGCUAAUAAAAUUUAAUAAUAAUAAUAAUAAUAAUGAUAUUUAAAAUAAUAAAAUUAAUUAUGAUUUAAACGAGAGUAAUUAAGAAAAUAUAAAAAAAUUAGAGAGAUACAAAAAUCAAUGUAGGGAAUGAAAAUCUCUAUUCUCAACCCCCUCAUGUGAAUGAAAAUUUCAUUCAUUAUUCUUAAAUUAUGUAAAAAUAAUAUAUUUUAUUUUUAUUUUCAAAUUAUAUUUUAUCAAAUAAAUAUAAAUUUUAUUUACAUUCAUUCAUUCAUUCAUUCUGAAUCCUUAAAACCUCGUGUAAACACAUUAUAAAAUAAUUAAGAAAAAAAUACGGGAGGUUAUUCCGUCUUCUAAGAGAUUGAAAGGGACGAGCGAACGUCGGGAUUCAAGAUAGAAAGGACAGGUUGUUUGUAACGUUACAAAUUACAAUGCAUCCCCAAAUCCCUGCACAGAAUUGGAUUGGAUAGGGUUCUGAGCCAACCAAAACGGCCCAACAGCUGUAUUGAAUAGACAAGACCAGCCUUUCAUUUUAGCUUCAUAGAGGCCUGGAAGUUCACCAGGCAUCCUAUGCUCUCGGCUGAUUAGGAUCACCACGUGUCUACUGUUCCUCUUUCUCGACUCUUCCAACGUUGUGGCCCGUUAUCUUGCCUUGAUUGCUCAUCUUCGCCAUUACCAGGAACUUGCAUAAAUAAAUUAUCGGUUCGCUCAUGCUGUUCUAUACGUUCCCCCCCUCCUUUUUUUCAGUUGCUGGUUACUUUUUUUUUUUUAGAGUUUUUGAGAUUAAAUAAAUUAUUUUAUUUUUAUUAAUAAAAACUUAAAAUUUUAAAUUUUAAAAGUAGAGAUUGAAUUUUUUUUUAAAUAUUUAAAUGUUUAAAAUAUCUUUUAUUUAUUGGAUACUCUUAUUUUAUUUUUUUUAUAAUAUAAUUUUAAAAAACAUGCAUACUAAUUUUUUUUUAAUAUUGAUUACACAUCAUACUACUGUAUUAUAUAAAUAUUUACAACUGCUAUUAUAAUAGGCAUUAUGCAUAACUGAUAUUUAUAUUAUUACAUUAAAUUUAAUGAAUUAUAUAUCCAGACAAAUAUAUUUACAACUGCUAUUAUAACAAAUAUUAUACAUAAUUGUGACUUAUAUUAUUAUAUUAAAUUCUAUGAAGUACAUGCCCAGACAAAUAACUCUUACAGACGAGAGAUGUACUGAACAAUAACAAAGAGAUUUUUUUUUUAAAAAAAAUAUAUUGUCAAUUUUAUAAUGUUUGUUGCUCCAUUACAUAAGAAAACAAAAUCCUUUAUACGCAAACCUCACAAUGAAUGGGAGGGAAGUAGAGAAUAGAGUCUCUCCAUAGCACUGAAAAGAUGAUUGGCGCUGGGACUUGAUGACGUCAGUAGUGCCACUGAGCUACGCAAUGCUCAGUGGUUAACUGAAACAAAUGCUGAAAAUAAAUCCGAAUAUAUUAUUUUUAAUAUAUUAAAUUAUAUGAUAUUUGAAGAUAUUAAUUAAUUCAUAUUCGAAUCAAAUAAAAUUCUUUCAAUAAACAUUUAACACAGUAAUAUUUUAAAAAUAUCGAACUAAAGAUCUUUGUUAAAUACCAACAACCAAUUAUAUUAUUAUUACUCGCAUAUAGACGCAAGGAAUAUGUUAAAAUAGAACUGAAGGCUACGACAGUGGAUGGUAAAGGGCGGAGGCAAGUCCUGAUUGUUCUAUUAUUGUGUGUUUUGUGGAUGUCUGCUGCUUUUGCAUUGUCAGAGCCAUUGUGUGAACCGAAAGACUUGAGAUGGGUGGGGUGGGGGCAAGUCGAACCAGCCAAUUCCUCCAACACGACCCAAGUCAUCAAAUGAAAUGCCUCAAACCACCAUCCAUGAUUAAUUAAAUCUUAGUGUGCCUGCACAGCAUAGACAUGCUGAACAACUUGACCUGUAUUUUCUGAGAAAAUGCGGCCACUGCUUGUGUGGCCUGGAGGUUUUGAACUCCUCCCUGGCAAAAUAAACAUCAUAUUAAAUUUACAAAUUCACAAAAUAAGCUGUAAAAUAAAUGUAAUGUAAUUCUUAAAAAAAAUAAAGUUGUCAUUAGGGACAAGACAGGAGGGUGCAUUCCGUAAAACAAAAAGCAAUUAAAUUCCGUCAUCAUACGUGUCAAACAGCAAUUAUGUCGGAUACGGAUAGCAAUAGCAUCAACCGUCCAUUCACAUACCAAAAAUAUGAGAAUUCGUACGAUUGAUUGAUUCUUCAAAAAUCAAUAUAAUUUCCCCGUUAUAAAUGUACCCACCAACUACUCUCCUCCUUCCUACACCUCACAAUUAGAAACAAACUCUACUCCAGCAAGUACUCUCCUCUUUUCUCCUCCCAGUUCUCAAGUACACAGAGAGAAGCAAGCAUGGCUGUCUCACGUGCCAUGCUCCUGCUGAUUUUCUCUUUUGCUCUCACCUCAUAUGCCACAGCUCAAGGCCCAGCAUCAUCACCAUCAAUGCCACCAAAGUCCACCCCCAACCACCCACCACCACCCAUGGCCAUGGCGCCGUCGCCAAAAUCCUCCCCCAACCCCCCACCACCACCCAUGGCCAUGGCGCCGUCGCCAAAAUCCUCCCCCAACCCCCCACCACCGCCCAUGGCCAUGGCGCCGUCACCAAGAUCCUCCCCCAGCCCCCCACCACCACCCAUGGCCACGGCUCCGUCGACCCCACCUCCCACAAUGUCAAUGACCCCAUCAAUGAGCCCAGCAGAGAACCCCAUGGCGCCACCCCCAUCGACAGGUGCUGCCUCACCACCUUCACCAGUUGCGCCGGGACCGGAGUCGCCCACGAUGCAGCCAACGGCGCCGUCAAUGCCACCGUCAGGUAUAACGUCACCACCAAUGGCCAACCCUCCUUCAGGUAUAACGCCACCACCAAUGGCCAGCCCUCCUUCCGGAGCCUUUGUGCGUGGAAGCACGGGUUUGUUAGCAUCGGCAUUGCUUGGAGGAGUUGCUCUACUGCUCUUUGUUUAAUCAGAACACAGUGUUGUUUAUUGUUAUUGUUUCCAAGUCUCCAUUUUUAUCCUCGUAGAUUAUUAAUUUGGAUAUUUAUUUGUGUAUCCUUUGUUAUGUCUCCCUUACUUUUUUUUUUUUUUUUUUCCCCUCCCCUGAUUUUUGUUUCUUCUAUAAGUUGGUGAUUCAUGGAGCUGCUGCAUAUUCGUGAUUUGUGAGAGGAUGUUUAAUUUAGAGAUUUCAUCAGUUGGGAAUGUUACAGCUCUUGUGUAGCAUUUUGACUUUACCGAAAUAAGAGACACUUUGUGAUCUUAUUUAAUUUCUUGGUGUUUUUAACAUGGGGGCACAAGCUUCAUCAUUAGCUUACCUUAAGAUCCUUUUCAUCGACAAGUUCAUUGGAAAUGCUUUCAAUUUCACUCCAAAGUCUUAUUAUUUUGACUAAGAUAAGAAGAAGGAAGCUUGGGAGUGAAUUUUAUCAUUCAUCAAAUUAAGGAAAACAAAUACCUAUAACAUAACCAAGAGCUAUUAAGCUAAUCGGUGAUCCAUUUAAUUUCAGUAGCCCGGUUUCUCAAAUUUUAGUUAAUGGUGCUGUCCAAAUGAAUAAACAAGCAAAGCUAAUUAAUUAUAAUUAUUUAAUUAAUUAAAAGGUUUGGUGGGCGAGUUGCUACUUGCUAGAGUGGUAGAUGGAGUGAUGAGUAGGAGCAAUAGUAGUAAUGGUGGCGAAGGAAUGGAUAGAUGGAAAAGUUAGGUGCUAAUGCUAUUGCUCUUGGCAGCUGUUAAGGUAUAAUGAAAUUAGAAUAAAACCCAAAAAAAAAAAUGUGGAAUAAAUGAAUAGCCUUUUGGAAAAUAGAAAAUGGGAAAGUUGUCUUUUUGGUUUAGGAGAAGAGAGGCAGAGUUAAAAGAGGAAUGGGCUUUUAGUGGUGGAAAGCAUGAGGGAAAAGAAAAGAGAGGAUGGAUCUUUCAUUUGUUGUUGGUGCCUUGGUGGUGGUAGUGGUGGUGGGACUAUUCUUUGAGACACAUCAGUGUGAGAAGGAAAGUGAUAUUCACAUGGUGUGUUAGCCCCACUCCGCUUGAGACACAUCACAAAUUUGGGCUUUUGCGAGGGGGUGAAGAGAUUUUUUUAUUUACAUUUAUAUUUUUUGAGGCUCAUAACGAAUUAUAAAAAAGCUUUAAUGGAAAAAAAAAAAAAAACAAUGUCAUUAAUAUUGUUGUGUAAGAGACAAUGAGACAACCGAUUUGAAUGCAAAACAAAGCAAAACCUCUCAAAUUUCCAAGACAAAACUUAAAACAACCGACAGAAUGAUCAAAAUAUCAUAAUUCCUCUCUCCCCAUCCGCAUUUGUUCCAAUCAUCCUGUAGAACAAUCUUGUCUUCUUUAGUCUCGAAACGUUUUCAUGGUUUACCAUGAGUGCUAACAAAAAGAAAGUUGAAACACCUGCAUCUAUUCAUUUUUAUUUUUUAGUUCUCAUCCCCAGUAACCAAUAAUUGAUGAGUGUCAUUUUAUUGCUGAAAAUGAAGAGAACUGAUUCAUUCUGUAGUUAAAGGGACAUAAGAAUCUCUGGCCAAAUGGAAAGUGUAUAUAAGCAUUGGAUUCUUCACAAAAAAAGCUAAUCAGUAAAGAAUCAUCACUAUCCUUUUUAUCUUUGCUUGCCUCCACGGUCCACAAAAGCAUGAUCAUACGAAUUCCAUUAUUUUCAAUGAUAUCUUUGUAGAAACCUCUACUAAGAUUUCUCUUUAUCUCUGCAAAAUUUACCCAGCCCAGCAAUCCCUAUACUUGGCAAGAAGCAUGUGCAUAAUCGGGUCACAUAUGGAUAAAAAUCCUAACACCAAAUUCCCAUUGUCAAAUUGUUAAGCCAUCAGAGCUCAUAAAAAAUCCUAAGGCUUGUAAUCAUUGUUAGAAACUUAACAAAAAAGAAUGAGCUUAGCAAGGAAAUUCUCUUGCCCCACACCUGUAGGAGGAAGUUAAAUAAGAUUAGAUACAAAAGAAAACAGAGAGACUUUUUUGUUUGUUCAUCAAUAUCAUCAACUCUACUCAGUUAAAUAACUCAAAUCUUCAUAGUCAAGAACACAUGAAAGACUGCCUACAAGGUUUUUUUUUUUUGGCUCAACAUUCUUAAUCAGCUUUAAUAGGUUUUGAUUUUGCGAUAAUCUAAGUUACCUUUGUCAUCUCUUCUUUGGUAUAUAACAAAGCCAAUCAAGGGUUGAAAAAUGGUAUCAGAUGAGAUCAUUCUGGUGGGGAAUUUGACUGGUGUGUGCUCUAAUUCUUGUACAUAUCUGUUAUCUCUACUUCUUUCUUUGUUUUCUUCGGCAUUCAAAACAGUCACUACAUGCAGGUUUAAUUCUACUUGAGGAACUGAUUUCGAGCUUGCUGGAUGGUACUUUCAGGUCUUCUACAAGGAUUUGACGGAGCUUCUUAUUCUCCUCCAUAAGUUCUUCAAUGAUUUGCUGGUGUUUUAAAAUCUGUAUAUCAUAGAUGUCAACGAUAAAUUUAGAAUCUACCACACUUAAUUGCUAAAUGAGGUUAACAGUUUGGGGAAUCUCAAAAUGCAUUGACAAACUCCAAUGUUAGGCUAAAAUUUAUGGAGCUUCUCCAUUGGAUGAUUGGAAUUCUCCAAUGGAAUAAAAACACGCCUACAAAUUGGAUUGAAGAUCAGUUGAAAUGACACUUAAAACUUGGAGGAUUACCAUUUGAAGCAUGUUGUUUUCAGACUGCAAGCGUCCAGCCUACAAAGCAAAACCACCUGAUCAGAACUUCUGAUUGCACAUUCAAGCAAGAUACUAUAAUAUCAAGUUGACAGAACAUCAAGUCUAUGUCCAGUUCUGUAAUUUUCAAGGCACUGGCUCAUAAUUCUGAGGAGAGAUUUGUCAAGGAUAUGUAGUUGCUAAGAUUAUACAAAGGCAGCCCAUAAAAUAUGCAUCUUUAACACUCAUUGAUACAAAAUGUAAUUGCCAGCACACUAAUAAUCAGACAAGAUUUAUGUCUUUAACAGAUUGGUUAUGAAGAAGCCUACAAGCUAUCAACUGUGAAAGAAAUUAUAUUAUAGAUGCCAACAAAAUAGGAAGUAAACUUAAAGAAUUUUCAAAUAUGUGAUAAACCUUAAUUGAAUAAUCACAUUCACUAUAAACAUAAAAGAGGCAAAAUAAUACUUUAGAACCUGAAAUAAUUGCGCCAGACCUAGCUCUAGGAUAAUGAAUCCCAGAGUUAAUGCCAAGAAUGAUGUAGAGAAGGCUUUUCAAAGUAGAUGUGAUAGCUAUUGAAGUAUAGAAACUAUACAUACCACUUCAUUGAGGUUCACACCCUCUUCCCUUAAAAGUGGAUUCUGGAGAAAAUGACUGAGGACAUUUUCAGUUCGGCCGAAAGAUGCGUUAACUGGAGUGCUUUGAGACGCACGUUCUGGCAUUUUAGUUGCCAACUGCAUUAUAUUUCCCAUUGAGCUCUGGCCCGAUGGUUCAUUUAUUAUUCCCAUGCCACUUUGCAACGAAGUUGGGAGGACACUUUGACUGAUGGAUGGACUGGAAGCCCUUCCAAACUUCAACAUCAACUUUGCCAUUGCUUGCUAGUAGAUUUGGAGUGCAAAUUUCAGAUAAAAGAAUGGAAAACCUUAACAGUUAACAUACACAUCGGAAGUUAAAAUAACACAUACCACAAGACAAGAUUGAAUCUGAUGCAUCACGCUAGGUUUCACAGCAAGACCUACCAUACAGACACCAAUUUCAGCCAUCAAUAAAAUCAUUUACUUUUAUCAUUGAUAAUGCAUUAAUGAGGAUGGAUGAGUGCAGCCUCCUGAUUAUACAAAGCUUGCAGCUAUGAAAAAAUUAUUUUAUUUUAUUUUUCUAAAAAAAAACGGGUGUGUUAUAGCUUCUCUAAGUUUCAGCAGGCUCACUCAGUUAUAACCAUAACUGCCAAAGGUACAUUAUGCAAGCAUAGAAACAACAUCCUUCCUCAAAUCCUCUUUUUCAUCACUAUGUACUUCUUACUUUGUAGAUAGAAACCUGUGGAAGAUUAUAUGCAGCUCAGCUUCUAUAUCACGCUAUAUAACACUUCAAUAUCAUCCCACUCACUUAUAUAGAUUAUUCUACCCUUGUUCAUAAAUGGUUAUGUAAAAUCAACUUAUUUCUGAAUGAGCCUCAGCUCCUUAAUCUUUGUGAUCCAGUGCUAUCUAUUUAUAUAAAUUGUGUCCCUAUCCCUUCCCAACUACCAUCUUUGAAAAGAGUUCUUUGGUUAUUUCUCUUAUAGGCAGUUAAUUUCAUUGUACCACAAUGAAAAAUAAAAUGAAAGACAAACUCCAAACAGAAUGCUCCAAAACUACCUCUUUGCAAAUAUUAUCCACCUUACUAAGGGUAUUGCAGUUUGCUAUCUUAAUGCUAAAAGGGUAGUUAGAACUUAUUAAGAUGAUAUGCCACACAUUCCCAUGUUAAAUUUAGAACUGUGACACCAGCAACCUCUUGGCAUGGAAGGAGUUUGCAAUGGCUCAAGAAUCAUUAGACUUCCCCAGUUAUAUGUAAAGUGGCAUCUACACAUACUAAUAAAUUAACAAAUCAGUGUUUUUUUUCCUUUUUCCUUAUUCUGAGUACAUCAUAAUGACAUACCAACUCCAAAACCAUAUCCAAAACCGACUCCACAUCCAAGGCCUGCUUGAAUUUUUUCGGCGCCAAACUUCCUCAACUGAAGCACGAGAAAUAAGAGAUAAGCAGACAGAUUUUACACAUUUAACAUCCAGAAGAAGAAACAAUAUUAAUAACAGAAGAAAAAUAUUUAUACUUCACUUACAGCAUUAUUUACAUGUCUGCUAACACCAGAAAAUGCAUCAGUGGCACCUCUUGUUGCACUCAAGACUUCACCCACUAUUGGCAUUCGGCCUGGAACAGAAUAUAAAUAAACAUUUUCAGGUUAGCAGAACUAUAGACAGAAAAAUGCAGAAGAAAGAAAUCGUAACAUCCAUCGUAAACCAUGCAAUGUCAUUCCACAAAAAGCAAAUAUUCAUAACCCUAGUCUUUUUCUGUAUCCCCUAUAAUACUCGAGUUGAUACAGGAGAAGAAUUCAAACAAAUACUUGUAAAUAGCAAGAUUAGAAUCAGUGAUCAACCAGGCUCCUAGAGCUUCCAAGUGGCAGGAAAUCAAUGUAAAUGAAAAUGCUUACACAAUUUCAGCAUUUCAUCGUAGGGAACUAUCCAAUUCAUCAGCUAUGGAACAUCGAAAUACGCAAGAAUCAAAUAGUAUAUUGUGGAUAAGUGAUAGCACAUUGAUUGAUAUGAUGCCAGAGAAAUAACAGAACUACCGAACAUUAGAAACUCAAAAGAUUCAAAAUUUUACAAAAAAUUUAACAGAUGAACACACACAAAAAGCAAAACCAUACAGUCACCGAAAAACAAAGUGACAGAAAAAUGACGCAUACACGGUUUCUUAGCUAGAAAAUCUCGAUGGGUUUUUCCAUUAUCAGAAUUAAAUAAACCUCCCAAGUUCAUUCUUUUUUUUUUUUUCCCUUGUGCGGGGUGGGUUUUGGAUAGAAACUUAUAUCGAUAAUCCGUAGUGUGUGUGGGUGUGUGGGAGUGUUUUAUGGUGAUGGCCAAAGGGCGGGUUGUAAAAUAGUACCAAGAUUGACGAGGCCGGGAACACCGAUACCAAUACCACAACCGAUGCCAAAGCCUGUAAAUACUUGAAGUACUUUGAAAGAAAACGGAUUCUCCAGUCUGAUUCCUUCAAAAGCUUUUGUUUGAUUGUCAAUCACCAUCAUGCUACUUUUACUGCUGCUGCUCCUGCUCUCCAUUCUUCAACAAGCCCCCUCUUUCUCUAUCUCUACAUGUUCUUUGUCAUCCUUCUCUAUUACUCUUGUCUAAAACUAAUAAAAUCAUUUGUUCUGUAUAUUGUACUCCUCUUCUGAGUUCCGAGUUCCGAGUUCAGAAACAUUUGGUGGUGGAAGUGAGACGAGACCUUACUCCUCAGGUGUAGCUUCACUUAAUGGGCUGGGCUUCAUGGGUUCCAAGCCAUUAGGACCCAUUAAAUUUGGACAAGCCCAGAACUUUUUUUGCUUUUGGACAGUCAAAUUGGACAUUUUUCUUAUUCCACUCAUUGGGACCUAGGGUGGUUUUGCCCAGAGAGAGAGAGAGUGUGUGUGAAGUUUUAAGACUUUGCACAAGAAACCUUAUUUUCCCAUGUGGAAAGGGAAAUCAAGUCUUCGUUAAAAAGGUGGGAACAAGCAAUUAAUCAUCAUCAAACCAUACAUCCACCAACAUAUUUGCUUUAUUGCUCAAGAUUUUCAAUAACGUGGCCAGCAGACCCAGUUUGAUUUGUAACUCCAAACACCACUGAGGCUGUCUGUAGUCUCUAAAUGUUUACUUUGAAAAGAAGCAUGUGCAUAAGCUAAUGCCGAGGGCAUAUCUGUCAAGUGAAAAAAAUAGUAAUUAAACAAUCAUUGGCAUUUCCCUAGAAUGAGGGGCAAACAAGGCCAGCAUUGUUGAAUCUUCAUUGUGAAGAUCAAAUUUGCCUCUCAAUUGCUAACUGACUCACUAUCAGUGUCAACCAUCACUUUAUUGUAUAGCAUAAGCAAUAAUCCAACACCAUUCUUGAAUCUCCAUUAUGAAUGAAGAGCUAAAGAUAUGGCAAUGGCCCAUUGCGGCCCUAAAUAAAUAAAAUACUAUGUUUGAAAAAGUACCCAUUUUACUAGAUAGUCAGACACUGAUCACAAUUAGAGCAUCAAUGCCUUUACCUUCUGAAUCUUUUAUAACCCAAAUUAAUUAGAGAAAGAUACAUCGCAUUAAAUGCCACAAUUAUGCCUUUUUCAUCAUUCAAAUACAGAAGCAACAACAGAAGAACAAAGUGUUACAACACCAAUUUACAUGAAAUCGUGAGAGCUAUGCUCAAACCCUCUUAAAUUAAUUUCUCACAAGGAAUUGAGACAAUAACAUUAAGUUCACAAGUACCCUCAACAGAAGAAGAUGGAGUUGCCAUUACAAGUCCAUCACAAACUGACCCAAUCCAGUUUGUAACUCUAGCAGGUUUGUUCCCUUGGCCAAAAGCAAUCUCAUUGGCCCCCAAAUCAUCCCAUCUUGCAGUACUAAUUUGAUUCUUAAGCUUCAACUGUGACCCAACAAGCUCAUUUCCAUGUUUUGUACAACUUUCAAUCUUAAGCAAAUCAUAUGAUCCUCUAAAAAACACUGGAAAUUUUGAUGCCAUUUUGACGCCAACCUUGUGCUCUGCAUCCUCAACACAGACCAAAAUAAGCUUUCUGCCGGAUUCAUUCUCAAGAUUAAUAUUUUGAUGAUCAGAAAUCUUGAACAUCAUGGUUUUGCCCCAGGUUUUGUUUUGGUUGGAGCUGCUGGGGUAAAGAGCUGCCGAGUAACUAGGCUUUUUGAGAUUAGGGAGAUAGAAUAUGGGAGUAUUUGGUCCAUCAUUUUUGGCGAGCUCAGCACUGUGAAUAUCUGCCCAUUUCUUGAGAAAAUCUUCCUUAAGUAAUAAAUCAGCAAAAAGAAUGCUGCAGCUAAUCCCGACGGAGUGUCCCCCACACUCAAAAUUGGUCACCUGAAAACAAAAAGCAACAAACAUUUUAACUACUGAGAUGCAAAAUUAAUUAGAGGUAGCAUAAAAUAUUAAUUAGUACAUCAAUUUAAUCACCUGAACAUAAAACAGUGGAGAGUACUGAGGAUUCUGUUCAUCAAUAUCCUUCCAAAACACAAGCUCAGCUUCAGCAUCUUCACUUCUUUCUUUUGAACCAAGAAACUCUGACAAAGUCAUAGCCAUCUUGGCCUCAAUGAGCCUAGCUCCACUGUCAUUGGACACGACCUCUAAUUCUCCAUUGCCGUCUUCACGUCUUCUUAGCCUGCCACCGAGCAUUGGUUGCUCAGCCAAAACUUUAGAAAGAGACUCCUUGAUCCAUCCUGCUACUAUCCAACCAGAAUCCUCAUCCACCACCUUGUUGUAGUACAAAAUUAAGUUAAGGCACGUCCGGAAAAUCCCCGAAUCUGCCGGCUCCGUGACCGACACUCGAAGUGUCUGCCUGGGAUCGGUGGCCUGAAAUGGAGUCACAGUUAGCACUGCUUCAAUCUGUAACUUGGUGGAGACCAAAUUUUGGCUCGCCAUACUGAGCAAUAUGUGGAAUAAUUCAUCGCUUACUAAGGGUAUUUAUAGAAGGCUACGUGACGUUACAAUUCUUGGAGAAUACCAUUAUCAUACUUUUAAAUCACAAAACUACCCCCCAAUAAUUGUGGUAUAAUAUGAAAAAAGAAAUGGCCUGAUAAUGGUCUAGACAUUUCUAUUAAUUUAAAAUUAGGUUUGAUUUUUCUUAUUUAGUAUUUUAGAUAGUGACUGUAAUUUGUACGAGAUUGGUGUGCUUUGGUGUACCUAAGGUACUUGGAUAAGUUGUUUAAGGAAAGAAGAGUGUGCCUUGUGCCCUUGCAUGAAAUUUUGGUAGUCAGACAAGAACUAAUCUUUCUGUUUCUUUUUUUUUUUUCCCUCACCUUUCCUUUUAAUGGGAAAAUGCAGUCACUUGGGCUUUAACCCAGUGGUGAACCGUUGCCUUGAAAGUUAAGCAUGAUUUUGAGGUCAAUGAUUCGAAUUUCUAUAAAUUCAAAAAAUUUCUCUCAAUUAAGCUUAAUUAUGUAGAGCUAUUUGUACAGUCUUUUUCCAUUGCGGAAUGCGAAUGGAAUAGAGGCACCCCUCCUCAGUGAGGGUUAUUUGCAAUGUAAACCCAAUGUUUAAAAUAUGCGAGUGGAGUAGAGACACCCCUCUUCAGUGUAGUCUAUUCUUUUUUCCUUUUUUUUUAAACAACCUUCUAUAUUUAGUUUUUUUUUAUUUGAUUACAAUCUUUGAUGAGAAUUUAAAUCCAUAUAUUUAUAACACAGCAUAAAAAUCUACUAAAACUAGUUCAGAAAUUUAUUCCAACCAUCUUAACUCACAAUUGUUAGAAGAAAAAUAUUUUGAGCGCCCAUGAAAAUUAAACAUAUAAUCUCUACUUUGUUGAUGGACUUAGUGGAUCUUUAAUAUAAAUGCGCACAGGAGCAAACAUGCAAUAAAUUCAGCGACUUUGUUAGCUGUCGGGCUUCUGGCCGUCCAAUCCAAGUUGAAGAUAUUUCGCAGUCGCACACUGGCCGAGGCUAGAAAGCUGGUCUCUAAAUUAAUUAUGGGUGGCUGGUUUUUGCAAGUGUGUUCACCGUUACGGUGUUAUCAAUGCAGCAAACAACCGCCUUGGUCUUGAUCCCGCGAAUUUGUGCGUUUGAAAUUGAGCUGUUAUAAUUUUUAAGUUAUAAUUAUUAUGAAAAAAAUUAUAAUUAUAAAAUAAAAAUUAAUAAGAUGUAAUAAAUAUAAAAUUAAAAUAAUAAUUUUAAUAAAAUUAUUAAAAAUAUAAUAAAUUUUUUAUUAAACAAGUGAAAAAUCAUAUUAAUAUAUUUUCUAAACUACAGCAGUUAGUGUUUAUCAAAUAUUUUAAUACUGUAACUUUUAAGCUACAACUACAUAACUUCAAUUCCAAACACACCCUCUGUUAUAUACGAUAUCUUUCAUCUAAACAAAUGUGGCAAAUUUGUUCAAUUUAGACAUAUAUAAUUACAUUUUUUGGGGGAAAAAAAGGCUUAAGCUUUAUUAAGUGGUGGUAACCAGUAAAAUUGCAAGAGACAUUCCAACGUGAUUAGAACUAUUAUAUUUUUCUUGUUGUGAGUUUUAAAAUGAUAUAUUAUAUAUCCAAAUAUAAUAUCAGUUGUUUAAUUAUAUAACUUUUUUUCCAAAAAAUAUAUUGUAUUCUCGUUUAAAUAAGCGUAGUCAAGGAGUAAAAGGGUUUGUUAAACCACCAACGGUUUCCAAUUAUUAUGGGAGCUACCAAAUGAUUUUACCCACUUGAAUCAUAACAAAUUGAAGUUUCAAUAUAUCAUUUGUUUAUACCAAAAAUCUCGUAGCAGUAACGACAUCUUGCUCAAAAUGCCAAAAGUAUUGCACAAGGGUUCGCUACAUGACCUAGCAUGUGCAAUUCAUCAAGACAUUAAUGAAGUUGCGAGUCUCGCAUCGCGGCCCGAUUUGAAUUGUACAAAGGCAGCAGGGGGUGCCACCAGGGACCCGGGAUUUUGCAGACGAUAAGGGUGGGUGCCGUAUCAAUGCAAUGGCCGACACAUACCAAAUAUUAUUAAAUUUACCUAGAAAAAAUAUUUAUUGAAAAUAAAUGAUAUCUGGCCACCCCAAAAUACCACCAUGACAAAAACAAUAUUAUUGUAGUGCAAGUAAUGAUGUCGCCCAGUGUGCUAUGGUAGUUAAGGAUGACAAUGGGGAGUGAGGGGAGGGGACCGGCAUCUUCGUACUCAUUCAUGAUAUUUUACAUAUAUCCCCAUAUUCUUCUUGUCCCCGUUAUAAUUACUUGAAAGUAUCAUCAUCCCCUUCUUAAAUAAUAAAAGGAGAUUUUUUAGAGUCCUCAAUUCCCAAAUAAACUAAUACGUUUUUAGUUUUUAAUUUUAAUUUAAUUAUAUUUAAAUAAAAAUAGAGUUAAGACGGUUGCUAGCUGCUAUCAAAAAUUAGAAAUUAAGUUUUACGAUUUUUCUUUGACUUUUAUCUUAUUAGAUAAAAGUUUAAAAUAUUU
rnacentral:lncRNA from 1 species